GUCUCCUCCCAUAAUCACUUUGUCUGCCUGAGCUAGAUCCUUGCUCUUGCUCCCUCUCUUCCCUCUGCUCCCUCUUCUCAUGCCGGUGUCUUCUCUCAUCACCACUCUGCCUACGUGACUCUGAGCUAGAGCCUUGCUCUUGUUCUCUCUCUUCCCUUCUUCUUUGAGGUCGUUGUCUCCUUGCUUGCCCCUCUUCCUCUUCUUCUCCUUUUUCUUCUUCCUCAUGUCUUCUUCCAUACUGAGGUUGUUGUUCUUGCUCCCUCUCCCUGUCAUGUUCUUUCCUUCGUUCACGCUCUUCCUCUUGGCUUUGUUUGCUCUCACUCCUACCACGUGAAGGCUCACGAUCACGCUCCUUCUCUCUCCUAUGCUCUCUUUCUUGUUCCUCCUGCUGGCGAGAACGUGGUGGUUGUCUUGGAUCACGCUCCUCCUCUUGUCUUUCCUCAGGCCUCUCAGGAUUCUUAAUCACAUCUUUCUCUCCAUAAGCAAUACCAAUUGACACUGCCAAGAGGAAUACUACUCCUAGUAGCAACACCAACAUUGGGAAUCUCACUCUCAUCUUAGCCAUUUUUAAUUAUAUUAGAUUGCACUCAAUGAUGAAAAUGGGGACUAAGAUCAGUCAUAUUUAUAGAUCAUCUUCUUAAGAAUUGGUGCCAUGCAUGUUGACGAGUGUUGAAAUUGACAAAUAUGAGGUGUCCAUUGCAUGCCAUUUAUCUACAUAGCUCUUUUUGGAUAUACAUGGACGGGGCAAUCAUGUAUGUAUAUGCUUAUUGCUUCCUCAUACAUGUUCAUUGUUUUUUUCCCAUCAAUUUCAUGAACUAGGACUUUAUUCUGGAAGGGAUACAUUAUAUUGUCUCUUUCAUUUCGUAUUUCGUUUUUCCUCAAUCACCAUGGUUGGUUGAAUAUAAAUUAUUAUGGUAGAAAGAUACUAAAAUCACUGAGAGUUUUAAAUAAUAAUAAUAAUAAUAAUAAUAAUAAUAAUAAUAAUAAUAAUAAUAAUAUAAGUCAGGCACACAUACAAAAGAAGUUGUUUUGGCUUGGUCAAGCAUGCUUAGCAAAUUAGAUAAAAGUAUAUAUGAAGAAGUGUGUAUAGGAGGAGAAGGAUUUUUAAAGAAGCUAGAACUUUAAAGUUUAUUUGAAUAAAUGUUUCGUUAUUUUCAAACCACACACUUCCCAGUUUCAAUAUUGACUUAAUUGUUAUGUAGAUUUUGCUUCCUUCUUACUGUUGGACAUAAGAAUUUUAUUAACUUUUUAAUCCACAACUUUACAAAAUAGAUAUAUUAGCAAUAAACUAAAUAAUAUUUUAAUAACCAAAUUAAGUCAAAUUGGAAAAAUUCUUUACUUAAGAAGAGAAGUUAGACUACUCUACCACAUAAGAAGCUUUCUACCCUUCAACAAUUGCAUAGAUAUUCUCAUUUUGAUAUUGAAGAUAAAUAGUCUCUUUAAUAACAGGUGAAGAAACUUUUAAUAUUAUUUCUGGUAUAAUUAAUAAUAUCUCAUUAUCUUAUAAAUAAAGAACUAAUCUCAUACUUAGUUUCAUAUACGAAUGAACCAUAUAAAACAUUUCUAUUUUUUUUGGAUCAUCAUGUGAAGCCAUUUAUGAUUAUUAUGAGAUAAUCCAAAUUCCAUGCAUGAUGAAGAAUGUCACUACCUCAGCAACACACCUUCAUUACGUGUCUCUCAUUCACUCUCCAUUCUUCCCUAUAACUGCUCACGGCUUAGAUUCUCCACUUCACCACCUUCACUUAACUAGUGGUCCCAUAACAAUUUCAAAUCUAGCCUUUCUAAUUUAUUUUCCCCUUUGAUAAAACUGGAAAAUUAUUUUUGUAUAGGAUGAAGGGUUAAUUUAGAUUUUGAAUAAAUACUCAUUUCAGUUCCUCUUGUUUUUUGACUUUAUUAGUUUGAUUAUCCAAAAAUUGAAAAAAUCAAAAUGCUCCUAAAUUUUUUUAAAUACGAAUCAAAUUAUCUAUUUUUAGCAUGUUGUACGACAUUUGGUACAGACUAAUGUGACCCUAAAAACUAAUUUGGCACACACUUAAAAUUUUAUGAAUUAUUUUGGGUUUUCAUUUUUUUAGGGACAAAAAUAGUAAAGUCAAAAAAUAUGAGUGACUGAAAUGAAUAUUUACUAUUACAUUUUUAAUCAAUGUGCUACACUUCAGAAUUAUUUCUAAAUUUUUUUAUGAUGCAAAUAGAAUAAAAUAGCAAACAAUAUAUAUGUAACGACACACAUACUUAUUAAGUGAGACAAACGGGGGAUGAUGCUUGAUAAAAACUGGAUCUAUAUAAUAUUUGAUAUAGAUUAAGCAUUCUUAUAACUCAAUCUGUUUAUUUAUAAGAAUUCUGAGCGGAAACUUCCCAACACAAUAGAAUAUCUGAGUUGAGUUGUGACUAUGAUAGUCAUAUUGAGACACGUUAUGAUGAGUGCAAUUAUAAAAAUGGAAAGAUGCUAGGAAUAAGAUGCAUAUAAUUUUAAUUUAUAAUGAUAGAAGUCUAAACCAUCUAGAAAAUCCUUUUGAUUAUGAGAGGGAAAGACCCUUUGAAGAAAACAAUGAUUUUUUGUGAUGAAAAAGAACUUGAUGGCAUGCAACUUAUGGAGAUGACAAUAAUUCAUGUCAUGCCAAGUUAAGGAAAUAGGACUUGCAAGAGAAAAGCUUAGAUAUAUUACUCUAUGUGGUGUGCCUUUGCUUCCGAGCAAAGCUCACGAGGGCACUAAUAUUAUUCCAAGCAGAUUCUUGAAAUCUAAAGAUUAACAAGGUCAAUGAUGUAUUUGACAUGUUAUAAAAGAUUAUGAUAUGGAGGAUUGAAAAUAACAUUGAUGGAGUCAUUGAUGGAUAUUUUAAUUUCGAGAAUGUUAGUUUCUAUUUGGAUAUAUUAAUUUUUAAUUUACAACCUCAAAUAUACUUUUCAUAACUAGUAAGAUAAAUAUGUAUGUGUUAGCAAAUUUUGAAAUAUUAAUUUUUCACAAUUAAAGUCAAUCCUCUCAAAUUUUGACUCAUCAAGACUUUGUACUAUAUAUACAUUUUAAAAGUGAUGUCCAAAAAAUAAAGUGUGAGAUUAUAAUAAUUGAUCAUAACAAGCAAUUUCAAAUCAUACCCUACAAUCAUAUUUAUUAUUUCAAAAUCGAUUAUUGAUUUGUGGCAUAUUAUGAUACUUCUAAUGGAUAGUGAUAUUCUAAGAGUAUGUAGAAUUUCUCCUGCAUAGUGAUAUACUGAUAUUCCCACUGCUCAAUAACAUUUUUGUCCUUAUUGUAAAUUCAUUAACCUAAGGAUUCUUAUAAAUUCAUCUUCAUUCAAUUCAUAUUUUCAAUUCUUCUUUACUUAACAAUAGUUCCACGUUUUCAUUAAUGAGAACAUAUGUUUAAAUCAUCUUUAAAAAUCUUUCUCCAAAAGACAAUUCACAAUUACUCACAUUAUCUGCAAAGAUUUAAUCGAUUAACUGUAACUUUAAUCGAUUAAUUGUUUUCUUAAAAUACUUAAUUAAUAUUUCAUGAACCUCUAAUAUGAUUAACUAAUACAUGAUGCAUGAUUUUGAAAUGAUAUAAGUUCAACUUAGUUUAAUGCAUCAAAAUCAUGUAUGAAUGCUAAUGUACUUAAAUCAUGUAUGACUGAAUAUCUCAUAUGCAUCAUAUUCAUCAUUCUAAUAUGUGAGAUUUAUCAUUAGGUUCUUCCAACUUAGGCGUAUUAGGACCUAAAGAAAUAAAAAUUUACUCUUUAGUGUUUAUUGAUUUUCUUGAAGCUUGAACUUGAGUCUUCAUGUUGUUGUUGUUGAUUUUUCCUUGUCCAUAGUUUGUCUUUACCAAUCCUUAAAUUUUUUCUUAUUCAAAAUCAUGUCAUGCAGAAAGUAGACAUUUAACAACAUUCAUUUGAGUGAGUGUAGUUAAAUAUCCAAUUUCUACAAUGCUAAUUCAAGCAAUUGUUAAUGGAGCUACCAAUAGUAUUAUUUAAUAUAAUAUUAUUAACUACUUAUAUAUAAAUCAAAGACAUCUAAAAUCAUACAUACCAACGACAAAUAUAUAUCCAAAACUAUUAUAUUAGUUAUAUAUCCGCGUGACAAUACCAAAAUAUUGUCUCUUUACAACCCAAAAGUGACAUGUGUGCCAAUGUUUUGGUAAGGGUUCUAUAAUUCUAAACAAAUAGAAUUAAAAUUAAGUUAUACAUAAAUCCAACAACACCUACUUAAACUAUUUUUCAAUUCUUUGAUCGAUUGAGACUUGAUUUAUCCUCGUUUGGAAUAAAAUAUAGAUUCAUCUAAAUCCCCUUAUCAUGAUCAACAAUCCUAUAUAAACCAUCAUUUGUAGUUGGAACACUCUAAUGUGAUUGUGAUAUUCCCAAGAAAGAAUCAUCUUACGCAUCAAUAUAUUUGUGAUCUUGGUCAUCAUUAUUAUUGAUGGUUAUUUUUUAGUCAAAAGAACAAUGGACUAUUUUGUAUCAGUCGGGUCAGCGACAUAGAAUACUUAUCGAGCUUAUGAUUCUAGAAUAAAAUGCUCGUCUUUAUAUCCUGACAUAUUAAGAUUCACCUGUAUGAAUCCUAAUCCACCAACCUGAAAGUUGUUGUUGUUAUCAACCCACAUAUAACCAAAAUAAGACACCCAAAACGUUGUGUAAUCUAAUUCUAAUCUAUGUUCAAAGACCCCAAAGUAUACUAUGUCUUCCAUAUGUGUUCUCUCUGUUCAUACCUCCUCUCCCUUGUGUGUUGUUGCUUAAUGUCCUAUUCAUGCCUUCCACAUAACCUACUUCAUUGGAGUUAAAGAGAAUUUUGGUGUUCAUACUUGUUGGACCAGACUGCGACCGGAGUUCCAUUGUUACAGGGAUAUGUGAAGAGUGGAAAGUCACAAGUGAGACACCAUGUCUUGAACCAAAAACUUAAGGUAUUAGUUCCAUGGGCCUUUUCUACUUAUAAAGUCUUUCACUCCUCCCCGCAUAUCCAAUAUGGGACUUCACACUUGAAUAUGUUGGAGAAUAUCUCCAUCCGAAAUCCAUAGAUUAAACGCCAAAGUCCUUAUGACCAUGGCUUUGUUCCCAUAACCUAAUGUUUAUGCCCAUACAUAAACCCAAAUGGAACAACCAUGGUCCAGACCGAAGAAACACCAAAUGAGUUCAUGGUGAAGAUGAAGAACAUACCUUGUUGAGCCAUUUCCGGAAUCUCGAAGGUAUGAGGGUGCGAUGAUCUUCCAGAUGUUAGAGCCUGAAUGGUUUUUCCUUAUUCUUCUCUAGAGGGGAAUGAGAAAACCAAAAGCUUGAGAGUUUGUGUUGUGUUAGGAGAGGAGCCUUAUGGUUACCUUAUGUUAUAUAUGCCUAAUGGAUGAGUUGAUAGUGUUAUAUCCUUUUGGAUAACACUAUCCUCAUCCUACCUUAUUCUCCACAACUUUACACCUGAAAACCUGUUGCUCUACAAAUGGGGACCAUAACCCAUAAAAGUAACCCCAUAGUGGUUACUACUUAAGUUGCAAUAAUUUUGAUUCAGUCCCUUCAUCAAAUCAGAAAUUGCCUGAAGGUAUCUACACUUAUUAUUAUUUCAUGACACAUAUGCCCUUAGCCACCAAAUCAAUAACUGAAGAUCAUUUUAUAUUUUGACUAAUUACAAAACGACCAUAACAUAAUUACAUAAUUAUAUUUGUGACAUAAAUUGUCAGAAAUUCUACCAAUCUCCCACUGGUCACACAUAUGAUUCUCUGUACGUGUUAUCCUUAUUGCGCGCUUAAAUAUUGCCAUUUUGACUUAGGCAUACCCAAAUUAUCCCGUCCGUUAGUCCUGUCUCCAUAUCGAAUCACAGUGAACUUCGCCAUAUUAAUCAUGACUAAUUCAACAAUGAUCACCAACAUUGACACAACCAAAUGACACAGAUACAUCAUGAAAUGUGUAGCAUGAAAAUUACAUGAAUAUGAUCUGUACAUGUCAAUUUUCAACUGGUCCUACUUAACUUUAGUGAGAUCCUUAAUAAUAACAUAAAACCUUAUUGUACAAAGUAUAAUGACAGAAUACCAAACUGAAUGAUUAAUCAACUGAAGUUUGAAUACAAAGUAUUCAUACAAAAUACUGAAAUUACAUAGAACAUAACAAAAUGUGUGCACUUUCUAACUCCCACUAAACCAAAAUAUCCUCACACUGUAGAACACCCAUGUGAGCAGCAUGCUCAUGAAAGACCUUGGGUGUGAUAGCUUUUGUGAGAGGAUCCGCAAUCAUGGAGUUAGUGCCUAAGUGUUCUAUGGAAAUUUGUCCACUUUGUACCUUCUCCUUACAACUAGGAACUUAAUGUCGAUGUGUUUCGACUUUGCCGAACUCCUAUUAUUGUUUGAGAACAACACAGCUGAUUUAUUGUCACAGUAUAACAAUAGUGGUCUUUCAAUCCUUUCCACAAUUCGUAGCCCAGUGACAAAAUUUCUCAGCNNNNNNNNNNNNNNNNNNNNNNNNNNNNNNNNNNNNNNNNNNNNNNNNNNNNNNNNNNNNNNNNNNNNNNNNNNNNNNNNNNNNNNNNNNNNNNNNNNNNUAGCAACUGGAGUAUCCAUUGCUUUACAGUCCUGCAUGUCAUAUAUUUUGAGUACUUUUUCUAUAUAGCUCUUUUGUGAUAAUCCAAGAAUACCCCGAGAUCUAUCUCGGUGAAUAUGAAUUCCUAAUACAAAAGAAGCUUCACCAAGAUCCUUUAUUUCAAAAUUACUAGAUAGAAAUGUAUUGGUUUCUAACAAGGUACCCAUAUCAUUAGUGGCAAGCAGUAUGUCAUCCACAUACAAGAGCAAAAAAAUAUACUUGCUCCCACUGAACUUGUGAUACACACAAUCUUCGACUGAAUUCAUCUCAAAACCAAAGGAGAGAAUCACCUCAUGAAAUUUGUGGUACCACUGACGAGACGCCUGUUUCAUCCCAUAGAUGGAUUUUGUCAAUUUGCAUACCAUAUCCUUUCGGUCUCCCGUUACAAAGCACCAUAUAAAUCUUUUCAUUAAUGUUUCCAUUUAGAAAAUCUGUUUUGACAUCCAUCUGAUGAAGCUCCAAAUCAUAAUGUGCCACAAGAGCCAUGAUUGUCCUAAGAGAGUCUUUCAAUGAAACUGGAGAUACAGUCUCUUUAUAGUCAAUCCCUUCCUUCUGAGUAAAACCCUUAGCUACAAGACGCGCCUUAUACCUCUCCACAUUACCAUUAGAAUCCCGCUUGGUCUUAAAAAUCCAUUUGCAACCAAUGGGUUUCUUACCUUCUGGUAAUGGGACAAGUUCCCAAACUUUAUUGUCUUGCAUGGAUUUAUACUCCUCUUUCAUUGCUUCAAUCCACUUUUCCGAAUUGGAACUUUGGAUGGCUUCACGAACGUUUAAUGGAUCAUUGUCCAUUAAGCCAUCACCCUCAUGUUCCAGGAGAAAGCAAAUGUAAUCAUCCGGAAUUGCAUUUCUCCUUUCUCUAGUUUCCAUUAAGCCAUCACCCUCAUGUUCUAGGAGAAAGCAAAUAUAGUCAUCCGAAAUUGCAUUUCUCCUUUCUCUAGUGGAUCUACGCAAAGCUAUAGGCUCUUGCACCUCUUGUCCAUGUUCCUGAGGGUUUUGAGUUUGUCCUUCAUGAAUUACUAACUCACCUUGAGCAGGGAAGGUUUCAUCAGUUAUGUCUUGAGGAGGUUCCAAAUUUGCUUCAUCAAAAUCAACCAUAUGAGUCGCAUCUGGAAUAGAUACGGAUUCUUCCUCUAAGACAAAGUUUCUAACCUUAUCUUCCCCCUCAAACUCAAUAUCCUCAAAGAACGUGGCUGAACCCGUCUUAAAUAUGGAUUUCAUACUUUGGUCAUAAAAUUUAUAGCCCCUUGAUUUUUCAGAGUAACCAAUAAAGUAACUGCUUACUGUACGGGAGUCCAAUUUCUUUUCAUAAGGCCUAUAAGGCCUUGCCUCAGCUGGACAUCCCCACACAUGAAAAUGCUUCAGACUUGGCUUUCGCCCAGUCCAAUGCUCAUAAGGUGUUUUAGCAGUUGCCUUAGUUGGUACCCUAUUAAGAAUAUAAGCUGCUGUCUUAAGUGCCUCUCCCUCCCAGAGUGACUCUAGAAAAGUAGAGUGACAAAUCAUACUCCUUACCAUAUCCUUAAGAGUUCGGUUUCGUCUUUCAGACACACCAUUCAUGCUAGGCGAUCCUACCAUGGUGUACUGUGGGACUAUACCACAUUCCUCCAGGUAUUUGGCAAAAGGCCAUGGACGUUGUUCGCCUGAACCGUCAUAUCUACCAUAGUAUUCACCACCACGGUCAGAUCUGACACACUUAAUCAUUUUGCUGAGUUGGUUUUCAACUUCAGCCUCAAAAGUUUUGAACACGUCCAAUGAUUGGGACUUUUCAUGAAUUAGAAAAUUGUAUGCAUAACAAGAAUAAUCGUCUAUGAAUGAUAUGAAGUAUCGUUUACCAUUCCAAGAAGCCGUAGGGAAUGGCCCACAAAUAUUCGUAUGUAUCAAUUCUAAGACGUCUGAAGCUCUAUAUGCAUCAUAUUUCGAUUGUUUGGUCUCUUUUCCUUUUAUGCAUUUAACACAAACACUGAGGUUUGUGAAGUCAAUGGAAUCCAAAAUCCCAUCUGACACAAGAUGCUCAAUUCUCUUUUGACAAAUGUGACCUAGGUGCUUGUGCCAUAAUGCACCUGAAUUAUUAUUUUCAAUUUUAUGCUUAGUACCCUGGUUGCAUAUGCAUUGGCUAUACCAGCUUUAACAUUUUGUCUUUCGAACGAAGAGAUUUUCAAUAUAUGCUGCUUAUUGCUGUCAUAUCCAUUUAAAUAGCAUGUAGUUUAAUUGAUGCUAACAUAUUUCCAUAGUAUUGUAUGGUUGUUUUCUUUUCUCAAACUUCAAGCAUACCUCGGAAAUGUGAGUUUCAUUAAUUUCAUAGUUCCAAUAGACACUUCAAUAUGGAAAUGUGAGUUUCUAGAGUUAAAACUUAAAUAAUUGAGUGGGGAUCGUCUCCAGUACUGGAGAGUUUAGUAUUGGAUGGGAUUAAGAUAUGUGGCAAAAAAAAUCUUUUAAUGGAUAUGAUUAUAUGUUAUUUUGUAAUACAAAAUAAAUAAGAAACCUUUAAAAAAAUUGUAUCCUCAUAUUCCAGUACUGAUCUCUCCAGUACUACUCUCACCCGUACCAUUUUUCAUUGUUUCAUUUACACUUAAAACAUAAACUAUACCCCUCACAUAUUUCAAUUGUUUUUAAAUAAAUAAAACAAAUGGAUACAGAUUUUUGAGAAAGUUGAUGACAGAAGUACAACAUUUUAUUGUAAAGGAAAAAUAAAAAUUUGUAAAUAAUUAUUUGCUAAAAGAGAAAAGGUGUAUGUAUGUAAGAGAUUUUUACACUAUCAUUGCAUCAUCUAUCAUUUAUUUUGUUAGGGUGAUACCCUAACAGUGAAGAAUUCUAAUAUACUAAAGGAAAACUAAGAACGAUAAAAAAGAGUUAAUUUUUAUUGAUGCCCUUUGAAUGAGGGUUAGCAUUACUUGAAAUAUAAUCUUAAUCCAGUUAUUUGGAAAUUAAAUCUAAAAAUAACAAAAUAUAAUCUUAUCAUAAUCUUCUCCUAAUUACAUAAGAUAAUCUUUAAAUUUAGGAGGUAGUUUUAUAUCUGUCUUGGGUCUUCCUGUGAUACUGGACUCAGAGUGAGAUCUAGGCGGUCCAACACAUUUUUAGGUAUGAAUAUUUUGUUUGUAUAGUAGAGCAGAAAGUUGGUAAAAUGAAAGUGUGGUUGUGGUUGUUGUUGUAGUUUACCAUUCAUGAACAUGGUAAUUAAUUUUUGUCUGUCUUGUGUGUUGUAGAAUUUUCAGAGAUCAUCUAGAAACAGAGGUAUUAGUGAAGUGAUGCUGAACAAAAGUGCUUCAUCAGGUGUAUGACAUCUGGAUAGUCCAUCCACAGCUCUAUUCUCCUUCUCAGGACGGUAAAAUAUCUCAUACUCAAAGCCUUGUAACUUGGUUGCCCAUUUUUGCUGCUCUAGAGUCUGAAAUGUUUGAGUCAUCAAAUGUUUUAGGCUUUGUUGAUCAGUAAAAAUUCUAAAGGGUCUGCCUAUUAAAUAUUGUCUCCAUUUUUUAACAGCUUUUGUUACUGCAUACAUUUCUCUAACGUAUGUUGAUGUUGCUUGCAUGUGUGCAGAUAUCUUUUUUCUGAAGUAUGUUAUUGGGUGACCUUAUCGAGAUAAAACAGCAUGAAUGGUGAUCCCUAAAGCGUCUAUUUCAACAUCAAAAGUCAUAGUGAAGUUUGGUAGAGCUAGUACUGGAGCAUUUGUCAUUAUGUGUUUUAAAUUUUCGAAUGUCUAUUGGGUUGAUGUACUCCAUGUAUAACUUCCUAUCUUUAGUAAAUCUGUCAAAGGAGCGGCAUGUGAGGCAUAUUGUUUGAUAAACCAUCGAUAAAACCCGGUGAGGCCAAGGAAAACCUUUAAGGCCGUGAUCGACUUUGGUGUUGGCCAUUCAACAAUGGCUUGAAUUUUUUCUGGGUCUGGUUGUACAUCGUCACUUGAUAAUAUAUGUCCUAGAUAAUCCAUGCUAUGCACGCCAAAAACACAUUUAGAUCAUUUUGCAAAAAAUUUAUGCUCCCUUAAUAAGGCUAAAAUUAACCUUAAGUGUGUUAGAUGUUCAGUCAAGGUCUUGUUGUAGAUUAAUAUAUCAUCAAAAAAUACGAGAACAAAUUUUCGAAGAUAUGGUCGUAAUAAAUCAUUCAUGGCAGCUUGGAAUGUUGAUGGCCCAUUAGUGAGGCCAAAGGGCAUUACCAGGAACUCAUAAUGCCCGUCUACUGUCCGAAAUGUUGUUUUGUGAGUGUCGGCAGGGUCCAAUCUAAUUUGAUAGUAUCCAGAUCUUAAAUCAAUUUUUGAGAAAAUAUGAACAGUUGCUAAUUCAUCUAGGAGCUCAUCAAUAGUAGGAAUUGGAAACCGAUUUUUAACAGUAAUUGCAUUCAAAUUGCGGUAAUCCAUACAAAAACGUCAUGUUCCAUCUGUAUUUAAAUCUAGUAAAACUGGGGAUGAAAACGGGCUAGUACUUGGUACUAUUAUGCCAACUUGUAACAUUUCUGAUAAUAGAGUUGACAUUGCUUCCUUUUGGGAGUGGGGAUAUCGGUAAGGUUUAACAUUAACUGGGGAUGAGUUGGGUAUGAGGACAAUUUUAUGAUCAUGUGGUCUUUGUGGUGGUAAUCCUUUUGGGGUACUGAAGAUUGACUCAAACUCCUUUAGUAUGGGUUGGAUAGCUUUAUUGUGGGUAUUGUUUAGGUCUGUUAAGGCUAGAUAGGUUGUCUGUGUUGUUGAUGAUUGUGUUUGGGUGGGUGCGACUGUGACACAGAAUAUGUCUGCAAUAGCAUCUGUAUGUAUUAGUCUUUUGAGUUGGUGGAAGGUGGAUAAUGUUGGUGAAGGUGAGUGUUGUCCGGUUAAGGUGAUGGGUUUAUUGUCAUAUGUGAAUGUCAUAGAGGGAAUGGCAAAAUCUGAACUGACUGGUCCUAGAGUAUUUAACCAUUCAAUCCCUAAUACCACAUCAUCUUCUUGUAUUGGCAAAAGAUAAAAUGGAAUGUGAAAUAGCUGUUGUUGUAGGUUGAUAGGAGUUUCUUUACCUAAUGCAGCACAAUAAAUAUUCUCACCAUUACCUACCAUGACUGUAAACUUUGGGGUUGAGCAGAUAGGUAGCUGUAAAAAUUGUGCAACUCGGGGUUGCAUAACAUUGUGUGAACUACCUGUAUCUACUAACACAGGCACUGUAUGUCCAAAAAUUUGGCCUUCAAAUUUAAGAGUCUUUGGAGAUGGGUUACCUUGUAGAGCGUGAUCAGAUAAGUGGAAGUGAAUAAUUUCUUAUUGGUCUAUGUUAUGAGAUAUGCAUUCUGCAUCCAACAUUAGUAAAUGAGGGUCAUUAGCAAUUAGACCCUCACUACCUUCCUCACUCAACAUCAAGAGGAAUUGCUUUGGUUGGCAACAGUGUCCUGGAACGAAAUUUUCAUCGCAAUUAUAACAUAGUCCAUGGGAGCGUGUGAUGUAGUUUUACUAACAUCAUUAAGUCCAGCAGUCUUGGGACUGGUUAUUGUAGUUGUUUGGGAGCGCCAUGAACGAUUUGAUGUGGCCUUUGCUGCAGCGAUUUUACUUUCCACCAAUUUUGCCAACCCAAUUGCAUGAAUCGCUGAAAAGGGUUGUUGAAUUGCUAGUUCGUGUCCAAUCUCUGGAUGAAGUCCACAUAAGAAACAGUUGAGCAGCAUUUCAGGAGUCAUUCCGACUUAGAUUUGAGAGACGUUCAAAUCUAGUUUGGUAAUCUGUGACUGCAGUAGUUUGUUUUAAUUUAAAUAGUUCAGCUUGAGGAUUUUCAAAUGUAGAUGGUCCAAAACGUAUAACUAGAGCUUUUGUAAAGCCUUCCCAACUUGUUAAUUGGUUGGUCUGAAACAUCCACUUAUACCAACUUAAGGCAUUUCCUUUCGUUGAGAAUGCUACGAGUUCAAGGCGUUGUUGAAAGGGAGUGACUUGAUAUAAGUUGAAAUAUUGUUCUGCUCGGAAUAACCAAUCUUGUGGUUUUGUACCAUCAAAUGGUUGUAGUUGUAAUUUCGGAGGCUUUAUAUUUCCUGGUGGUGGAAACAGUCCACAACUAUAUGGAGUUGCUGGUGAUCUUGGUUGGGAGCCAUAUGGUGACGGUGGUGUUGGUUGAAAGUCAUAUGGUGGUAGUGGUGGUGUUUGUGUUGUGUUUGUGGUUAACCUUGCGAUCUUUUCCACUAACCCAUUAAGGGUGCUUUCCAUGCGGGCUUCCAUGGACGCCUGGAAUAGAUCUUGUCGUUCAUUCAUGUUUUGUUGCAUAGCAACCAAUUUUUCUAGAACCAUCGCAUUGGAAGUGUCCUCCAUGGUAGAGUGUGUGGAUGAAGAAGAUGAAGUAGGUUUAUGAGGCAUGAAAACAGCAAUAAAAGUACCAAUGUUAGGGUGAUACCCUAGCAGUGAAGAAUUCUAAUAUACUAAAGGAAAACUAAGAAUGAUAAAAAAGAAGUAAUUUUUAUUGAUGCCCUUUGAAUGAGGGUUAUCAUUACUUAAAUAGUACUUGAAAUCUAAUCUAUUGAUUGUUGAAAUAUAAUCUUAAUCCAGUUAUUUGGAAAUUAAAUCUAAAAAUAACAAAAUAUAAUCUUAUCAUAAUCUUCUCCUAAUUACAUAAGAUAAUCUUUAAAUUUAGGAGGUAGUUUUAUAUCUCUUGGGCCUUCCUGUGAUACUGGACUCAGAGUGAAAUCCAGGCGGUCCAACAUAUUUUUAAUCAUCAUUAACUUUUAAAUAAAAGUAAUACCAAUGAAUGGUAAAUAAUACAUUGAUUGUGUAUAAAUCCUAAAAAUGUUUCAAUUUUAUGAAUUAUUAUCAUUAGAGAGCAAAACUUUGAAAGUAACACACUUAGUAACAUCAAUCAUUUAGCAAGCAAUUUAAAAAAAACACAGUAAUAGUAAAACAAUUUAAUAAUGUGUCUUUUUAUCUUUCUAUUUGAAAGGGGAACAUAUAUAAUCAAGUGAAACUUAAACAAUAUAUAUAACAAAUCAACUAAUCAUCAUCUGGAAUGACAAAUACAAAUGAAAAGCUAAUCGUGCUAUUCAGUGGCGGAUCUUGAACAAAAUUUUAGAGGUCAAUAAUAUUUAAUUACAAUUAAUUAAAUAAAAAGAAAAACUUUCAAACUUAAAUGGCUAACAAUACCAAAAAUAAAAUAUUGUCAUUGACAUAUUAACCUAAUCUUAUUACUCAUUGAAAGUCACACGAUAGAAAUUUUGGACAAAAUAUAUAUAUAUAUAUAUUAUCAAUGCAUACAUAAUCUCUUUCAUCAAGUGUAAAAUCAUUUUGAAGUCAUAUUAUUAUGAGCAGCCACCAACAUCAAAACAUGCAAGAGAACUUAAUUCAUUAUAUAUAAUUUUUUGAAUGACUACACAAGUUGCACUAUAUUUAUUUAUCUAGCCACAAAUUAANNNNNNNNNNNNNNNNNNNNNNNNNNNNNNNNNNNNNNNNNNNNNNNNNNNNNNNNNNNNNNNNNNNNNNNNNNNNNNNNNNNNNNNNNNNNNNNNNNNNGGGUGCUAAUACAUUCCCUACCUUGUAACCGACUCCUGAACCUGGAUAUCAAAAAUCCAAAAGCCCAAGGUAAUUGGGCUUAAAAGAUUUUUAUACAUUUUUAACUAUAAAAUGUAGUGGCGACUCUAAACAAAGUCGUGCAGCCGAAAAUCGGGGCGCGACAGCUGGCGACUCUGCUGGGGAAUUUUUUGAGAGAGUCUGACCCAUAAUCAAUAAAAUGUGUGACUGUUUAUUUACCAUAUUAUUAUUAUUAUUUUAUUUGGUUGAUUAGUUAAUUUCCAGUAAAAGGGCAUACUUAAUUAGUAGUUGUAUGUAUAAAUAUGUUACAUGCUUAAUUAGUAAUUAUAUAUUGCGUAUAUGAAUUAUAUGUGUAUGUCUGUAUUGUUUUUAUUAUUGUGUGAUAUAUAAUGUACACAUUUUAGGCACACAUAUAUGCCCUACACCCGGGUAUUAGUGAUACAUUUUUUGGAUAGAAGGGACACUAGCCUCGCUGGUCGCGGUUUUUGCCGCUUCUAAGUGUUGGUGAUGUGGACCACUCAUAUUGUUACCUAUCAUAUUGUUACCUCUUAUUAUGAGUUUGCCGCUCGAGCUGGUCUCCUGUGUCUAACAUCAUAAUAGUCAGGCUUCUCUAUUUGAGAGAGAUGCAAUAUGGGAACUUUUAUAGGGAGUCUAGAACUUGUCAAGGGCGUCCAUUGUAUAUUAGAACAUUAUCCUAGGACGUUGUACUUGUUUGUGAAUUUUGUGAUAUGUGUAAUGUUUGUAUUGUAACACAUUGUUUGGAAUUUUGUCGUAUAAAAUAAAAAUCAUGUAAAAUAUCGCCCCCUUGAGGAGAAUUCAUAAAAAAUACAUGCUCAAACAUUCAUUCAUUUAUCCAUUUAUUUAUGCGUUCAAAAAAUAAAAUAUUUAUUGAUUGACUUAUGCAUUCAAAAAUAAAAUUCUUCAUUGAUUGAUUUAUACGUUCAAAAAGAAAUUUUUUAUUAAUUGACUUAUACGUACAUUCAUACAUGCAUAUAUAUAUAUAUAUAUAUAUGAAAAUUCAUCAUCUACUACUUAUGCAUGCAUUUAUUCAUUCAUCAAAAUACAUAUAUAAGAAAAACAUACAUUCAAAAAUUUAAUUCCAUCCAUGCAUAUGCUAACUAGAAAAAACUAUCAUUGACAAUAAUUCAUUCAUACAUGCAUACAUAUAUGUAUUUUAACAAAAAAAAUAAAAAAUUAAAUCAUUCAUACACUCUCUAAUUAUUUCACAUAUUCAUCCAUUCACUCAUGCAUCAAAAAAAAAAUAAUUUAUACAUUCAUUCAUGUAAAAACAAUAUACAAAUAACUCAAACUUUUAUUCCCUCGUCGACUCAUUACUCAUUCAUGCAUUCAAAAUAAAUAAAAAAGAAAAUACAUCAUUUAAAUACUCAUUUACUUAUACUUUCAUAUAUUCAUUAAAAAUAAUAUAUUAAUCAUACAUUCAUUCAUUCAUGCAAUCAAAAAGAAGAAAUCAUUCAUUCAUUCAAUCAUACAUUCAAAAAUAAAUAAAAAAUUGAUUGACUUAUUUAUUCGUUCAUCACAUAAAAAAGAAAUCUUCAUUAAGUCGCUUAUGCAUUUAUUCGUUCAUUCAAUUAUUAAUGCAUACAUCAUUCAUACACUCUUCUACUUGUUCAUGCAUACAUGCAUUUUAAAAAUAAUAAAUAAAUAAAUUAUAUAUUCAUUCAUACACUCAUUUUAAAAAAAAUACAAUGAUCAUACAUUCGUCUAAUUUUAUUCGUUCACCCAAUCAUUCUAAAAAAAAAGAAGUUGUUAUUCAUGUAUUCAGAAAGAAAAGAAAUCAUUCAUUGGCAAGCAUUCAUUCAUGCAUAAAAAAUAUUAAGCAUUCAUUCACUAAUGUAUACAUGCAAUUUAAAAAAUAAACACAUUACCCACACAUACAUUCACUGAUGCAUACAUUCAUCAAAAAAUAAUAAAUAAAUAAAUGACACAUUCAUUCAUACAUUCAUCAAAAAAUGAAAAUAAACUAUUCAAAAAGAAAAUAUCCAUUCAUUAAUUCAUGAAAAAUACAUCAUUCAUACACAUAUUUAUUCAUACAUUCAUUCAUAAAAAAAACUUCAUUAAAAGAUUGUAUCAUUUCAAUAACCAUUUUUUAUAUCUUCAUCAUAAAAAUAAAAUAAAAUAAAAAUGUCAUACAUCUUCCUAUAUAUCAUAACCAUCAUGCAUUCAAAGUCGUACAUAUCAUAAAUUGCAUUUUUCAGCAGUAUCAUUCAUUCAAGAAAAAAUAAAAUUACAUGCAUUCCCACCUCUCAUGCAUCAUGAAAAGGUUUGCAUCCUUGCACCAUCCAUACAUCCAAACAUAUGCAUAAUCAUACGCGUUCCUUGCAUUUCAUGCAUCAUUUUAAGUUAUAGGUUGCAUAUCAAUUCAAGUAACAUGAUAAAAAAUUCAGUUCAUACAUCAAUAAGAAAUCAUUCUUUUUGCAUGCCUCAUGGUCGCCAACUGCGGGUCAAAACGUCUUACUAUAUCGAUCCUCCAAAUGAUUCAAAAUGCAUUAACAUCACUAUAUCAAGUUCAUGCAUGUCAUGCAAUUAUAUAUUCAUCAAAAUAUACAUCAUUAAAACAUUCAUAAAAUAAAAUUAAAAAAAUCAUUCAUAUAUACAUGCAUAAUUCAUACAUUCAUCAAAAUAUACAUCAUUCCAAAUGUUAUAUCAUUCAAACAUUCGUCCAUUCAUAUAAUGAGUCAAAAGCCAAAAUAUCAUUCACUCAUUCGUUCAUCGAUUGAUAUAUAAAUUCAUAAAAUGAAAAAUUUGUAAAUCAUUCAUUCACACCUUCAUACAUACAUUUAUAAAAUCAAAACGCAAAAAAUAAAAUUUCAUCAUUCAAAUCUUCAUCAAAAAACAAAAAAAAUAUCAUGCAUCAUUCAAUCAUUCAAAAAAUAAACAUUCCAAAAUUCAUACAAGAAAUCUAACAUUCAUUCAUCUAAUCAUAAAUAUCAUCUAUCCAUGCAUGGAUUCAUCAUAAAAAUCGAAAAAAUCACUCAGACAUUACAUUUCAUGCACUAUCACAUAUUGCAUUCCAUACAUCAUACAUUAUCUAAGAAGUAAAAAUAAAGUGAUGAUUCAUGCACCUUCAUCACUGACUAAAAAACAAAGCAAAAAAUCAUUUCACCAUUGCAUUUUCAUGCAAUAGCAUACCAUUCAUUUCAAUACACAAUCGCAUACACCACCAAAUCCAUGCUCCAAAGCUUCAUACCCAUAUCAAAAUUCAUAUUCAUACAACACCUUUCAAUACCAUACACCCUCACAACUCCCAAAACACCGUCCUAACACAAACAAAAUAGAUGUUCCUCAACAAACCCAAAACAAGUCACAUCAUGAUUGCUUCGAAGCACCCUUAUAACAAUCGUCUUCGAUCAAGACUCAUGGCAUAAUCAAAUCUAGAGAAUCAAGUCAGAGUUGACAGGCCUCAAGGAACUCAUGAGUCAGAACAUAUUUUGAAACCCCUACUGCUCUCUCCACAGCUUAGCAUCAUCAAACAACGGAAUCCCAUGUCUCCAUUUAAAGAAUAAAGUUGAUUUUCGAGUGCAUAUCUUUUUCAGAAGAAUAUACUAAUGCAUUGAUCAUGCGAAUUUAUCAUCUCAUACCUCAUACCACAAAUCUCAUUCCAACAACAACAAAAAUGAAAAAAUCAAAUAAAAUUAAUUAAUGCAUUAAUGUGAGAUAUUUGAUUCAAUAACUUUAAUGAAAUAAAGGAUGAUGCAAAUGUAAGACCCAAAAUGGUGCAAAUCCUAAUGCAAAUCUUUCUGAUGACACAAGGCAUCUUUGAAAAUCCUAAACACUAAGAAGAUAUCCCUAGUCACCCCAUUUGAGCCAUAGACUUCAUGAAAGGAGAUUUUGUCUAAGUUACCCAUAAAUAUCAAUAACCUUGGGCAGGGUAGUUUCUCAACUGUUUUCCUUGGCAUUCAAUCACUAAGAAACAAAUACACUCUACCUCUACCGUUUCCAAAUCUAACCCGAGGGUUAAAAAUCCUAAGCAAUUCAAAUAAAGAAGUUCAUCGGUCAAAGUGCGGAAUAACAUAAAAAAAACAAAGGAAGAAUAUACAAAAGACCCGCUGAGAACCCUCAAUAAAAAUCUCAGGGAAAAGUUAGGGCCAAUAAAGUGCACUAUCAAUGACCACAAAAAGGAACAAUUCAAAUACCUCUCGGGAAGAUUAUCGCCUAAAUAUUAGGCCCUUACCUAUUACAUCAUAAAAAUCCAACAAAAUCUUAGUACUUGAAUGUCAUGUCAGAAAAUCGUUGAAAAUAGGACAAUGGAGAAAGGAAGAUGUAGAAAGGGGUUUGGGAAACACAUUUUUGAGCCUUAUCCUUUUUUCUUGAAAACCCUUAGCCAAGCCACGAUACAAGCUCAAAAGACCUUGUCGAAGAUAUGAUUUGCCUAAGAAAUGUACUAGGGCAGAGAAACGCUGACUCCCAUAAAAUUCAAAAUUUUGAUAAAAAUAUCUCAUCUUUAAUCUAUCGGAUUAAAUUUCAUCCUUCAUCAUCACCACCUUUAAAUCAACACGCAAAAAUCAAAUUUGCAUGACCAUUGCUUUUAGUAUUUCUUUUUAAAAGAGUUGCGCAUGGAAACACAUUUGACAAGUGAAAAUCAGAAGAACGAUUCUCAAUCCAAACUGGGGCAGUUUUUGGAGGCUGACCUCAUUUCUCGAAAAAAGGUACCCAUAAACCUAUAACUUGGGGCAAGGCUGAAGUUGCUCAUCAUGGAUCAGUCCAAAAUCUUCUACCAAGCAGAGGCAAGAUCUUGCAUCCUCGCCUUCAAAUUUCAAGGGUGACUCAUGUUUUUAUGCAGUUAUGACUGUCACUUGAGGGUGUUCAAAUAUAGUCAAAAUAAAAAACAAGCAAAAAAGAAGAAAAAAAGAGUGUUAGGUUGAAAACCCGGAAGGGCGACCUAAGAAAAAGGAGAGCAGUGCUAAGUCGAAAACCUUCAAUGGCAACUUAGUGUCAUAAUAAAAAGAGAGAAUUCCCGACAGGUACCUACACUAGGUAUUUUGGGCAAAAAUUAGGGAAAAUAAACGAACACCCUCAAGUGAAAAUCACUAUUGUUCAUCCUCAAUCAUGCAAACUGGGGCAAUUUAUUGGAUAAUCAUGCUCUUCCAAUAAAUUAUUGACAAGAUACUGUGACAGUUUAUUGGACGAUCAGACUCUUCCAAUAAACUCUUGACAAGACACUGGGGCAUUUAAUUGAUUUGCCUACCGUAAACUGAAGCAAUUCCUUGAAGGAUCAAAGUCAUAUAAGAGAGCAAGCAAAUCAUCAACAAAUUUGUCAACUAAAGCCAGUCGUAAAAGGGUUGUGAAAUUGAAAAGUUUUAAGGGUGCAGAAAAGCAAUUUUGAAGACAAAUAAACAAUAAAAUUCAAAAUUCAUUGUUCCAAAACCCAAUACAUCACUACGUCAUGCAAACUAAACCAAAUUUCAUACAUCACUCAUGACAUACAUACAACAUAACUAUACCUAUCAAUGCAUAGUCACAUUCAUAUACCAAUCAUUAUAGCAAAAACAAAAAUAAAAAACAUAGCAUAAUUAAUCUUUGCAUAUAACCAAACAUUCAAACAUGCAUCUUCAUAUUAUUCUUUUAAUAAGCACAAACGAACAAACAAAAUCGUGCAUUGCAUAUAAACCAAGCAUUCAAACAUGCAUUGCAUUGCAUAUAACCAAACAUUCAAACAUGCAUCACUACAUCAUUUCUCUAAUAAAAAACAUAAAACAAACAAAACACUACAUCUUAACAUACAUUUCUAAAAAAUGUCUACAUUAACAAUCGGUCUACAACAUUACAUUCUACAAGUGAAUUUUUUAACUUCACACCAAAACCUCCGUUUUGGCAGCAUGGGUGCCUCAACAAAUCCCUGGUCCAUCACGGCAAAAUCGGGAACUGCCUCAACAANNNNNNNNNNNNNNNNNNNNNNNNNNNNNNNNNNNNNNNNNNNNNNNNNNNNNNNNNNNNNNNNNNNNNNNNNNNNNNNNNNNNNNNNNNNNNNNNNNNNGGCAAAAUCGGGAACUGCCUCAACAAAUCCCUGGUCCAUCACGGCAAAUUCGGGAACUGCCUCAACAAAUCCCUGGUCCAUCACGGCAAAUUCGGGAACUGCCUCAACAAAUCCCUGGUCCCUCACUGCAAAUUCGGGAACUGCCUCAACAAAUCCCUGGUUCAUCACGGCAAAUUCGGGAACUGCCUCAACAAAUCCCUGAAUCAUUCCGGCAAUACACCGACCUGCGUCUUUGGUUUCACCCUUAUCACUCUAAAUUCCAGCAAUACACCAACCCGAGUCUUUAGUUUCACCCUUGUCACCCCAAGUUCUAGUAAUACACCGACUUGUGUUCUUGGUCCAUAACCUUGUGUCGUCCAAAUUCCGGCAAUACCCGACCUGCGUUCUCGCUUAUCUUAUCGAAUUCCAGUAGUACCCGACCUGCAUUCUCAUGUUUACUUUUUAGUGUCUCAAAUUCUAGCCUUGUCUUAUUUUUGAGAUUAUGUGGUGAUUGCUGCUUUCGCCUAUUUCAACAAAAUUGGCGUUCAUUUCUUUACUAAUUACUUACUACGAUAGCAACACUCAAACAUCAGUUUGCUUGCUAUCUAGUAAGCAACAAGUAAAGAGAGGCAGCUGUGAACACCCAAUUUUGUCCUACCUUUACUUUUCAUAGUUGGUGCAAAAAUCAAUAAAGAUAAAACACCAUUUCAUGAUUUGUGAGAGCAAUUGGGUAAUUAAAUUAUAAAUUUAUAUGGUUCAUAAGUUGAUAUUAACAAAAUACCCAAUUUCUCGAGUUACAUAAUAUCAUGGUGCCUAAACGUUUUUUUACGAGGACCCAUCCUCACUUACCAACUUGAACUUGCAUCGGAAGGUUCCCCAUCAAUAAUGAAGAAAUGCGAAUUCUAAAUACAUCCCUAAAUAUGAAGAGUUGUUCCUUUAAAUUGAGUAAAAGACUUAGUUUGAUACACUCUAGUGUGUCCAAUCUGGUUAACCAAGUAAAUAUGGAAAGUGUGCAAGACCAAAGCUUGCGUUCGGUUCUGUCUAUUGACACCAAGCCUAGGCUAGAAGGGACUUCAUGAUCAUUUAAUGGAAUGCUCAAAACCCAUACUAGUUGUUCAGGAAUCUUUUUGAAUCAAAGCAAGCUAACAUGUGUGAUGCUUUAGAGAAAUAUUUUUGCACAAUGCAAUGUUGCAUGAAUCACGAGUGAUGAAAGCUUUCUUCAUUUCCUCGUCUGGUUAUAUAUUGGACUUUGUGAUGCUUUAUUCAUUGAAGUAUCUAUUAUUCCUUGCACUAAUGAUAACAUUGAGCAACAAACCUGGAUUAUUAAUGAGAUUAGAUUGUUAUACAUGGUAGCUGCUGCAGUUCCGCUUUUAUAUGCAAUUUGCAUGUACAAGGAUUAUGAAAUAUUAAACCAUAGGAUGCUGCUAACUCUAAUGGACAGAAUAAGCAAUAUGAAAAUGCAAAAUGGAGCAUGGCUAUAUGGAUUAAUUCAAGUGACAUCAAGUGACCCUGAACCCUUUGCUUAUGACUUUGACAGAAGCAUUAUUCUGAAUGAUUGGUAUCACCAGAGUACUAAUGAAUAAACCAUUGGAUUGUCUUCAAAUCCUUUUGUAUGGUUGAGGAGACCACAGUCAUAUGAUUACAUCUGAAAAGGAUAAGAUAAAGCCAAAGUAUCCCCUGUUAGUUACACAUUCUUAACAUAAAUGGCAGUGUUAUAGAGAAAACAAUCAUGAAAUAAUUAAAAGAGAAUCAAAGGGAGUGAUCCAGCCGUGGGGUUAUCAACAGGCAGAAGUUCAAAGGUGGCAGUGUAAAACAUACACCAGAAAUCCUACCUCAUUUCAGUUACGUUUGAGAAAAGUCAGCCAUGAAUGUGCAUAAAAGAGAUGCAUGGUAGUGUUAUUGCUAUAUCAGUUACAGUUAGCAUAAUGGCUAGCAGUUAUUUGGGGCAUCCUAACAGGUGCUCUGAAUCAGCUACAAGACUCAGAACCAGCUAUAAAAGAAGGGCAAUCACGCAUACAAAAAGGAGGCAAAGAUAGAGAACAUAGAGAAUAACAAUUUGAUACAGAGAGUUCACAUUAGCAUAUAACACAACACCAAGCACCUAUAUCCAAAGAGAAACCUACAUACAUUCGAGCAAAAGCUAUCCGAAAAUAGAGUUACAUUACUCAGAGGGGCAUAACAAAAAUCAGAGAUACAACACAGAGCAUACACUCAGAAUACCAGGAUAACCACACAAUCAUUUCUCAUGGAUUGGCUUCUCUAUGCGACGGCGUCCCACUAUCAUAUCAUCACCGAAUCAAUGCAAACCGAAUCAUGCCUAGACCAAGUAGAAAAGUAAAAAGAGAUGAGUGAUAAAAGAUGAAUAGAUUAGGGAGAAAGAUUACCCUUUGCCUCAAACCACCGUGGCAAUAGGUGUUCCCAACCUUGAUUCUGCUUUCAUCGCGAACCACCAUACCGCUUUCAUUCUCCCUCAAUGUACCUAUUUAAUAAAACCAAGCAGCAACCAAAAACCAAUCAAGUAAAAUCGAAAAGUAGAAAAGGAGAUGAAUUCACCUUCAUCGGAACGAAAAGAGGAAGGGAUGUCCCAACCGCGAAUAAACCCCUCACCCGAGAACCGUCACAACCCUAAUAGCAAGCCAUCACCGUCAUGCCAUCCUGUCGUCGUCUCGCCACCACCGUAAAGGCACCUCCGUAGUCGUCGAUUAGAAAGAAGGGAAGAAAAGAGGAAUUAGGGAUAUCUUCCGAAACGAACACGGAGUAAUAAAGAGUAACCAUGCACCCUUUGGCUAAAAUCGGUUUCAUCCGAGAGUGAUUCCCUUUGCUGAGAGCUAUGAGGACGAAGGGGAACAUUGAAGAAGAUGGUGAAGUAUCAGGGACGUGUGGAUUUUAGGCUCAAGCAAGGAAUUAGGGAUUCAAAUCCCUUUUCCUUUAAACUCACGUAUGCCUUGCCUUUUUUCUUCUAGUUAAUCCUUUACCUACUUAGUUAUUAUAUUUCUAAGUAUUUACUUAUGUUCCUAUACUAUAUAUUGCUUAAAUGUUUGUUUUGAUAACUAAAAUAAGGUAGUUAUACUUCCUAUGAUAAAUAAUAAUAAUAUAUUUUUACCUCUGUAAAUCAUAUCAAUAUCUGUUCUAGCAAAAAUUUAAUAAAAUUUAUUUAUCAUAUGUUAAAAGAUAAUAACUACCAAUAAUAACAAUAAUUAGAACAUUUUAUUAGGACAAAAAAGAUUAUUAACAGAAUCACAUGAAAUUUUUUAUAAAUGUUUUUGAUAUAAUUUUGGGAGUUAAUCAAAGAUGGAGAGAAGGUUGCCCCGGAGGUCUCUUUCUUCUCAAAUCAUCUUCGAAAGGUCGUGCUACGCCGCUUCUUUUCAAUCGAUUAAAUCUCAAAAUCGAUUAAAUUAAAAUAACAAAAAUUAACCAAACUAACCAACCAAUUUUCAAUAGAGAACUACGUAAGCCUUGAUUCCCUUAAAAGGGAUACGUAGGACCAGGGUCAAUCUUGUCAGUCAUAACAAUAAAAAACUACUUUUUCUUCUUAAUAAUUGAUUAAUUAAUCAUAUAAUUUAAUAAUAAUGAUAAUAAUAAUAAAGUCAUAUAUUUUAGUGAAGGGUACCGCUUAAGGCGGGCGGGUAGUGUGCUAAUACCUUCCCUACCUUGUAACCGACUCCCGAACCUGGAUAUCAAAAAUCCAAAAGCCCAAGGUAAUUGGGCUUAAAAGAUUUUUAUACAUUUUUAACUAUAAAAUGUAGUGGCGACUCUAAACAAAGUCGUGCAGCCGAAAAUCGGGGCGCGACACUACACAAGUUGCACUAUAUUUAUUUAUCUAGCCACAAAUUAAAGAAAUAUAUGAGCUCCCACUAGUAUCUCGAUAAAGACAUCAUUUGGGUGUAGGUAAAAAAGUAUAUUUGCUUCAAAAAGUUUGUAUUUCUAUGUUUCACAUUUUAUAAUUUGAAAGUUUAAUAAUAAAAUAUCUUUUUGGCCAAACGUACUAAGUGACACAUGAAAUAACACAUUCUGUAGGACAAUAAAUAUGUUUCGGUAGAGUAAAAAUUAAAAAAAUAUUUUAAGAAAAAUAAAAAAAAAUCCAGGAGGGCAGCUGCUUCCACCUGUCCCUUCCAUGCUCCGCCCCUGGUGCUAUUAAAUGAUUGAUACAUUUCCAAAAUAUACUAAGAUUAUUUAACUUUAUAAAGAUUCAUUUGAUAUAUUUUUUUAAGUAAAAUAGUUAUACCAUUUGAAGAGGUAUUCUUUUUCAUACAAAUAUAUUUUUUAAUACUUUUUCUAAUUAGUAAUUAUUAACUAAUAAUAAUAUCUUUUUUUACUAUAACCUUGAUUUUCCCUCUACGGACAUAAAAAUAAGUCAUGUAAUAUAUUAUUAGUUCAAUGGAGCAUGUCUUAUUGUAGUCCCUACUCCUUAAAGAAUGAAAUAUUGCAAUGUAUCAAUGUUAAGAAUACAGGAGAAGUCAAAUAAUAAGUCAAAUAAAAUCAUUGAACUAAUUACUUUAGGACAUCCUCAAUCCAACACCAAGUACUGCAAAACAGAACAAUCACAUAUUGGGAAAUCUUAAUUCAUAAUUCAUAAUAUGGUAUCAAAAUAAAAUUCAUAAUUCAUAAGUUGUUAGCUUUGGGGCAUGAAACAUUGAGGUAAAGUGAGAAUUUGGAAAGUAGUAGUUUAUAAUGAUUGAAUGUUUUUCGGUUUGAGAAUUUCUUUAUAUGGAAUGAGAUUCUUACGGUUGAGGCAUUUAUUUCUCUAGCUGUUACAAAACCUUGUAAAAAUAAUAUGCAUUCAUUUCCUUCACUCAAAUUCCAUGGACAUAGAGUCUUAUUAUAUGCAUACAUACAUGUGAAUAUUUCUGGUCGGACAGAAUUGUCUCCUAUGCGAGGAUACUUGUAUGAAACCAAAUUUUUUUUCCUAAAUGAUUGUCAAGUUCUAAUAAUAGCUUGGAAAGCGUUUGAGGAAUCGUUUGGCUUGCAAAACUAAUAGGUGGUCUAAUGUAAGGGCGAGUAAGACCUGGCCCGACCCAUAGACCCGUCUCAACCUGAUGACUUAGGGAUAGGUCUGACCCGUUCAAAUAAAUAAAAAAGACAAACCCAAUUAAAAGGGACAUACUCGUCAUCCAAAAAUGAUGAGUUUGGGUCUAUGUCUGUGUCACCGGCCCGUCCCUUAUAGUUAUAAGUACCUAUCAACUCAUUAUGUUCAACACACAUAACUCAAAUACAUAUAAAUCCAUGCAACAUAUCCACAUCAAAUGGAUAUAAGUGGUGUGGAUAUUUUUUAAUAGAAAUUGAAAAAAAUGCAUAUAAGGAUCACCAAAUGAAAUAUGAAUAGGGACAUGUGAUCCUCAUCCUUAAUGAUAGAAAUACCCGUGUAUAGUGGAAAUUCAUUAUUACCACUUUACCUUAUAUGCAUUUUUUUAGAUUUCUAUUAAUACCAUUCAACUUUAAAUUAUAUGCAUUUAUUUUGGAAUUGAAAAGUGGUAUAGAGAAGAGGAAGAGCAGGGAUAGAAAAUACAUAUUUUUCACUUGUUUUUAAUGACAAAAAUGAGAUUUCAUUGUAAUCAAAAUGAUAUAUAUGUAAUUGAAAGUUGCAUUUCUCUUUACUUUUUGAAGCACUUGUCUCUUCGUUAAUGGAGAGGAUCCUAACUCCUUCUCUAGUAAGAGAGAGAAGUGAUUAUUUCCUUUAAGUUUUUAGAGUAAAAGUGUAAUUAUAAUUUUUUUAAAAAGACACCGAUGUCAAUAUAUUUUUUUCUUUUGAUAUUUCACACUACUUCCUUCUCUAAUAAUGAAGAUGAGUCUCACUCUAUGGAUAAUGAUAAUUUUAGAAUUAAAAAAUUAUGGAUGUUCAAUUGCUUAAUUACCUCUGAGUCAUGUUUUGACCGUAUAUUGUAGUAUAGAUGAUUUACCAACACCAUAAUUUACCAUGUCAUCACUUACUGACACAUAUUAGAUGUGUGUCAUCACUCAAAACUAAAACCAAAAUUUUGGAAUAAAUAAGAAUUAAAACAAAAAACUACAGUUCCAAUAAUCUAUUGUGUUGUGAACAAUGUACAGCGCAGAGUCCAAAUUGUACUCAUCAAUUAACUAAUACGUGUACGCGUAUGUAUAAAAACCAAGGAAAAUCAUCAACGGAUUAAUGAGUUAUAAUGGUUAAUUCAAAAGCAUUGUCAUAGCCUAAGAAAGAGGCAUACAGAACAACCCGAACCAAAGUUCUUCAUUAGAAUGCGUUUGAAGUUAAGAAUCUUUUAUAUACAAAGGGUCCUGCUUUUCAAAUUCUUUACUUUGAUACUUAAUUCACUUUACCCUGUUCAUAAAUUACAUUGUUUGGAGGUAAGAAGACAUUUAUUCAUGAUGGAGGAAAAUGAACAUGAAUCAUGGAAUUCUCUCUCACGUACACACACGGAUUGUUGCAUGUUGCUAAAUGACCCUUUGUGUUGUGACAAAUAGUUAUUUUUAAUAUUUUUUUAACUUUAUUUUGGCUUGACUUUGUGAUUAAAAAGAUUCAGAUGAGUAGCAUUAGAUUCUAUAAGAUGUACAUAAACAAAUGUGUUUUACGACUGGAACCAUGUAGUGGGUAAGAUUCAAAUUUUACUAGAUAUGACAUGUAAAUUUUGAACUCUAUCUCUGACGUUAAACCGCAAACAACAUUUUCGAAGGUAUAUUAUGUAAACUCGUGUAUUAAAAGACUAUGCACAUCUAUCCAGAUAUAAUGAAUGCUCUAGAAGUUAAUGCCUAGAAAUUUCACUGUAAGCGGUCUUCACUUCCACAUUCACAUAUGUGAGUAUAUAAAAAGUACCCAUGUAGUGUAGGGAUUCCAAUUAUAGUAUAACUCUCAUUGAGAAUUCAUAUUAACUAAAUCUCUCUUUACUUCAUGAAUCAUCCACUUAUACAACAUGUUCAUUUCAUAUCAGUUCAUAACUUAUUAUUACAUAUUGAAUUUAUUUAUCGGGACCUUUAAUUAGUUAAUUAGGAUGAGUUACCAACAAGACUGAUUCAUCUCUCUAAGAGAAAUAGUCUCAAUUUUUUAGAAGUAUUUUCGACUUUCUCUUAUAUGAGUCCUUUCGUUAAAGGAUCUUCUAGAUUCUCAUCAGUUUGUACAUGGUCGACUCUAAUAGAUGUGGUUGAGAGUAACUCUCUAACAAUGUUGUGCUUAUGAUGUAUUUAUCGCUUCUUACAAUUGUCAUAACAAUUCUCAAUUUUUGCAAUAGUCACAAUAAUAUCAUAAUGGAUCAACACAACCGAUAUUUCCCAUAAAGGAAUCUCUGCAAGCAAUCCUCUUAUCCAAAUUACUUAUUCUCUAACAGUUGUUGGUACUAUUAUCUUGUAUUCCAUAGUGGAUUGUGUCAAAAUAGUAUGUUUAUUUGACUUCCAAGAAACAAUCCCUCCUACUAUGUUAAAUAUAUAGUCAUUGGCCGCUUUGGAAUUAUUUAAAAGAGUAUUCCAAUCUACAUCACUAUAUCCUUCAAGGACAGAGGGCACCUUUUAUAAUGAAAAUCAAUGUUUAUGAUUCUCUUGAGGUAUCUUAUGACCCUAUCAAUAACGUAUCAAUACUCUAUAUUUGGUCUAUUGGUAAACCUACACAAUAAUCUCCAGCUAUAGGCAAAGUCGGGUCUAGUGCAAUUAGUGACAUAUUGAAGAUUAUCAAUGAUGUGUUAAAAAAAUUACAAUUUAAUCAUAUGGUUUACUAGCAGGUUUAGAAUUAAGUGAUUAUAUUUCUUUAAGAGACUAAUCCAAAUCAAUUUUAUCUUUAGACCUAGUAAUCUUAAUACCAAGGAUUACACUUGCUUCUUUGAAGCCUUUCACAUCAAAGUUGUUACACAAGUGUGAUUUCACAUUAGUCGCAACAUGAAUGUUACAGCCAAAUAUGAGUAGGUUGUCAAUAUAAAGACAUGAUAAUACAAUUAUCAUUUUCAGACUUGUAAUAAAUGCAUUUGUAACUUUUAUUCACCUUAAACCCAAUAGAGACAAUUAAAUUGUCAACUUUUUCAUGUCACUCCUUAGGAGUUUGCUUAAGACCAUUCAAAAGCAUAUCAAAUAUACAUAUCUUAUUUUCUUGUCCCCGAAUUCAAACUCUUCAAGUUGCUCCAUGUAGAUUUCUUCUUCCAAUUUCAUCAUUUCAAAAAGUGAUUUUAACAUUCAUUUAGUGUACUACUAUAUCAUGUAAAACAACAAGAGAAAUUAGUACCAUGAGGAUCGUAUUCUAGUGACUGGUGAAAAGGAAUUAAAGAAACCUACGUUUUUUUCUGAAACAUUUAUCUACAAGGUGAGUCUUAUAUUUAUCAACUGACCGUCGAGUUUCAUUUUCAUUUUCAAAAUCCAUUUACAACUAAUAGGUUUGCAACUAGGAGGCAAGUCUACUAAAUGUCAGGUCUUGUUAGAUUCCAUUCUUCUCAUUAUUUAUGGCUUUUUGGCAUAAUUCAACAUCCAAUGAUACCAAUACUUCUUGGAGGUUUGUUGGAUCCUCUUGUAAUGUAUAUGUCAAAUAAUCAAGCACAUGCUCCUUAAUAGUUCAUGAUCUUUUACUUCUUCUAGGUUCUAUUUUUAUCUUUUCGUUGUUAAUUAUCACUAUUCCAGAUCACUCGAAUGUGACUUAUUUAAGAGCCUCACUAUUUCUCAAUUUGAAAGGGAAAUUUUUUUCAUAAAAACCGUCAUCGUUAGAUUCUAUGAUCAUUUUUAUGUUCAGGUUGUAGAACUAUUAUGCAUUGUUGUCAAUAGAAUACCCAAUAAAUACACAUUGAUAAGCUUUGCUUGCAAGUUUAAUCUCUUAGGGUAUGGGGAUAUGGUGGAUACUAACCUUAAUGACAUGCAAAUACCAACUGACAUUGCUCUCGAAUGGGGUAUAAGUACUGCAGCAACCACAGGUGAAGCUUCCGAAAAUCAAGACUCUUAACGUUCACCUGUGAAUAGUCUCAUGGAUGACAUCUCAGAUGUUAGUUUUGUGAUUCCAUACACCACAAUGUCCAGUAAUCAUGAUGAAAAUCCAUUACUUGGACAUAUACAUUGUGUAAAACAACCAUUAACGAGACUUCAAGGGUAUGUAACAAACACAAUACAAAAGCUAAGUCAUUUUCCCAGUUCAUCAUCUCCAUCACGUCCUUCAUGUUGUCCCAAUCCCAUUGCUCACUAUAUAAACUGCGAUAAGUUUUCUUUGCCACACAGUCACUUCCUUGCAUCAAUCACUAUAGAAAAAGAGCUCUAAUACUUUCAUGAGCAGUAAAGAAUGCACAAUGGAGAUAGAGCAUGCAAGCUGAAAUCGAUGCACUGGAACAUAAUGAUACAUGGAGCAUGCAUCCAAUUCCUCCAGAGAAGAAAGCUCUCGAAUGCAAAUGGGUGUAUCGCAUCAAGUACAAUUCUAAUGGCACCAUCGAGCGAUUUAAAGCAUGUUUAGUUGUGCUCAGAAAUAAUCAAGAGAAAGACACCAACUACACUGAAACAUUUGCUCUUGUCGCGAAAAUGGUAAUAAUGUUAAUUGUUCUUGCAUUGGCAGCAGCCAAAUCCUGGGAACUUCAUCAAAUGGACGUACACAAUGUAUUUCUACAUUUGUUUGCCUCCUGGUUUUUCCGUUUCCAACAAAAAACAUGGUGUGUAAAAUUUGCAAGUCGUUGUACGACUUAAAGCAAGCUUCGCGUUGUUGGUUCACUAAAUUGUCUCAUGCACUUGUAUCUUAUGGAUUUAAGCAAUCAUGUCUAGAUUAUUCUCUCUUCACCUUGCAUCAAAAGGGGUUCAACUUAUUGUUAUUGUUUAUGUCGACGAUCUAAUCAUUGUCGGUAAGGAUUUCUCAUCCAUCAAAUGGUUUAAAACCUACCUCAAUGAAUGCUUAUACAUGAAAGAUCUUGACACGUUGAAGUAUUUUCUGGGUAUUGAGCUUACUCAUAAUCCUACAGGUAUUUUUCUCUGUCAACAUAAGUACACGCUCAAUAUUUUUCUAAAGUUGGUCUCCUCGGUGCUAAACCUGUAGGCACCCCAUUAGAACAAAAUCAUUGUAUAUCUCUUGCUAUAGGAACUCUUAUUGCCAACCAUGAAUGCUAUCAUCAAUUGGUUGGGUGGUUGAUUUAUCUAUGUUUCACACGUUCAGAGCUUUCAUUCAGUGCUCAGAUGUUAUCUCAGUUCACACAGCAACCACGAAUUGAGCACUCGGAAGUUGCCCUCAGAGUGGUUCAGUUCCUCAAGGGCAAUCUUGGUCAAGGCAUAUUGCUUCCUCACAACUUUGAUCUUCAGCGUCAUGGAUGUUGCGACUUCAAUUAGAGUAGUUGUUCUCUUACACACUGCUCCGUUACUGGUUGGAAGAUCCAAUUUGUUCAAUCCCCUAUCUCUUGGAAAACAAAGAAACAACACAUCAUUUCUCAAUCGUCGGCUGAAGCUGAGUAUUAGUCUAUGGCAACUACUAUAUAUGAGCUCAAGUGGUUAAAAGGUAUUAUGUCCAAUCUUGGCAUCGCUCAUACCAAACCUAUCAUUAUUCAUUGUGAUAAUCAAGUGGCCUUGCACAUUGCUAAAUAUCUGGUAUUUCAUGAACGUACCAAGCAUAUAGUAGUCGAUUGUCAUUUUAUUUGUAAUGAAGUCCUCCACCAUUAUAUUCUUCCAACCUAUGUCUCUACAACUGCUCAACUCAUAGAUAUCUUCACCAAAGCUUUGGGAAAACCACAGUUUGAAUCCUUCUUGGGAAAGUUGGGCAUUCUAAAUCUUCAUGCUCCCACAUGAGGGGGAUAAUGCAGUAAUAACGAACUAAAUCCAUGUAAAUAGAUUUGUUUAGAUUAUUAUUAUCCUAAAAUCAAAUCUUAAUGUUAUAUGUAAAGAGAUUUAUUUAGAUUUUACAAAUAAUUUUAUGUAUAUAAACAAUACAAUAUUGAGAAAUAAAACAUCUGAAUUCAUUCAUUUACAAAUUCAAACAUAAGUCAAACAACCUUAAAUCCAUGAAUGCGCUGAAUUAGGUUGUAUGUUCUUUAAUAUCUCGUAGGGGAUAUUUUGCUCUUUACUUUUGGCAAUCUAUUUAACAUAUAAACUGUUAAUAGUAGUUUGCCUCACCAAGUAGAUACAACACCAAAACUUAACAUGAUAUUUGCAAUUAAUCAAUAAAAGUUCUAUUUUCUUUCGGCUUUACUGUUCAUUUCAAUUGAAUAUGUAUUUUCUUUCAUGAUUCUGUAUAUCUUAUAAAAUUCAUUAAAUUAGACAAGAAUCAUAUCCAAUGUCUCUAUUAUUUCAAGGCUUCUUAAUGUUUUUGUUAAAUUGAUUUUUAAUUUCAAAUGAAUUGACUUUCAUUUUAAGUCAUAUAUAUUUUAAACAUAUUAAGUGCUUUAUUUUUAUUUUUUAUAAGAUAAACACUUGUAUAAUUAAAACAAUCAUCAAUAAAAGUGAUAAAAUAUUAGUUUUCCAAUUUUGGUCAACAUUUCAUCUAAUUCACAUAUAUUAUAGAAUAUCAAAUCUAAUUACUCAUACUUUCUAACUACUAAUUUAUGUGAUUUCUUGCUAACUUUUAAGUUGACUACAAGAAGUACAUUUUCAUGAUCACCAUAGAUAGCUUUGGAAUAAAUCCUAAGCUACUUGGAUUGUUGAGAACAAUUUUGUUGUUCGUGAGGCUAAUUAAGUGGCUGAUUUCAUGGUUAGACUUAGAUCUCAUGCUUCGAAAUGUUCAAGAUCUGGGACAUUGCUCUGUCUGGUUGUCAACUUUAUCUUGCUCAAGGUCUCUCUCGUGCAAUCUAGUUUUCUUUGUGUUUGCUAUUUUGUUUUCUGAUGGACCAAAAAAAUCAUAAGCUACUUAUGUUGGAAAUUAUAUGUUUAUUUACAUGAUCGUCUAGUAUGCCAAACAUCAAAAUCACACACCAUAUUAAAAUAAGGAGAAAAUUUAUUUAUCAAUGUUUAAUUUAAUCAUGUCAUCAAUGGCAUAUCAUUUCCCUACAAAUAUCUCAUUCCUAGUAAGAUUAUACAAUUCUACUUGUUUGGUUUGGAUGAACCCAACCUUGUUUAGAAGAAAGCUAAAAACUAGAUUUUCCCUCAUAUAUGGAGUAACAUCUUUGAGAAUCAAAGUAUUUUCAUAAGUAAAUUUCAACUCCACAUCUUCAGUUCCAGCAAUAUUAGUAAUAUGGGAGUCACCAAACAACACUUUCUUAUCUUUAGCUAUUGCUUAUGUUUUAAACAUAGCACAAUCAUAAUUGACAUGGUGGGAGGCACUAGUAUGUACUCACACCCUUCUAAUCCUCAAAUCAUAUUGACCUCAUAUAUCACAAACACAAAUAGUUCUUCGGUCAUGUUCGCUUGUGGAGGACCACUAAUUGGCUUUUCAUCCACUUGUGUGUCAUAUGACAUAGCUUGCCACAUUUAUAAUAGACGAAUGAUUCACUAGAGCCCUCUCAGAGGUGUUUGUUGUCUUGCAGUAUGGACCUUUGGAGGGUUCUAAUUCUUGUUGUAUUUGGUGGAUUUCUUAUUUUUAUUAUUGUUUUGAUUCUUGAGGUGUUUCUCAUAUGGCUUCAAAACCGCACCUGUGAGUUCAAUGUUAGUGUUGUUAUUUAGAUAACCAAUACUUAAUAUCUUUAGUCUUGUGUGUGUUCUUCUUCCUCAAUGCGCAUACGUGUUAUAAGAACUUCAAGAGAGAAUUCUUUAGUCUUGUGUCUGACAUGGUUUUUAAAGUCCCCCAGGCAAGGGUCAAAUUAUCAAUGAUAACAACUACUUCAUAUUGUUCAUCCAAAGACAUUGCUCAUGUAUUAUUUCAUGAAAAAAUUUAUGUAGCUCAUGGAGUUUAACUUCUACUAACUUAUCAUUUGUCACCUGAUAUUUGGGGUAACGACACAUAACAUAUUUUUUACUAUUAGAUUACUCAGUGUCAUAUUUCUUCUCAAUUGCAUCCUAGACUUCCUCUAGAGUCAUAUAGGUACUUUAAUAAUUAUAAAGAUCAUUAGCCACACCAUUCAAAAUUGAAUUUUCACACAAACAUCUUAAAAUUGUUAACAUUUGAAAUGAUAUCCUUCAAAUCGAAAAGAUUUGUUAAUAUCAAAGCUGGCAGAAUUAGACCCAAUAAUUUCUUCGGUGGCAGAGCCAAAAUUGUCAGAACUGGAAAGUUACUAUCCAAGUUGUAGGCUAGAGUGUUCUCUUUUAGACAUUCCAUUGCAUUGUUGGAACCGGUCUAGAAUUACACUCAUAAAUAUGACUAACAUCGCUUUCUUUGUAUGACUACUGCCAUUUUAAAGUAGCACAAAAAGAAAGAGAAUGAAGGAGAUGGGAAAUGUUUCGGCAUAAAGAGAAAUAAAAAGUUGAAGGAUUGUGUCUUUGCUGGUGAAAUUUGCCAAGAGCUCAAAGGUUACAUUUAUAGAUAUGUGAACUCAAAUGACCAGAUAAAACAAUGGUCCAAGUCACAUCAGUUUUAAAAAUGAACAUUGAGAUGAAGCACAAGCGAAGCGAACACUGAUGUGUGUGGAUUUGUGUUGCGUUGCAGGACAUGUGAUGGCAUAUGCUCAACGUUCAAAGAUUUGUGUAACAUGUGCGGACUUGCUGAUUUAAAUUGACCUAUAUUAUUUUUAGAAUUAUAAAAUAAUAACUAGUUUAUCUAACAAGAUUUACACGAUAAGACUAAAGUCUCACCACAAAAUCCUUAUUCCUCUUGGUCACACCCCAAGUAACAUAAUUCUUACUCAAACAUUAUUGAAGUGUUUCCUCUACCCAACACGACAUUUUUUAGUUGUGGUCAAGAUCCUACAAUGCAUUCAUGCACAAAUUUAAAAUAAAGUUUUAGUCAAUUCAUAUGUAUAUUCACUUGUUUGAUGAAAAACAAUGAUAGCACUGCCUAAUUCUUUCUAUAAUAAAUAUAAUAGAAAACUAGUAAUUAAUAUGCCCCUAACGGCAGUCAUUAAUCUACACUGUUCAAAAUUCAAAACCUAUCUAGAUGGACAACAUUUAAAGAAUAACGGAAAUCAUAUGUAUAUCCCACGAACUUCAUAUUUAUACUUUUAUGUUUAACAAAAUAAUUGAUAGAAAAUUAAUAUAUCUUCCAAAAAAAUCCUCUUACAACACAAGGAAAGUAACAUAUAUCACAAAGUAAUACUUUAUUUAUUAAUGAUUCACAAGUAAUAUAAAUUUUUCGUAUUGUAAGAUGUUCAGAAAGAUUUUAUGGGAGAAUAUAUCAUUAUUCUAAUUGAACACAACAAAUAGGUCGACACCAAGCACAUAGAUAAAAUAACAAGUUUUCCCGGGGUAAAUGCACUUGUAUUAAAUAUUUGUUAAGAAUAAUUUUGAGCGUCCAUAAUAAUUCACCCAGGCUCCAUUUUUUUUGUAAACAACUUCGAAUUUAGGACCAAUUAGUAGAUAUCAAUAAUACACGGUAGUAGUUGUAGUGAAGUCCAAUCAGAUUCUAUACUACAAAUAUUCUUCUAACAUAACAAGAUUGUCAUUUACAUUACACUAGCAUACAUUUUUCAUCUUUUGAUCAAAUGGGGAAUGAAUGCCCAUCACAGAUUAAACAAUGGAUUUAUCUAAAAAAAGGUCAAAAGAUAAAUAACAUAGAUCAAACAUCGUUAAUUGGUCUUCGAAGACCAGAAUAAACAGCUGACCGAAGGAGAGGAGGUGCAUCCUCUGUCAAUACCUCUGCAUCUAACUUUUCAAUAUGGGGCCAUAUCUGCAUGGAACAAAACAAAUAUAAGAUAAUGUCAAAAUGUUAUAUAACUACUGAAUGUCUCCAAAGAAUGAUAACGCAGCCUGAUUUUAUAAAGCUCCUCCCGUCGUUAUUUUUAAAAUCAUUUACUAUCAACAAAUUGGUAGAAUCGUGCAUUAGGUGGUUUAGAUAUGUGUAAAGGAGACCAGUCCGAUCAAAUGGAGGCUAGUCCAGUUCUUAAAGGAGGAGGGAGACUAAUAAAAAUCAUUGGCAAAAUAAUUAAGAAAGACUUAAAAGAUCAAUAUGAUCUGUCAAUGAAUAUGCCUUUCGAUCUGUGUAGUCAAACCCACCUAGUGAAAUAAAGGUUUAGUUGUUAUUACUGCCAACAAAAUAACAAAGCUUUUGAUUUUAUAGACGAAAACGUGAGUUCUUAUGCAACAUAAAUCCUGAGUCAAUCUAAUGGCGUAGAAAUACAAAUAAGCUUUUUGUUUAUGCAUUGCAAGGUGUUCUUCAAAUGUAAGCACGGUUGAAUUGAACAAUACCUCGGCGGCGUACUGCCUAGAAAACGCCUUCACAUAGCCCAAGGUGGUGAUACACCAUUGUUCCUUUUCGCCUACAUUAUAAGCGCUGCUUCUCCUUCCACCAUUUGGCUGUCUAUACAAUAUAUAAGAAACCAAAAUCAUUUCAUAUUAUUAAUAUGUAUACUUCUGCAAAUCAAAACAGUGAUUUGGUUAUUCUUUAUUAUUUAUCUGUCAGAAGGGCAGGCACUGGAACCUGUUUUCGGGUCUCUGAUUCUCAUUGUCUAAUUCCAUUGAUGAUGGUUCAUCUUCUUCCGUGUCCACUGCCAUGACAUCAACUUGUGCAGUCUUCAAUUCACGCAGUGUUCUCGCUUCAGAUCCUCGAGGAAGACGCUCCGUCAAUACAUUUGAGAAGCUUUUGUACAAUAAGAUAAACAAUGCCUGUAUGUGCCAAUAGUCAUCAAUGCAAGAAAAGUAAGCAUAGCCUCAAAUGCAAGCAAUUCAAAAUAAGAGUCAAAGACCCAGUUGAACCAAAACUUCGAAACCUUAGAUUGUCGAUCAAGCAAGGGCAUGAUAAUGGCUAUUAUUUUACAACAACAAUAAAAAUUAGAUCCAAAUUAUCUCAACUAAAGCCUCUACCAGUAAACAUUACAAAUGGAAGUGAAAAGAAAAGCAACAAAUAAAGAACACUGUUUUUAACUGACUUAAAAAAUCACAGGUGUCAUAGGAAUCAAAAUACAUCAAUGGCUGGGUGAGCUGCUUGAGUGUAUUAUACCUUUUUGUAAUUUCCCUUUUCUACUAUGAGGAUUCCAUAUAUUCCUUAAUUAUGUACACCCAUCACAUCCUUCUAAUGUCCUUUUUAUGCGCUCAUAUUGCAAUUUGUUGAAACAAACUAUUCAUUCAAAUAUGUAGUGUGAAGUAGUCCAAAUAAGUAAACCUAUCAUCUAUCUCCAUUGCAAUAUAAGAAUGUUUCUGUUCAAAGAGAUUGUAAUGGCACUUCAAUGGUACUUCAAACAUGAUGUUUGAUAAGAAAAACUAUUUGCAAACAAAUGAACUACGUAAGAUCAGUUUUAUAUUCAGUACCUCAUUUUCAUCAAUUGCUCGAGCAAUAAGGGCUUUCUUGGCUUCUAAAGAUUCUUGAAGAGAUAUGACCUCCUCUUUUGCUUUUUCAGCACGUAAUUUCAAUCUAUUCAGCCUUAUAGGAUUUUCACCAAGAACUGGUUCCCCAUCCACUAGCGCGAGUUUCAACUCUGCAGCAUCUAACUCUGACUUUGCCCCCUUGGCAGCUUCUUCUGCUGAUGAAAUAUUCUUUUGAAGAGAUAAAAUCUCUUUCCUCAAAUCAGAAAUACGAUUGUGUGUCUUGCUUAUUGCAUUUCUAAGAAUCUGUUGGAUGGGAAACAGGUAAAAUUACUAAGUGAAAGAAUGGAGUAUGCAUGGUGAUCAUAUAAUUUAAAAAUUGUAUAUACAUUAGUGAUUUAUAAAAAAAAACAUGAUGAUCAAUAAGGUAUAAUGUCACAAUCACUGAAAUAAGGCAUUAGUUAUCCAUAUUCUUGUAGGGCUUAAUUUGAGGAGGAAAGAGUUACAAAUGAACUAUCCGUAAAACCAAGAUUAAGUACCUCCCAUGGACGAUCUGAUGUAUGAAAUUGCUCAAUAUUCUCUGCAGAGAACACCCAUCUAAGAAUGGCCAGAUUUGACACAAGUCUAUAACCCAUCAUCCUAUCAAUUGCUAUUGCUGUCAUUUGGGUGUUACUCUUCCAGAAAGAACUUACUUCAGCUAGCAGCAUGACCUGCUUAUCUUCAUCAGGACAUACUUUUGCAAUGACUUGCCCAUAUCUCUCUAAGACAGUUAUCAGGUGGGUAAAACUCUUGGAUCCAAUGUUGAGCAGCGUUUGUACAACCACUCUGAGGGUAACUUCAAGACCAUUAUCUGGAAACACAUUUUCAUCGAUCCACGAGAUUAUUUCACGAACAGGUGCCUUUCCUUUAAUCAGGUUGUUCAGCUCUCCAGACAGAACAUGUUCAUUGUUUUCAUUGCCAUCUUCUGCACCAAAAUUUAACUUUGGUCCACCCUUUGGAGGAAGCAAUUCUUCUAGACUUGGGGCAUUUUCAAUGCUCUAUACAAAAUAUCAUGAUAUGUACCAAAGAAACAAUAAUAUCACAAUUAUACAAAAAGAAACUGUGAGCUGAUAAAACGGCUCAAUCGCCCAUAAAAGCACCCACUCCUCUAUCAACAACAAAAACAGAGAGAAACUUCCCUAUGUCAUUUCAGGCUUUUCUUAUAUGAGCCAUGACCAUAAAUAAGAUUAAGUGACUAUGCAGUCUAACACUUCCACAUCUUGAGGAUAUGUGCAACAAAAAGUAAUCUCUACUACAGUUCUACCAUGGAUAAUUACCUGCUUAACUUUGUCCCAGUAUGACAAGCGAACUUCCCUCUCCAAAACCUCCUGAACAAAUACACGUUGUGGCGCCCACUUCGGGAGAUCUAAAACGAAGGCCCACUCUUCCCAUGGCCAGAUGAACUGAAAGUUUGACCUGUAUAGUAAAAACCAUUAACCAUGUUGAACAUGAAUACCUAAAGAAACAACUUUCUACAGCAUGUUAAUUUUGAAAGUGAAAAGAGAACUGAUAUCAAAAAUAUUGUCAACCUGAGAAAUCCUUAACCUAAUUCUGACAAACCAAGACUGCAUCAAUAAUAUAGAAUGAGUAUGUUUACCAUAACUCCAUUUGGGAAAAUUACCAUAAAAAAGACUGGUAAAAACAUUUCCAGCUUAAGAACAACUAAACAAAUUAAUGAUGUCUAAACUAUGGUUAACAGUAACCACAUAUUCACUUUAAACACUAGAGCUGCUAAUUAUUCCUAAGUAUACGAGGCUCCCACCUAGUGGGGUGUGGGGACGGUAGAUGUAGCAAGCUGUAAUUAUUCCUAAGGACCUAAACUAGAUAUACUUUUAGCAAAACUUCCUUUUGUGUAAUCUCUAAUUUUGGCAAGAUCUUCAUUACAGAGAAAGCCCAUGUAAAGCGGAAACACAAGGUAUCGACGAAUUAAAAAUGAAAAUAGAAUAACAGAAGAGAAAACUAAAUGCUGUACUGAACCAUAAGUUGAUCAUCCUAUUAUCAGUCUUCUCAUAGCAAAUAGCUUUAUCCAAUUAUUUGAGCUACUUAGUUGAGUGGUUUUUGCCAUUGACUAGCAUUGAAAAAUGGUUUUGAUGGGCAUUGGUUAAAAUGCUAAUGGUUACUGGAUAACUUCGCAAUUAAUAAACUAAACAUUGUGUAAUUACCCCAUAUCAUAGGUAUGAAGUAACAUUAAUAAUUUCAGCCAUAUAGCAUAUGAUGGAAACACAAUCUUUUUCCAAAACCAAGUUUCUUAUUUAAAACUUCAUGAGAAUUAUCUAUAACAUGGAAAUAAGAAGUUGGCAUACAUAUCACAUUCAUAAAAAUACAUAUCUCACAGAAAAUAACUAGUGCAGUGAAUUUUAACGUGAGAAUUAAGAAUGGCAUCUUCCAAUACUAUAUUGCAACUUUAGCAUAUAAACUUAACAGAAGCUCAUUCAUGAAGCUUUUCUGUUUUUCCUAAACAUAAAUGAAGAAAUUAAAAAAUAAAAACUGAUUAGAAAAGAGGUACAGUACAACUGGCCAGGAGGACAAGAUAUGCUUCAAACAGAACAUCAACAAGUAUAUAAUAUCGUAAAUGAGGCAUCCAUAAAUUAUUAAAAUUUUGAACAUACAAAUGAUGUGAGAACCAAAGGAUUAAACGUUCCCGGCACUCCAUAUCUAAAUCAGCAAUCUUUUCAAAGAGUGCACGAACUGCUCCAGCUACAACGGCAGGAAAAGCUCCAGGAAGAGCCUGUUGUGAAGUCAAUAGAAAGGAUGAAACAUGAAAUGAAAUUUGAAGUCCAUAUAAAAUAUGUGUAUUGGAGCAACAAUAAUUCCUAAGCGAUGAAGAAAAGAAAUUAGAUUUGGCUCCUUUGAUGUGAGACGUGCAGUUUAGGGAGUCAAGUGCACUAUCAUAAGCAUUGAAGUGCAUGCACUAUUGUAAUUUGUAAGCAUCGAAGUGCACUAUUAUAAGCAUUGAUAAAAAUAUCAAGGGAGUAAAUUAUUUUACAUCUGAAUGAUCUGUUAUGCAUGUACUUGUACUGUAUAAAAUCCUAGACACGUGAUUUUCUUAACAUUAUUAGGUUACAGUUAGCAGUCAUGAAUUCUACUCUCUACAGGGAACCCCUCACUUUAGAGGUACCAAAUCCAAAUAAAUCAGCAGUCAAAUCCACUUGGCAUGAUAGUGUACCUUACAGAGGUCAAUAAUAACAAGUGUGUAGUAUAUUGGUUUGCAGGGCGGUUCGGGUAGCAUCAGCAACUGCGAAAGAUAGAUAUAACAUUACUAAAUCUGUCAAUACUCUGAGGGCAUAGCCAACCAUGUAUAAAGUAAGUACAUUUCAGUGCAAUUAAUUGAAGUAACAAAUAUAUUUGUGUUCAUAGUUAAGACAUUCACUAAAACGGACACUAAAAAUAGUAUUUGGCAGAUUCAAUAUGUCAUCUUCCAGUUAUUGAUUACUGAAGUCAUUCCCUCAAAUAUAAACAAAGGAAUUUAUUUGUUGAUAAAAAUACAAAAUAAGAAAAACAGUGCAAUGAAAAAUAAACAGACCCAUAAGAUAAGGGUAAAGAACUUCCAAGUAAAUAAAAGCAUUGUUCUAUCCAUUCAAAUAUAUCAAAGAAACAUUUGGAGGCAUUGCAAAAUUACAAGAAAUACCUGAGAGAAUAUUGUCUCAGCCAUGAGAAAUUCAUAUCUGAAGGGCACCGGCAGCCCAACCAUGAAAGAAGCACAUUCCUUUCGACUAGCUUUGCGUGAAUCCAGAAAUGAAAACAGUUAAAAUUACUCCACAAAUAUUUUUACAGGAAGAGGGUGAAAAAAGAAGAGAUUGAUGUAUAAAGAAGGAACAGAUGAAGUCUAACUAAACUGUUAAACCUAAUGGACAUGCAUAUCCCCAAAGUUUCCCUUGAUGUUCAUAACAGAAAUUCGAAAAAUUAAAAGACAUUCUACAACACCCCAAAAAAUAAAAAUAAAAUUUUCAAAACAGAGAAAAUUGCCAUGCCAUAAUUUGUUUUAGUAUAUUUUUAUUGUUUAUUCACACUCACAUCACAGGGACACUAAUACUCUUCUAUUAUAAAGAUAUGAAGAUAAUGGACAGUUUAUGCAAACCUGCCAUUGAAGAACAUAAGCACAUCUAGGAGAUAUUCUUCCACAACAAAUCGGUCUAUAGGCUGUAGAUCCUGCCAUCCACAAGAUUUAUUUUCAUCGAAUCAACAAAUAUGAUUGUAGCAAGAAUGCAGUCCAAAUUGCUAAAUCCUUAUAAAACCCAGCGUAAGUAAAACAAUAACACAUGUACACUGAACAGCUUUAUAUAUUAAGGAAUUAAUACCAGGCUCAUCAUGCAGAAAGCAAUUCGAUCCUCAAAAAAUAACAAAAUAGAAUCAUUCUUGUUGUGGGGUGUUAGGAGAAGAAAUUUAAUUAGAGAAAAGAAAGAGAGAAACACAAGAGCAGACAAAAACAUAUCCUCCUAAACAAAUCACACAAAAAUAAUUUAGGGUAGUCCAACAUAGUGGGGUAUAGGGAAGCUAAAUUUACGAAAUAUAACAAAAGAAAAAAACACAUCAAUAUACUAUCCAACAAUGUCAUGUAAAGCAAAUUACCUCAGUUUUACCGGGAGGAAAUAUGUUAAGCCGGUGUAUCCUUUGAGGAUAUUUUAACUCUGCCUCAUGCUUUUGUUUACCGUUUGAUAUGCCAGAAGGGACAGAAGGCGGACUUGGUAAGAUGGGGCAGCUUAUUGGCCCAAAUUCAUGGGACUUCCCAGCAACUAGCUGAGCUUCAAAUGAAAGAUGGGGUCUUGGAACUAGCAAUUGAAAGAGUGAACAUAAUCAAGCAAGAAAUGAAAGGCAAGCAAUAAUUUAAAUAAAAUUGAGGAGCAUCGCAUAGAAAAUAAACCAAAGAAAGGGUAAAACAGAACAGAUAAGCAAAAUGAAUAAACCACUAACUACAAUAAAGGUUUGAUUACAUGUUCAAGUUAAAAGUUCUUUCCAAGCAAACAUUUCUUGAAGUUCACCGCACGAAUAACAUAAUUUUAUCGUACUUGACCCACAUGAUCACAUCACCCUCAUGUAAGAGUGGGAUUCAAAAGGAAAAUUUAAAAUAAAACACAGCAUUAAAAGUUGGAAGUGGGUAAUAUUUCAAAAGUAAAAUUCUAGUAAGAUAUUUGACAACUGCAACAUAUACUUGCUUCCUCAGAAAACAAAAGCAGCAUCCUGUUGCUAUUAAUUUUUCCUCUGUUCUGUACAUAAUAUUUAUAUCUGAGUAAGAUGUUCAUGCAUCAUGCAUCCCUUGAUGGGUUUUAAACCCCCAAUCCCAACUUUCUGCAUACUCAAAAACCAGGCAAAUUAAAGAAUGAGACACAGGUCAACAUAAACAGACCUAACUAGGAAUGGCAACGGGGCGGGUCGGGGGUGGGUUUGCACAUACCCAAACCCGAAAUUCAAAACCCGAACCCGAACCCAAACUCAACGGGGUCGAAAAUAAAAAUACCAUCCCCGAACCCGAAAAUGAUAAAGUAUUAAGGAAAAUAUGAUAUUAUUUUCAUGUAAUUUUUCUCUAACAUUUCUAUUUUCUCUUGUAUUAUUUCAUUUCUUUUAUGUUUGAAGAUCCAAUAGUAUGUAAAGUAAAAUUAGAAAUUAAAAAUAAUUGGCAAAUGGUAGAAAUUUCAAUUUUAAAUUGAAUUACCUUACUUCGAGACGGAUUCAGGUUAGGGUCUUUGUUAUAGCAAACCCGAACCCGAAAUUUAAACCUGGGUAAAACCCGAACCCAACCACAUCGGGUAAUUUAAACCCGGGUAAAACCCGAACCCAAUUACAUCGGGUUUUCCCCGUUAAAUUCGGGUUCGGUUCGGGCGGGUACCCACGGGUUCGGUUUUGUAGGUCACCUAACACCACAAACGUGUGCAUAGGAAAGCUUAGCUUCAUUCCUUGGGUCAAACAGAAAGUACUAUUCUGGCAAUUUCAAAGUGAUUGCAAUAAAUAAGAGGAGAUUCAUGAGAAAGUGUAACAUAAACACCAUGGCCUUAACAAAUUCUUUCAAACUGAUUAACAGUUAAAACAAUAGAUCAAAAGCAUCAAAGCCUCCACAUACAAAUUCAAAUCUAUUAAAAAUGAGUUUUUAUAGUAUAAAAAAUUCAAGAAAAAUAUUUUCUAUAAACAAAUAUGUACACCACAAAGUGGCCAUCACGAGAAAACACAACCACUACCUUUAAGCUGUAAUCUCAAAUUUCAAAUUUAAUAAAAGUGUUGAGAAAUUUAAAAAUAUAUACGGUAAACAGAGUAAAUACAUUUUUUAUUAUAAAAUAAGAGUACUCGUAAAAUUUAUCGGAGCUCUUUAGGUGGGAGCCUUAUGCACACUGGGCCACCCUUUACAUCCUAGAUCCUACCAAUUAAUUAAUAAGAAAACAUAAGUUCCAUAAUUUAAUAGGAAAUUAUCUGCACAAAACUAUCUGCUCCAAAUAUGUAUGAAGGGCAGGGGAAAACUGUGUUCCAUACAUAAAAUAUGCAAAAACCAAGUAACAAUACAGCAAGCAUAAACUCACAAGAAAGGGCAAAAUUAUGGCUUCAACUGAGCAUAAAGAUAUUUGAAGAAAAUUCAGAAAUUGGAUUAGCUCAAUGCAUUGGAGGAAUUGUGUACCAUAUAUUUCUAGUGCACUUGAUUAACCACAGUAGCACACACUGUUAUAAAAUUUAGAUAUCUGCAGAAAGCAGUAUUGGAAGUAAAAGAGGGUUGGCUACAAGCUAGAUCGAAAUUCAUUAAGUGAGAAAAGUGUUGCAUAUCAGUACAUCUUCAACAUCAAAACCACUAAGACUUAAAUAUUCUGCUUCUAUCUUAACUUUUUAGAGUAUAUUAGUGAAAGUGAGGUUAACUUCACAAUGUUCUAUAAAAACGUAUAAUCUAUGAUUCUAUGCUUAUAGAAAAAGAAAUACAACAUAAACACAUUACACUAAAAAUAAUACCCUGAAAUUACAGGAAGAGAGAUAGUUUAAAACAGUGGAGGAUUUAAUUUUCAGAUAAAAGCAUAUAAUAGUAAAGGUAGCAUCACCUUUACUACCAUGCUUUCCAAGUAGGAAAAAGGACAAUUACCACUUUCAACUUUCCAUCCAUUGCUAGAUAAAACCUGUAUUUUAUCCCACAAGUCUUCCAAAAAAUCCUGGAAAUUAGGAAUAAAAUGUCAGAAAAAUAAGUCACUUCAAAGCCAGCCUAUCAAACUUUAAAGAGGGAGUGGUAGGAUGAAGAUCACCUGUCCCAAGUUGGUGUCCCCAACCAUGUCCCGACCAAUAGUAUAGUACCACAUAUGCCAUUAGAAAAUAUAUAAUCUUAUGUGUCCUUUCAUUCCCCUUGCUGAAACAAAAUAGAACAUUACAUGGCACCAUAUUAUUGGUCAUGACAUGGUCGGGGACACCAACUUGGGACAGGUGAUCUUCAUCCGGAGUGGUAAAUAGAGAUACCACAGUAGGAUAAAAACAUUUCAUUAUCUUACAAGACAAAUGAACCUUAAGUAGCAAUGUUAUUGCAUGCAUCUUUCGCGACAGUUUAAAUAGAUAAACCUUCAUUUACUGAAGAAUUUGACUAAUUAAGCCCCACCAAGUUAAACACUUGCUUUCAGAAGUACAGACAUGGACAUGACACUGGCAUGCAGCAAAAUUUAAAGUGUCAUAAGAAUGGUUGAUUGUAGUAGAUUAGACACUGGCAUGUACUUCUUCAAACCCAUCAUCCACUAACACUAAAUCUUCAGUAAGCAGUUGAUCCUCCACCUCUAAUUCAUUAAUAUGGCCCCUUCACUUAAAUUUACAAUUCAUUCUCCAUUGUCAUGUUAGUGCAACUUAUUUCUUCAACUAGCUUUACCCUUUAAAAGAUCCUCCUCAAAACUCAUUACAACAUGGUAGUAGUACUGAAUAGGAGUUAUAAUAAUGAUUUGUUGCAGACUUGGAGAGCUAUAACAGACAUUUCCCCCAAUAUUUGUGUUAUGCAUGUUAACAACUCUGAAUUAGUUAUACAGACACGACAAUGGAUUUUAGGAGAAGAGCAAGGGGCUUGGCACAUCAUUGUGCCAAAAAAAUUAAACGCAACGAAGCAAUAAUUUCCUAAAGAUAGUAAUAGAAUCUGAUAUAUAUUUGAUAUGAAACUGCCUUGUAACAACAAAUUUCAUCAUAACAAUCUGAAGUCUCAUCAGCAUUCCUUAUGAAAAUUUGAGUCCCUCAAAUUUACAGCUGUCCCCUUAUGUGAAUAAUAUAAGACUGAGAGCUCAUUUGCAUCGUCCUCCCAAAUAUAGGCAGGUACAUUCAUAAAUUUGACAGUGGGAUUUCAAACCCCAAUAUUUACUUCCCAUGUGUGAUGUUCUACAUGGGGAGGUGCAAAGACAAUUGCAUAAUAGUACAAUGAAGUCCUGAAGUUCUCUCUUUAUCAAAAAAUCAAAAUAAUAAACAUCUGAAGUAUUGGUAUGCCGUCACUACAUGCAGCGGACAAGACCCAAAUCAGGAAAGCUACUAAAUGCAGGAAGAAACAUUGAUACAGUACACAAACUCAAAGAAAAGGCAAAGAACUCAUAAUAAAGUGUUAGCUUAACAGAGUCCAACCUUAUCACUAGGGCCUCGCUUGAUUUCAUCAUCAUUCUCAAAAAAGGACAAACCAGCAUCAGAGGUAUGCCUUCUGAUGCUCAAGUAAGCUUCUACACCAACCAUCACUCUCUCGAUCUCUUCAGGAACUUGCUGUGAACAGAUGGAAUGUCAUUAAAUAGAAAGAGGAAUUCAGUAACUAUAGAAAUGGGCAUUGUAAUCUGGACAAGCAUGCAUACAUCAAAAAAUACGUGUGAAUAACUGCUAGAAUAGCUGUUCUGUCCUUCUCUACAAUUUUCUUAACUAAUCAACAUAAGGAAAGUUAAUAUUCAUUAUUGCUGUAAUACUGCCAAGAAUACCUCCUUGAGCUUAAAUAAUUCAUAAAUUUCAGUUUGUUACAUUAGAUUGCCUUAUGAAUUUAUCUUAUCCACAGAUCCACUCAAGUACAUGUUUAACAUAUUGUCCUGACAGUUUAAGCAUUUGAAGUAGCAAUAUCUACUUCUCUAAUAGCUAGGUAGCCAGCAAAGUUGAACCAAAUGUGAAGCAUUUAAACGCAAGUCACUAACACCGCAACUGCCAUAUCAUGCCAAACAUAGCAUGAUACAGUAAUCUUUGUAUUCACAGACAACAUCUACAUUUUAUUUUUACUACAUAGAUGACUCCAACCACAGAAUGAAAAAUAAGUGAAACUUCUCUUAUUCAGAUAUGCAAUACUGCUUUAAAAAGGAAGAGAAUGCAAUACUGUGGUUCUAGAAUUGCAAUUAAAACUUCAAAUUUAUAAUAGCUCAUUGCAUGAAAACAGUAGAUAAAGGUAACUUCAGAAAUUAAUACAUGAAAUACUCAAAUAGAUAAACAUUAGGAAAUGAACAAAGGAUCUGUUGAAUUACAAGGUCAUAAUAUAGACAGAACAUCGAUCCCAGUGGUCCACCAAACUUUUAAACAUAAGUGAGAGUUCAAGCAUCAAAUAAUUACCUCGAUAAGAUCGGCUCCACCCCACGGGAGGCAUGAUAAAAUGCAAGUUAUGAAAAAGUCAGCACAAGGUUGCCACAGGGGAUUUCCUUUUUCCUCAUCUACUGUUGUGGCUGCAGAAGAUAAAAAUGUCUCAAAGACAACCACCAGAGAGCUUGGCUGAAGAACUUUACUGCACAUCUAAAUAAUAUACAAGAAAGUAUCAAAAUAAAUAAAAAAUAGUCAAUUACAUGAACAAUCUCCACAAUAAAUGAAAACUACAACAUACAAUUACGUGAAAAAUUAUUUUGAAUGGACAAAAUAUUUAAAUUGACUGUUUAUAUACCGCAAAAAACCAUUAGUAAGGACCAUUAAACAGAUAAGUCAUAUUGUUGCAUCAAAUCAAUCAAUAAAAACCUUUGUAAAGUAGAAUGGAGUAGGAAAGUAAGUAAGUUCUGCCAGUAUACCAAAACAGUCUCCACAAUACAGGAAAACCACAACAAACAAUUACAUGAAAUAAUCAUUUUGCAGCAACAAUAAUAACAACAACCAAGUCUUAGCCCCACUAGGAGAGGUCGGCUACAUGGGUCGAACAACAUUAUAAUGAUCUAUUAUAAAUCAUGUUCAUUGACAAGACAUUUAUCUCUAAAUCUUUACUAAUCAGUUCGCUUAUGAUUUUUCUUGGUCUCCCUCUACCUCUAGGAAUUGGACUAACCUCUAUAUGAUAUACUCUCCAUAUUGAGUCUUUUAACGGUCUCCUCCACACAUGCCCAGACCACUUAAGGCACGAUUUUACCAUCUUUUCCACAAUAAGAGUUCACAUCAACUUUCUCCCUAUUGUAUUCAUUCAUAAUCCUAUCUUGUCUAGUUUGUCUAUUCAUCUCUGCAACAUUGAGAGUAUUCUCUUGUUGACAUUUUACAACCCAACAUUCAGUCUAAUAAAACAUUAUGGGCCUUAUAACUAUGAGGUAAAACUUCCCCUUAAGCUUGAGUGGCAUAUUUCUAUUACAUAUGAUAUCAUAAUACUUGAUGCACUUUGUCAUUUCAUCCACCUCACUUGAAUCUUAUGAUUUAUAUCUCCUCAAUUUUCUUAUCGUGUUGUAUUAUUGACCCAAUGUACUUAAAUCUAAUAACUUGUGGUAUGGUAUGAUCUCCAAUCUUUAUCUCUAACUCUAUAGUAGGGUUUGUCUGCCACAUGCUAAACUUACACUUCAUAAAACAAAAUACAACAACAAGUCUUAAUCCCACUACGUGAGGUUUGCUACAUGAAUGAGACGAUGUCAUAAUGCUAUCAUAAAUAAUGUUAAUUGACAAAACACUUAUCUCUAAAUCUUUUCUAGUUGUUUCACACGUUCGCCUAUGGUUUUUCUUGGUCUUCCUCUUCCUCUAGAAGUUGAACUAACCUCUAUUUGACUUACUCUCCUUAGUGUGAUUUCUAACGGUCUCCUCCACGUAUGAAAAAAUCAUUCUGAAUGAGGGGGAAAUUAAAUUGACUGCUUAUGCACCUCAAAAAACCACUAGUAAGAACCAUUCAUAAAUAGGUAAGUCAUAUUGUAGCAUCAAAUAAAAAACAAUCAUUAAAAGCCCUUCUCAAUGUGAUUUAAAGAACUAGAAUACAGUGUGAAGUAAAUUAGUUCUACUAGUACAGAUCAAAAAGAAUAACAAUGGAGAAAGAAUUAGAAGCUAACUGUGCAACAGUUAAGACAAGAAAAACCAUAUUUCAGUAUGAGACAAUUAUUACUCAAUGUAGACUAAAGCCAUGGUGAAAACUUAAACUAUUUCCUAUGCACCUGAUACUGUCCAGAAUUUACUGGUGAAAAAUUAUUAUCAAUGGAAGUACACUAUUUUAUAUAAAAAAACAGGAUGGCAAUAUGCAUACCAUAACAGUCAUAAGCCGCAUCAGAAUACGAACCACGUUGCAGUUUCCAAAAUCUAAGGCAUCCUAAAUUUAGAAACAAAAAAACAAAACAGAAACAAGAAAGAGAAUUAUCAUAGAUAGGAAAUAUAUUGAAGAUGGUUAGUCUAAGCAUAAGCAGUGUUGUCAAAAGCAGCUGAAGCGACCAACUAGAGGCUGAAGGCGAAAAACAGCCAUGACGCCACAGAUGAACUGUGGUGAAGCUAUUUUGAUGAUGCAAUCCUGCUACAGCCACAUCAGUUUGACUAACUUACAAAGUAGCCUUCACUUAAAAUACUGAAUAGCCAAUGGGAAGAUGGUUAGCAUGGCUUGUUAAAUAAGGCAAUAUAUUAGCUCCAAGAUGUCUUUGUUAUCAUAGGAGGAUAUGCAUAGAGUUUCGGCACCAUUAUGCUUUGAUUUUAGGAGUUUGUUGGUUGUACUUGUGUUUAUAUCCCUGUGUAGUUUUUCUGCUGGAUAAUAUCUUAUACUCUCAUAUUGAAGUCCUCUUUCUCCUUAAUGAAUUUCUUUUAUUAAAAGUGGCCAUUGGGUAACUAACUUAAAGGGGUAUUAUUUCACCAUGUGAACUUAAUAUUACCUUGAAAUUCAAGAAAAACCCUAAAACCAAGAUUUGAGCUUACCCACUACACAUAUCAUACAGUCUAGAAGCUGAAUUUUCCUCUAACCCCUGAAUCCAUGCUCAUGUUUACUGCCUCAUGCCCUCAUCUAUAUAUUUUGGACUGAAUCUACUGAUUUUCCACUUCACCUCCCUUCACUCUUGCUACUAUAUGUCACUCAGUCUCUUGACUUGCACUUAGUUGAAUGUCCGCUUACAUUAUUAUAUUUCUAGCAUUGCCAAUAUGGGUUGCAUUAUGUUUCUAAUGUAUUGUCAUGACUUAAUUUUCACUUGAAUUGAAUUUUAAUUUGGUUAUGAUUUGUUGAUAUAUGAAUAGUUUUAGUUAUUUUUUUUACAUAUCCAUGUCACUUCAAUGAUGCAGCCACAUAGCCUUGCCGCAUCAAAGUGAUGCAAUUUUGGGGUUGGCUACCUCAACCAUUUUUCACCUUGUGGUAACACAGAAGAAGCACUAAAAGAUCAAAGUAAAACUUCAAUAGCCACUAAAAGGCCAACAUUAAUUUCAAAUUUACAUAUUCAAUUUUUAGAAUGACAAAUAUUAACUAAUUAUAGAAAGCUUAUUCUCAUAGAAAUAGUCACACCCUUAAUUGCAUGUCUAGCUAAAGAACUAAUGUAAUCUAGGAGAAUGAAGACAUCACAAAUGCAACACCAAUAAACCAAUCUACUUUCAGUGGUUGAAUUGCAUACCUGAAAUUUAGUUUGAGUCUUCUCCACUAGUUUUUUGACGAAGUCCUCAUUCUCCAAAUUAAUCAAGCCAAUCUGAAAAGAUGUGUAUAGAUAGAAAACAGAGGUUGCUAAGAAACAUCAAUUGGAAACUACACCAGAAGUCGGAAAUUUCACAAGAUAUAAUUGAGAUGAACAUUACUAGUUAGCUUUAAAGAACUUACAGAUAAAGAAUACAGAAGAAACCACACAAUUAUAGUAGACUGAGACACGUAAUUGACAUUUGUUGCAAAAUUGCAAUAUGAAGCAAAUAAUAUGACAAUAUAAUAGUGGAGGGGAGUAAAAAAUGAUAAAGGUAGGAUUUAUUUAUAUAUUAUAUCUCUAACUCUAUAUAUAUAGAGGGAAGAGAAUAGUCCAAUAGAAAGAGGAUAAGAAAUCCUCAACUCAAGAAAAAACUAAGCCAAAAAAAUAAAUAACCAAAGUGCAACUAAGCAAGCCAAUCUAUUUGCAAAUCAAACAAGGAAACCCCACUAGAUAGGCCAUUGGCACAACACCACAGAGAGGCAAGGAAAACUAUUCGUUCCCAAAUGGAUUCAAGAGGCACCCAAUGCCCCAAAAAAUUUCUUGCUUAAAUUUCAAACCAAAUGCUCUAUAGAACCGCGAAGCGCACAUAUUGCAAAAGCUUUUUAGUGUCUUUGCUGGAGCCAAACCCCGAAAGAUUAUUGCCAUUUUACUGUUGAAGUUUUUAAAUACACAAGCUUUUUCAAAAUUCUGCUGGUUAUAUGCACCCCAACUUUGAAAAGCAUAUCCAUUGAACAACUCUUCUGAACAUUCCCAAUUUCCCACUAUUAUCUUGGACAGAACAACAGUCCCUAGAAAAUACUGUUUCCCAAGUUUGCAAUUUUUUACUAAAUGCAAUUUUCAUUGCUAAAAAGAUGAAAUUCUGGAUUGUUUACAUAUACAAACUGUUUUAACAAUAUGAAAUGUGAAUAUCUAAUGCCACCGAAAGUUCCUUUGAAAAUCAUGUAGCUGACAAGUAAGGAACAUUUGUAAGAUAAAUUUUAUUAACUUUGCAUUUGAAAUUAAACAGUACACAAGACAAAAGUGGUUACGUAAGGAUAUCAGGAUUUUUUAUAAUAAAAUAGAAAGAAGAAAAUAUUUGGAAAGUCAAAAAACUCAGUUGAGCAAAUUCAUUGUCAAAGCUAGCAGUUCCACUGUAAAUACACGCCAGAAUACUUUGAUUCACUUCCACUUUUACAACUACAGCAACAAUAAAUUCGGAGUUCACCAGAUUUCCACAGUCAUAGAGAUUCGACAGUGUUUUACAUUGGUUAUCUACUACCUAACAUAACCUUCACAUUUUAUCUAUCUUAGGACCGGCUAUGUAUAUCAUCAAGCACACAUAGGCAGAGUUCACCGGAUUUCCAAUAAUGUCAUCAAAUUAAAUUAUGUGUUCACGCAUAAGAAACAACCUCUGAAAACAGAGUAAAAAAUAGCAUCUCAUAUAUGUGUAACAUUCAUGCAUAUAUAUUGGAACUUAUAGAAAUAAUUGAUGUCAUUUGCAGUUCAAGAGAGAGAAAAAAACCCUACCAGAGUUCCAUAUAAAGGAAUCUUGUGAGGUAAUUGCUCAGAACAGGCAAGAAGGAACUGCAUGAAUAUACAAUAUAAAAAGGUCAUAUUAUGAUACAAAAAGAAAUAACAAUUUAUCAGACACAAGACAAAACAUACAUAUACAUACAACCAUAUAUUAUGGUUGUAAAUUGUAAUAUGGUCCUAACCAAGUUACAAUGUUCAGAUAGGCCGCACUGAAUUCUCAAAUAGGCCAAAAAUUCUAACUUUCAAUUCCCGAAAGUGACACUUGUUGGUAGGAGUCACGCAACCUAAAGGCAUUAGUUCAGAUAGUUUAUACCAAAAAAUUGCAAAUGGUGAAAAAGACAACCUCUAAAAUCUCAGCUUCGGAGUAAUCGAGCUCUCGGCGAAGAGCGCCAAAACAAGUUUCCUGAAAAUUUGAAAUGAGGAAAAAUAAGAAGAGAGUGGUAAUUAUUAACAAUAAUAAAAUAGGAAGUGUUAAAAGAAAAUUGGAGGGGAGGGAGAGAAGAAAUUGCAAACAAUGUGGUCUUUGAAAUCAGAGGUGGGUCCAUAUUCCGGGCACUUGUCGCCGAUUCGAAGGAGGAGGCUUCUCCAGCUACUGGUGCUGUUCAUCUUUUGUGUGCUAAAGCUAAAACGGGAGAGAGUUAGAAGAAAGGAAAAUAAUGAAGGGUGUGUGUGGAAAUAUGGGUUUACUGUUUGGAAGGGUUUUAAGUUUUGAGCCACGCAUGCACCUCACUGAUGAACGAACCCUAACCUGCACCAUCUCCUACCCAUUUUCUAUUGUUAAAGAACACUAAAUUAAUUUAAACUGUCCUAAAAUUCAAUGUUGUUGUUAAAUUGGUAUCUCUUACUGUUAAAUAUGAGUUUUUUUUUAGUGUUGUUAUUAUAAAUAUUUAUACAUUAAUUCAUUACUUAUUUUUUAUUUUUUUAUUGAGGAGUCAACGAUUAUUAAAUAUGAAUUAUGGGUGAUAUGCAUAUAAAACUUUUAUAUUAUCAUUUUAUAUAUUUUUUUUACUUUGGGCCAAAUUAUACAUUAAACAAUAUAGGUUAUUUAAAUGAAAAAAAAAACUUUACAUUCAUUUAAUUAAGAACAAAUAAAUAUACAUUUUAGUUUCUCAUAUUUUCAAACAUUGUACCUCAAAAUUUGAAAAACCAAAUCAUCUCCAAAAAUUUAAAUUUGUGUCAAAUUAGUCAUUUUUAGCAUAUUUUACAAUAUAUGAUAUAAAUUAAUUUGAUUCAUAUUUAAAAACUUUAGAGGUUAUUUUGAGUUUUUCAAAUUUUUAGGGACUAAAACCGUUAAGGUAAAAAAAUAUUAGCAACUGAAAUGAAAUGAAUAUUUAGUUUAAUUUUUAAAUAUCAGAAUAACUACAUUUAGAGCAGGCAAAAUGAAUUAUCCAUUAUGUACCCAUAAAACGUAAGGCUUAAGUAACAAAAAUUUGGCCCAAAUUAAACUCGAGUCUUUUUAGACUAGCUAGAAAGAACUCACGUUGCAUCCAGACUAGCUCGGUAGAAUUUAGGACUACCCUUUUUUACUUCACUUUAUUAUUUUACUCACCAUUUUUUAUGAAAUAAGUAUUUGAUUGUCAGUUAUCACUAGCUCAUUGUUGAGAUCACUCUAGUGUAAAGAAGAGUCUCUUCACCAGAACUAGGUUUUGAUGAAAACACCAACAUCAAUAAAAAAUAAAAUAUUAAAGGUUUUGUAGAUUAGAAAACGCAAGUUAUUAAAUAAGAUUUUAAUGUUUUUUAGGUCUUACCUUAAUAGUUCAUUUUAAUUUUGAUAUCACAUAAAAUUCAUAAAAAUUGUUUUUCAAAGUUUUUAAGGGAUGCAAAAUAUUAACAAAGAGGGGUUUUUAGAGAACCAAGUACCACAUUACUUAAAAUAGAGCAAUAGGUUACUGGUUACAAAAUAAUAUGUUAGCUAACUUGGCAGAAGAUCCAGUAACUGAUUACUAUGGUGGGUAAUUGAUUACUCAAUGGACAAAAAUGUCCAUUCAUUGAUUACUAUGUGCCAGUAACCGAUUAAUUUGUGUUGGAAGUGUAUUUUCGAAUUUGAAACUCAAUCAGCACAUACCCAAACAAAUCAGUAUGUUCCCAAGUGUUGCAUACCUCCUAGAAUGAACCUUUAAACUCUAUAUAUAUUAUCCUAAGUUUCUGAAGAUAUCACAACAUUUUCAUAACACUUUUGCAACAACUUUCAAUUGUAAAUCCUUCUUAAGUUUUUCAGAAAAGUCUUAAGUGGAAUUUUUCUUUUUCAUACUUCAUGAAAAACAAAAGGUAUUAACUUCAAAGAGUUCUUGAAAAGGAUUCAGCAUCAAUAAAGCAGAUGUAGUAAUCCUAAGCUAUUGAGAAAAGUCUUCUUAUGCUCUGUAAAAUUGAAGUUCACCUUAGGUUUUGGUGAGUGACUAUGCAAUAAGAAAAUGGUGCGUUUUCUUGGGUAAUUGAGUAUUAUAGAAGAGAGUAUUCGUGUGAGGCUUGUAAAGAAAUUCAAUUGCAUAAUGAUACAUCUUGAGUCAAAAAGGGAACUGACAUAGCCUUUAGUUGAAAAAGGUAAAUCAGUAUAUGCCUUGUUGUGAAUCUCUCUAUACUUAUCUCUAUUAAAAUUUUGCAACUAUUGUUCUACAAGUUUCUACUUCCGUUGAAAAUUUUGAGUUAUCAUUUAAAAUUGAUAGUAUCAUUGCAAACCUAAUCCACAUUCCCUCAUAGGUUGAUAUCUAGUGUUUACAUCUUGUUUGUAGUGGGCUAGGGGCCUAUUAGCCCAAUCCUAAGUACGACCAAAUCUCUCGGUACUUACUACCACCAUACAAGACACACACACAACCUUGGUCAACUGCUCCUCAUCGACAAGUGAACAAUCUCCAACAUUCUUACAUUCUUUGAGUUUUGUAGGAAAUUGAAUGUUAAAGAAUAAAUUCAAAGAUGGACAAGAAUUCAAGCCAAAAUUCAAGACAAAAGCUCAAAAUGAAUUGCUAAAAGUAAUCAAGUUAAAGCAUGGCAUGUUAUGUGCUUAAUUUGGUUACUUAGCCUUGAAGAAAGGUAGCUUACUUCGUCUUGAAGAAACCUAAGUUAAGGUAGGCCAAGCAACUUGCAAAAAUCAAAUACUUACCUUAACUUAAAGAAAACAACCCAAAAGUGCCAAGCAAUCAACAAAAAUCAAGUAACAAACCAAAGGAAAAAAAGGUUGCUUCACCGUGAAGAAAUCAAGCACAAAGCGGUCCAGCCAAGCCAAGCACCAAGCAUCAGGCCAGGUCAGCCAAGCACCAGACCAGGUCAACUAAGCUGUUGAAUAAGCAGCUUAGCGGUCCAACCAAGCAGCUUAGCGGGGAACCAGGUGUGCUAAGCUGCUGAAAUAGGCAGCUUAGCGGGGAACCAAGUGUGCUAAGCGGCUGGCGCACCAGAAAAAUGAUUUCUAGGUCAACUCAUGGAACAUCUUACUUUUUCUUUGCUUAAAGGCCAAGAACAUGACCUCAUGGAUGACAUAAGGCUAUGACAAGAAGGAGGAGGUGUCACCAUGCAUUUAACCUAGCCCACCAUACCUACCAUAGGGUCAAGUAGGGGCCAAAGUGGCUCUUCAUAGGGGCCAAUGGUGAGAAGCUUAGCUGCCAAACAGGGCAGCUGAGCGUCCAGCACCUUGGCCUAUAAAAAGGUAUGAAAUUCUCAUUUGUAACACAAUGUACAUUCAUUCUAAAUUCUUCCUAGUUGAUUCCUCUUCUUUUCCUUUCAUUUUAGGUAGUUUCAGAAUAGUUUUUCAUAUAAUUCAAGAGGAGAAAGGAUAAGGCAAAUGAGAUGCAAAAAUUCAUUUUGUAAUCUCAUUUGGAACCUAAAGCAUCCAAUCCUUGGAUGGAUGGCUCAUGCUCCUAACAAUUUCAUUUGUAAGUUGAUUAUGUAUUUCUACUUCUUCUUUUAUUCUAAAGUUUGAAUUUUAAUCAUUCAAGUUGGUGUUUUGGUUAAUUUUAUUUGUUUGAGANNNNNNNNNNNNNNNNNNNNNNNNNNNNNNNNNNNNNNNNNNNNNNNNNNNNNNNNNNNNNNNNNNNNNNNNNNNNNNNNNNNNNNNNNNNNNNNNNNNNAACAUUAUUUCAAUUAUAGUGAAGAAAAAUCUCCCAGAUCUGCCAGGAGGCCUGGAUGUAGUUUGCAAGUGGACCCGCAAACGAACCAGGAUAAUAAUCGUGUUGCACGCUUUUCUUUCCCUCUCUCUCUUUAUUGUUUUAAUCGAUUACUUUGUAUAGUUAUUUUAAUUGUACUAAUCUGUUUCUGUACUAUACUGUUGUAACUCUGAUAUAUCUGUUAGCUCUAUAUAUUUGAUUUGAUCUCAGUUGAUUGUCGUGCAAGAAACUGAAUCUGUUUGUGUAAUCUGAGCUAUUUUANNNNNNNNNNNNNNNNNNNNNNNNNNNNNNNNNNNNNNNNNNNNNNNNNNNNNNNNNNNNNNNNNNNNNNNNNNNNNNNNNNNNNNNNNNNNNNNNNNNNACUACAAUUGAAUCUUGAAAGAGGUGUAAAUUGUAAAAUAGUAAAGUGUUAUCAAUAAAUUUAUUUGUUGAAAACACCUUUUAAUAUACAAAAGUGAUGAAACUAACUUACUAACUUUUAUUUACUGUCAUUUACUUCCCGCAAUUUAUUUAUUCUUUAAUACCAAACUUCCUUAAGGAAGAAAUUUGGUUUGUUAAUAAAAUGAACCCGAAAGAGAGUAAAUAAAUAAAAGGUCACUUAAAUUUAUUAUUCUUUUGUUCUUUAAUUAUUUAUUUGUUUCUAACAACUAACUAUUCAUCACUUUUGUACACUAGAAUACCAUUAAAUCGGUGUUGGAAUUUAUUCCACAAAACCGAGAUGGUAUUCAAAGGUACUUAAUAAUUAUGUAAUAAGGGAUUGCUUCGAUACCAUUAUACCGGCGUUAGAAUUUUAACAAAGCCAAGAUGGGGCAAAGAAGGAAUAACUCAUUCACAUGAUUAUUAAGAAGUAAGUUGUUACUGGAAUAUUCUUGAAACCAUUAUACCGGCGUUGGAAUUUAUUUCAACAAAGCCGAGAUGGCAAACAAAGAAUAAAACCGAGUUCUCUUACUUGGUCAAAUAAAAAGAACACAUCGAGAAAAUGAGAGGGAAUUUAACCUUUCAACAAAUUGGCACAUUGCUAAGGAACGAUUUGUUGAGAGGGGAAAACAAAACCUCUCUCAAAAAUAUCUUCCAACAGUAGUGAAAGAUUAAAGCAUAUUUUGUUCAAAAUGGUGCUUGGAAUUGUUAAAAUAAAGGGUGAAUAUGUAAGGUUCGUGUUUUACUCCAUACUACAAUAUGAUACGAAACAUUGAAGAAAUAAGGCAUAUUCGCUGGGCACAACUGUGAAUGAAUACACAGUCUAGUCGUGUUGGCCACUACGACAUUGUACAUGUCCAUGUACUCAUACACUACUUGGUCGUGUGCCAACCAACUAUCGAGGAAGACAUCUAUGUAUGUUUAAUUACUGCAUUUUUUGAAUCAAGAGAGACAUGACUAAUCUUGUUUAGAGAUUCCGCUCAGUGUAUUAUGUGAGAGAGAUUCUCAUAGGUUCCUAGUUGAACCAAAGAUUAUAUAGAAGGGUCCCUCCUUGAUCUUGGACAAGUUUUGAUAAAGACACCAAUAGCAAUGAAGAAGAAAAAGGUUGUAAGACUUAUAGAUUGGAAAAUACAAGUAAUAGAUAAGAUUUUAUUGCUUUCUAGUUUUUGGUCUUACCUUAAUAGUUCAUUUUAACUUUGAUAUCACAUAAAGCUCAGGAAAAAUGUUAUUCAAAGUUUUAAAAGGGAUGGAAAACAUUAACAAAGUUUCUAAAAGGGAGUUUUGUUGCGCCUUGAUUUGCGGUUGAACAUCAGUAAUACCACCGUUUGGAGUUGCCAUUAUAUUUUUGUGCUCAAAAUGUAGAAAGCUAUUUUUAAGCCCACUUCUUGGGACGUGCUGAUCGUUGAAUUUAAAAUUCGGGCUCAAGAGUCAGUUAUAGAUGGAUACACUUACUGGUCGCAUGGAGUAUUUUAUUAAAAGCUACGUUGUGUAUUUUACAUUUCUUAAAAGGAAGAUACAUUUUUAUUAUGUCUCACAAGAUAAGAUCUUACUCCUUCAUAUCUCCAUAAAUAAUAAGGAAACAAUACUACAUAGUUCUUGGGUAGAAAAUGGUUUGUUUGUUUGGGUAUAUUUUAUUUUUAGGUUUGAAAGGAAGAUGUGAUGUUUGAUCUUAGACUAUCAUCAUUACUUAAAUGAGAGAAGUAAAACUCUAAUGUCCGAUAUUGCAUCUCUAUCACUAAGAAAAAAACUAGAUCAAGGUCUCACCUUCUUUUCAAUCCUUAAGGCUUUUUUAGAUUUAUUAUAAGGUGUGUAUUAAUGAUUAAUUAUUUAUUGAUGUCCAUCAAUCUCAACAAAGUGAAGUGCAACCCUAUGUCUAACACCACAUCUUAACUUAAAAUGGUGGCAAGCGUGUUUUUUAGUAUUAUAUCUCAUUACUCUUUAUAUUUUGUUAUUUUGGAUAUUUGAUCUUAAACUUAAAGUAAAGAGAAUCAAUUAUUAGAUUAAAUCGGUUAAAGUAAAAAAGUUUUCAUUUUUAUUUAUUAAUUAAAAAGGAAAGAAAAGUGUAUUUACUAAAAAUAAUAUUUAUUCAAAUAACAUGUUACUUGGUUUUCUAAAACCUUCUUUUUAGGACCCUGUAACUCUUUCUCAUCCUUUUAAAAUUUUGUAAAAAAAUUGCAAGAGCUUUAUGUGAUACCUAAGUAAGAAUGACUAUAAAGGUAAAACCUAUACUAUAAAGAAAAUUAAAUCUUAUUUAUGUACUUGUGUUUUCCAUACUUCAAGGUCUUCAAUAUUAUUUUUCUUUUUAUUGAUGUUGAUGUCUUCAUCAAAACCUAGUCAAGGUCAAGAAGAGGCUUUAAUCAUCAUUGCAUCUUAGACCUUAAAGUUAUCAAAGAUAAAAUGUGAUCUACUAUAUAAACAAAAGUAAUCUUAAGUUUCAUGUUGUCUUUUUUGUAGUCCUUUGUAUGUCAUAUUAUGUUGUUUUAUAAUUUGUUGUAUUCAUCACAAUCAUUAUUAUUAGUCUUCAAACUCAUGUGUUUGUGUUAUAUUUUUUUCUAAGAAAAGAAACUAUAGAGCUUCCUAGCAAGUGAAAAGUGUCAUAAGUACUUUUCUUAUCUAAUUUGAAUCUGACAAUGUCAGAAUCAAAAUAACAUAACAAAGUUAGAUUAAUAUCACAAAUAUACCAUAUUUAUAGUUCCUUUAAGAUAUCUCAAAUAUCCUUUUGGAGAGAACAUAUGUGAGUCCAUUGAGUUAGCUGUCUACUAGUAGUCAAAUACAAUGAUCUACAAAUUAAAUUGUGAUACUCUAUUACUACAACCACAUUUCCUUUUUCAUCUUUGCCCAAGUAGCAUGAUGCUACCAUGUUUGUAGUGGCUUCCUUAGCUUAAUCAUAUCAAAAUUACUUAGUAAAUCUUUUCAAUACUCAACUUGGUUGACAAAAGUUUCACUCCCCGAUUGUUUGAUUUGUAGUCUUGAAAAGAAAUUUAAUUCUCUCAUCAUAGACAUUUUCAAUUUCUUUGUCAUAAGCAUGGAAAAAUUCUUGUACAAAUCAUUAUUAGUAGCACCAAAUAUAAUAUCAUCAAUAUAAAUUUGUACCAACAAUGUAUCAUGUGUAGUUCUAUGAAAGAAAAAUGUUAUACCAAGCUUCCCUCUUUCAAACCUUUCUUUCUUUAGAAAAUAUUGCUUAGUCUAUUGUACCAAGCUCUUGGGGCUUGUUUUAAACCAUAAAAUAUAUUUUUACCUUUGAAAACAUGAUUUCCAAAAAUUAAAGUUUUCAAAAUUGGUUAGUUGAUCAACAUUGACUCCUUUUUCAAUGAAACCAUUUAAAAUACACUUUUCACACCAUUUGGAAUAGUUUGAAGUUCAUCCACGAUGCAAAUGAUAAAAUCACUCUAAUUGCUUCUAACCUUUCUGCAAGUGCAUAUAUUUCAUUGCAUUAUUUUCCUUCUUGGUUGUAACAUUUAGUCACGAGUCUAGCAUUGUUUCAAACAGUAAGGUCUAACUCAUCAAUUUUGUUUCUAAAACCUAUGUAGUGUCAAUCUUUACUCUUAGGUACUAGAUCUUGAAAUCAAAAAUACAAGAUAUAGCAUGAAAGUAUAGUGUUUGAGUUUACACAAGUAGGUUUUGAUAAAGAAAAAAGCUUUUAAAACAACAAGACUUCAAUACAACAACAACUUGUUAGACUUCGCGUCUUAUAUUCACUUAGAAUUAUUGUAAUACAUUUUAUAUUUUAUAGGCCUAAGAAUAAUGGAAUAAAGUCAUAGGACACAUAAAAUAACUCAUAUUAUUAAUAAGCAUCUUAAAAAUGAUUUAGAUAUAGAUAUUUUUAAAAACAUGAGUUAUUCUCUCUAGAUAAUGGAUUUGGCAUUGAUUAUAAAGUCAUAAUUGAUCAUGGUCCAUUUUUUUUUGUCAGCAAAGAAAGUACAAUUUUAUUAAAAAAAUAAGAAAAACAUGGAGAACAAGUGAUAGUCUAAUUCACACAAAUCUACAAAGAAGUUAAUAAGAAGUAAUACAGUCUAAAGGGUUUAACACUCAUUGUGCAUAAGAAUAAUUAAACAUUGUACACUUUGCUUUCCAAAUGCUCCAAUAAUUUAAAUAGAUUAGUUCCAUCGUUUCAUCUAUGUGAAAAAAAUUAUUCUAAAAAAUAAUUGUUUCUAAGAUGCCAUAUAAUCCAUAUGAUUGUAAACCAUAUAGAAAUCCAUAUUUGCUUCUUCUUUUUCACCAAUUAAUUCAUGUAUUCAUGGUUUAGAAAAUGAGUCGUAACAUCUUUAUGGAGUGCAGAAUUAAAGGCAAACCAUGACUAUGAUUUUUGCCAAAUAUCAUAAGACUUUGGACAUGAGAAGAAAAUAUGAUUAACUUAUUCAUCCAAAUAUCCACACAAAGUUCAUAUUGUUGGAAUGUUAGGAUCCAAAGCACCUCUUCUUUUCAAAUUCACGUUUGUAGGGAUGUGAUUUAUAAUGAUCUUCCUUGCUAGGCUGUCAUCUCCUUGUGAGAUGUUAUACAAAAAUUACCCAAUCUUUCUGAGAUCAAAGUUUUUGGUUGUGAAGCCUUUGCAUCCACUCUUACUCAUCACAGAACCAAAUUGGGUGCUAGGUCUAGGAAGUGUGUCUUCCUUGGGUGCAAAGGAGGGAUAGAAAGAUUCAUUUUAUUAGAUUUGCAUAGCAGUCAAAUCUUUAUAUCUAUAAAUGUCAUAUUUCAUGAAACCAUCUUUCCUUAUUCAUCACAAACACCUUUUGUUUAUGAUACAUCACCAACUAGUAAUAGCAAUGAUGACUUUACCUUUCACACUCAUAAUCCAUCUCCAAUUUUCAUUCUCUGCCAUUACCUAAUGAGUCAUCAUUUCCAAAUAUAUAGCCUCCUCAAUUUUCACCUGAUUCACCCAUCACUACACACUCUUUACCAAUCUCAACACCUCAAACUCCAUCUUCCACACAAAAUGUUGAAUCUUCUUUACCACCAACUACACUUGUAUCAAAUUUUCAUGAGUCCACCAUCAACAUUAGAAGGUCCGGAAGAUUUAGACAACCUCCUACUUACCUCAAGGACUUUCACUAUAAUGUUCUCGCCUCAUCUUAUUCAUCGUCAACAAACGGUAUUACACAUCCUUUAUCCUUAGUAUUAUCAUAUUCUUUUAUUACUCUUUCAUAUCAAUGUCAUGUGUUGUCUAUAUCCACAAACGUUGAAACCAAACACUAUAAUCAUGUUGUCAAAUCUUCUGAUUGGGUUAAGGUUAUGCAAGAUUAAUUAAAUGCACUAGAAUUAAACAUACUUGGAGUUUAGUUGACCUACCUUGUGACAAGGUUCCCAUUGGUUCCAAAUGGAUUUAUAGAAUCAAAUACAAGUCUGUUUGCAACAUAGAGAGGUACAAAGACAGACUUGUGGCCAAAGGAUACAAUCAAACAAAAGGUGUAGACUAUUUUGACACAUUUAUUCCAGUUGUGAAGCUUACCAAAAUUAUCAGCUAUAAUUGCUUCCUAAAAUUAGUUGUUAUAUCAAUUUGAUGUCAAUAAUGCCUUUUUUCAUGGCCAUUUGGAUGAAGAUGUAUAUAUGUAGAUUCUUGAUGGAGACACUUGUGUAAAACUCAAUCAAGUUUGCAAAUUUCACAAGUCUCUUUAUGGACUCAAGCAAGCCGACAGUGGUACACUAAGCUCUCAAACUCUCUAGUUUCCAUGGGAUACACGUAAUCCACUCAUGAUCAUUCAUUUUUCACUAAGAAGAAUGGUUCUCAGUUCAUUGCACUCCUUGUAUAUGUUGAUGAUGUAAUUCUGGGAGGAAAUGACAAAGAUGAGAUUACUUUUGUGAAACAACUACUACACUAUUUAUUCAAAAUCAAAGAUCUGGGAGCUUUGAGAUACUUCCAUGGCUUAGAAGGUUCUAGGUCUCACACUAGCAUCACCAUUUGUCAGAGAAAAUAUGCACUAGACAUUUAGUCUGAUACUAGUUUUCUUGCUUCCAAACCAUUUUCUACUCCCAUGGUGAAAACCACCAAAUUGCAUCAAGAUGGUGCUAGUUUAUUUGAUAAUCAUGUUUCCUACAAAAGACUAGUUGGGAGACUUCUUCAUUUAUCAAAUACCAUAUCAAACAUAUUAUAUUAUGUGCAACAAUUGAGUCAAUUCUUGGGUGCUCCCAUCGCUAUACAUUAUCAAGUUCUCACAAGAAUACUAAGGUACAUCAAAGACACUCUUGGUCAAGGAAUCUUUUACUAUUCUCAAUCCUCUCUUCAAAUAAAGGUAUUUAGUGACUCUGAUUGGGGAGUUUGUCUUGAUUCAAGGAAAUUCAUUUCAAGCUAUUGUAUUUUCUUUGGGAAUUCACUAGUUUCUUGGAGAACUAAUAAGCAAACCACUGUUGCUAGAUCUUCCUCAAAAGCUUAGUACAAAGCAUUGGCUGCCACAUCUUGUGAGAUUCAAUGACUCACAUAUCUUCUGCAAAACUUUGACAUUUAGUUCAUUGUCAAUGCUCUUCUCUAUUGUGACAAUGAUUCUACUAGACACAUUUAUGCAAAUUCUAUUUUUUACGAGAGAACAAAGCACAUUGACAUUGAUUGUCAAAUGGUUAGAGAAAGAUUGUAGACCAAGUUAUUUGAUCUCUUGCCAACUCCUUCUACAGAACAUUUGGCUAACAUAAUUACUAAAGCUUUAGAUCCUUCUCCUUUACAUAAGGUGGUCCAAGUAUUAAAGUUUUAGUUACACUUUUAGGCUUGACUUAAUCGUCCACGAGUCAUUUUUCCUUCUGGUCAUUUUUUUAUUGGCAGAUUUAUGAUCAAAACACUUAAAUUAAAUUAACUCAGUGUUGGACAAAAGUUAGCCCACACAUUUAUUAUAAAAAUUAAAAUUGCUCAAUACUAAUUAAAUUGGCUAGGCCUGACUCGGUCUGGCUAGGCCUGACUCGGUCAGGCUACGCCCAGUGCAUGAUGCGGCACACUAGGCGUAUGCGCCUCGGUCAGAUUUCCUGGCUAUGCCAGUUUGGCCCAGCGCCUGGUGCAACACUGGGUGCACCAGAGACCUCAACUUGGUCAGAGUUGUCUCGGUCAGGUUUCAUGCCUGAUGCGUCUAGCUCCAUGCCAGGGCCAAUUUUGGCGCCUGAGUCAGACCCGUGGCAUGUCUCAUGCGCAUGGCCUGGUUCAUCCUUGGCUCGGUCAAAACCAUGGACCAAGAUGCUAGUGAGCAUCUUUAGACCCAUUUGGGCUAUCUUUGGCUCAUCAUCAUGGAUCAACAUUAUGAGUUGUCCAAGGGCAUUUUGAGCCCUUUUUGCCCUAGCCCUAGUCAUAUGACCACUUAUGCCUUCAAGACCAUCAAUAUCAAGGUUAGGCUCUUUGAGGUUCACAUCAUCCCCUCCUUCUUGAAGAGAUUUCGACCUGAAAAUUGUGUCUUCUUCAUCUACAUCAAAUGGAAACAAAUUAUCAACAUUUAUUAGGUCAUUAUUAGACAAAUAUUUCUCUUGCACUUGGAUGUUAGUUGCUUUGGCACAAUCUUCAGUAAAUACUACUUGAUUGAUUAAGCCAUCCAUGAGUCUAAUCUCAAGGCAAGUGACUAUUGUCUUGGCUUCCCAUAAGUCAUCAACUCCUUUGAUGAUUCCAAGCUCCUGAAAAAUUCUAGAAACAUAUUUUGGCAAAACAAAGUUAGUUGUGAAAAAAAAUAGAGGUGUGGUGGGUUGUUUGGUUAGAACAACUUUGUUGUCUUCCACUUUAUCCAUAAGAUAUAGUGGUUUUAUCUCCCUCUCCUUUUGUAUUUUCUUCUCACUUUCUUUUGUUUUUCUCUCACUCUUUUUUUUCUAGUGCUAUUUUUCUUUUCAAGACAUUCUUAUCUUCAAUGACUUGUUCGGGGGUUAAUGGUGAAAGUAUCACCCUCCUUUUGUUGUGUAUCAAUGUGUACUUGUUUGUUAUUCCAUCAUGUGUUGCUCUUUUGUCCUACUGCCAUGGUCGACCUAGUAAUAAAUGACUAGCGUCCAUAUCUACCACAUCAUAUAGAGCCGAAUCAUCAUAGCUCCCAAUAGUAAAAGGGACUUCAACUUGUUUAUCAACAAGCAUUUCUCUUACCUCACUCAACCAUUGCAAUCGGUAUGGAGUGGGAUGUGUCUUUGUUUCAAGAUUUAGUUUGGAUACUAACCUUGUACUAACCACAUUGGUGCAACUUCCACUAUUAAUGAUCAAACAACAAACCUUACCACCAACUAGACACCUUCUGUGGAAGAUGUUUCCUCUUUAGUUAGCUUCUUGGUCUUUGAUUUGACUCCCUAAUAGCAUCCUCACCACAAGCAAGUCACCUUCAGGAACUAUAUCAUUAUCAUCCUCAUGACCAUCCUCUUCAUCACUUGAGGCUUCGGAUUGAGAUUCUAUCUCUCCAUUAGUCAUGAUCAUUGUCUUCCUUGUAGGACAUUGAGAGGCAAUGUGCCCAAGGCCUAAGCACUUGAAACACUUGAUAUCUCUACUCCUUUGACUUGCCACCACGACUUGUUUACCUUGCCUUGUAGUCACAGAUCCUUUGGUGCUAGGUGUAACUUCCUUUGUUGGGCUCUCUUUCUUGAGUUUGUCCACCCACCUUGUUGAUUGAUAUUUGGAACUAGAUCCCAAAGAGAAUUUAGACUUCUUCCGCCUUAAUUGCUCCUCUACCUUUAUUGCUUGUUGAACUAGAUCAUCAAACUCAACAUAGUGUUGUAAUUCAACAAUGUCUUGGAUGUCUGGAUUCAACCCAUGUAAGAACCUUGCCAUAAUGGCUUCUCGGUCUUCAUGGAAAUUAGACCUCAACAAGGUUAAUUCCAUCUCCUUGAAAUAUUCAUCAACACUUUUAGACCCUUGUAUGAGCCUUUUUAGUUUGUUGUGAAUAUCCCUUUGAUAGGAGUUAGGAACAAACCUUCUCUUCAUGAUCAACUUCAUUUAUUACCAUGUAUCAAUUGGUUCAGCACUAAUCCUUCUCCUCUCAUUUUGAAGCUGAUCCCACCAAAUCCUGGCAUACUCCUUGAAUUCCAAGGCUGCCACAUUUACCUUCUUCUCCUCAUUGUAAGAAUUGCAAUCAAACACUUGUUCAAUUUUCAAUUCCCAUUCAAGGUAAGCCUCCGGAUCAUUCUUACCAAUAAAGGUUGGUACCUUUAUCUUGACCCCUUCUACUUUGGUAUCCUCCCUUUUUCUCCUCCUCCUUGCUUCCCUCAUUUGCCUACCCCUGCCUCCUUCAUCAUCCAAGUCACUUGAAUACCUAUAAGCACAGUUGUCAAGCCUCCUAUCAUACUCCAAUUUCAUUUGCUCCAUUUGUCUUUGGAGUGUUUGAAAUUGUGUGGUGAUCAUGGCAUGUAGGGUUGCUGUCCUUGGGGACAAUGGAGAACUAUCACUCAACACUCUAUCCUCCAUGGCCUUCUUAAGUAAACCAAGUUUGAAACGUUGUGACUUGAGUUAUACCUCAAAGAAAGAACUUGACACUUUUUUGUUUAGACUCUUUUUUGGAUUCUUUGACACUUUUUGACACUUUUGAUUUUUGGACUUUGACACUUUUUUUUUUGAAAGAUAAAGAUAAAGAAAGAUAGAUAUACUCACGUCCAAAAGAAAAGAUUAGUGAACACCAAGCAAGAGACUAGCUCUGAUGCCACUUGAUGUGAACCUCUUGGUGAAAAGUCUCUUGAACGAUCUAUCUUGGUUGGUGCUUGGCCUAAGCUCACGGUUGAGUAGAGAUUUUUGAGUGUAAGCAGCGGAAAUAUGAAAUUGGAUAAAAGAAGAUGAAAUAGAUUUGAGGUGAAGGCGCCACAACACUUGAGGUGUUGAUAAGCCAAAGUGAUGCUCGCCACAAGAACUUGGUUCUUGAUAAGAACUUCUAAUCUUGGUUUAGCCAAGAAGGUUUGGAGAAUACUCUCACAAGGAUAUAAUCCUUUUUGAUUCACAAAGAAUUCAACUUAACUUAACUUGUCUAUUCCAUUGCAAAAGACUUACAUUUAUAGGCAAGCCAGUAGGCUCCCACGAUUUGCUACUAAGACUAAUGCAUGGUAAUUUUAACAUUGGAUUCCAUAAACCAAAUGAAUCUACUCCUAAACUAGACUACAUUCGGAUGGUAAAGCUAUGAGUAUAUGUGAUUCGUGUGUUUUAUUACAAUUGAAAGACAAACUUAAUGACUUAGGCCUAGGAUGCCUUGAUUGCCACGGUUGGGUAGUGAUGAGCAUGAGAUUUUGUUCCUCCUGAAGUGCACGGCUCAACAAUUAAGUCAUAUGAUCAAUGAGAUUGGAUAACUCAUUAAUGCCCAUGGCUAAGCUUUGAUGAGCUCCAUUGGAUUCCUCUAAUUUGGUACAUGGAAAUUGUUGGAGUUAAGCCUUCUUAAUGAUCCUCGGGUACACUUGAUCUUGGCAUAGGAUUCCUUUGCUAAGGAAUGAAAUUCCCUCGGCUAAGUGUUGAUCAAGGAUGCACUAAAUAGCUUAGAAUGUCGUUGGUGCAAUAUGGUAGGCUGCCAACGGCUAGAACAUGUGCAUAAUGCACCAUUAAUGCACCAUUAAGGUCUCCAAUGGCCACAUGCUAAUUCCACACGAGCAUCUUUGCUCCAACAGCUCUGAAAUUAACUUAGGAUCCCUCUAGAUGAAUGUGUUCUGGUGGAUUUAGCUCCAACGGUCCAGACAAGGUGUUUAAGCCUCAUAAAUGCUCCAUUAAGCUCCUCCACGGUCAUAUUUUGAUUCCCUUCGAGCAUUCUCCCUCCAACGGCUACAAUAGUCUUUAUUUACCUACAAAAUAAUAUUAGACUAAGUUAGAAUGACUUUGGUUCACGAAAAAUAUAAGUUGGUCCAAGCAUUAAAGUGUCGGUUACACUUUUAGGCUUGACUUAAUCAUCCACGAGUCAUUUUUCCUUCUAGUCAUUUUUUAUGGGCAGAUUUAUGAUCAAAACACUUAAAUUAAAUUAACUAAGUGUUGGACAAAAGUUAGCCCACACAUUUAUUAUAAAAAUUAAAAUUGCUCAAUACUAAUUAAAUUGGCUAGGCCUGACUCGGUCUGGCUAGGCCUGACUCGGUCAGGCUACACCCAGUGCCUGAUGCGGCAUACUAGGCAUAUGCGCCUCAGUCAGAUUUCCUGGUCAGGCCAGUUUGGCUCAGCGCCUGGUGCAACACUGGGUGCACCAGAGACCUCAACUGGGUCAGAGUUGUCUCGGUCAGGUUUCAUGCCUCAUGCGUCUGGCUCCAUGCCAGGGCCAAUUUUGGCGCCUGAGUCAGACUCGUGGCCUAUCUCAUGCGCAUGGUUUGGUCCAUCCUUGGCUUGGUCAGAACCAUGGACCAAGAUGCUAGUAAGCAUCUUUAGAUCUCCUUGGGCUAUCUUUGGCUCACCAUCAUGGAUCAACAUUAUGAGUUGUCCAAGGGCAUUUUGAGCCCUUUUUGCCCUAGCCCUAGUCAUAGGACCACUUAUGCCUUCAAGGCCAUCAAUAUCAAGGUUAAGCUCUUUGAGGUUCACAUCAUCCCCUCCUUCUUGAAGAGAUUUCGACCUCGAAAUUGUGUCUUCUUCACCUACAUCAAAUGGAAACAAAUUAUCAACAUUUAUUAGGUCAUUAUUAGACAAAUAUUUAUCGUGCACUCGGAUGUUAGUUGCUUUGGCACAAUCUUUAGUAAAUACUACUUGAUUGAUUAAGCCAUCCAUGAGUCCAAUCUCAAGGCAAGUGACUAUUGUCUUGGCUUCCCAUAAGCCAUCAACCCCUUUGAUGAUUCCAAGCUCUUGAAAAAUUCUAGAAACAUAUUUUGGCAAAACAAAGUUAGUUGUGAAAACAAAUAGAGGUGUAGUGGGUUGUUUGGUUAGAACAACUUUGUUUUCUUCCACUUUGUUUGUUCUUCCAUCAUGUGUUGCUAUUUUGUCCUACUGCCAUGGUCGGCCUAGUAAUAAAUGACUAGCAUCCAUAUCUAUUACAUCACAUAGAGCCGGAUCUUCAUAGCUCCCAAUAGUAAAAGGGACUUCAACUUGUUUAUCAACAAGCAUUUCUCCCACUUCACUCAACCAUUGCAAUCGGUAUGGAGUGGGAUGUGUCUUAGUUUCAAGAUUUAGUUUAGAUACUAACCUUGUACUAACCACAUUGGUGCAACUUCCACUCUCAAUGAUCAAACAACAAACCUUACCACCAACUAGACACCUUGUGUGGAAGAUGUUUCCUCUUUGGUCAGCAUCUUGGUCUUUGAUUUGGCUCCCUAAUAUCCUCCUCACCACAAGCAAGUCACCUUGAGGAACUAUAGCAUCAUCCUCCUUAUGGCCAUCCUCUUCAUCACUUGAGGCUUCAGAUUGAUAUUCUAUCUCUCCAUUAGUCAUGAUCAUUGUCUUCCUUGUAGGAAAUUGAGAGGCAAUGUGCCUAAGGCCUAAGCACUUGAAACACUUGACAUGUCUACUCAUUUGACUUGCCACCACGACUUGUUUACCUUGGCUUGUAGUCACGAAUCCUUUGGUGCUAGGUGUAACUUCCUUUGUUGGGCUCUCUUUCUUGAGUUUGUCCAUCCACCUUGAUGAUGGAUAUUUGGAACUAGAUCCCGAAGAGAAUUUAGACUUCUUCCACCUUAAUUGCUCCUCUAGCUUUAUUGCUUGUUGAACUAGAUCAUCCAACUCAACAUAGUGUUGUAAUUCAACAAUGUCUGGGAUGUCUUGAUUCAACCCAUGUAAGAACCUUGCCAUAGUGGUUUCUCGGUCUUCAUGGAAAUUAGACCUCAACAAGGCUAAUUCCAUCUCCUUGAAAUAUUCAUCAACACUUUUAGUUUGGUAUCCUCCCUUUUUCUCCCCCUCCUUGCUUCCCUCCUUUGCCUACCCCUACCUCCUUCAUCAUCCGAGUCACUUGAAUACCUAUAAGCAUGGUUGUCAAGCCUCCUAUCAUACUCCAAUUUCAUUUGCUCCAUUUGUCUUUGGAGUGUUUGAAAUUGUGUGGUGAUCAUGGCAUGUAGGGUUGCUGUCCUUGGGGACAAUGGAGAACUAUCACUUUCGUGAUGAGACAUUUCACUCAAACUCACGUGUAUCACUCACUUUUUGUUUGUGGAAAAUGUAGGGAAUUGUGUAUCACUCAACACUCUAUCCUCCACGGCCUUCUUAAGUAAACCAAGUUUGAAACGUUGUGACUUGAGUUAUACCUCAAAGAAAGAACUUGACACUUUUUUGUUUAGACUCUUUUUUGGAUUCUUUGACACUUUUUGAUACUUUUUAUUUUUGGACUUCGACACUUUUUUUGACACUUUUGAUUUUUGGACUUUGACACUUUUUUUGAAACUUUUGAUUUUUGAACUUUGACACUUUUUUUUGAUACUUUUGAUUUUUGGACUUUGACACUUCUUAUUUUUAAAGAUAAAGAUAAAGAAAGAUAGAUAUACUCACAGCCAAAAGAAAAGAUUAGUGAACACCAAGCAAGAGACUAGCUCUGAUGCCACUUGAUGUGAACCUCUUGGUGAAAAGGCUCUUGAACGAUCUAUCUUGGUUGGUGCUUGGCCUAAGCUCACGGUUGAGUAGAGAUUUUUGAGAGUAAGGAGCGGAAAUAUGAAAUUGGAUAAAAGAAGAUGGAAUAGAUUUGAUGUGAAGGCGCCACAACACUUGAGGUGUUGAUAAGCCAAAGUGAUGCUCGCCACAAGAACUUGGUUCUUGAUAAGAACUUCUAAUUUUGGUUCAACCAAGAAGGUUGGAGAAUACUCUCACAAGGAUAUAAUCCUUUGUGAUUCACAAAGAAUUCAACUUAACUUAACUUGUCUAUUCCAUUGCAAAAGACUUACAUCUAUAGGCAAGCCACUAGACUCCCACGGUUUGCUACUAAGACUAAUGCAUGGUAAUUUUAACAUUGGAUUAACAAAUGUACCAUCAUUGUUUAAGAAUAUAACAUCACAAUUAAGACAAAAAAUUAUAUUUAGUCAUUAUUUUGUAGAUAUUUAGGAAUUAUGUUCAAUAACGAGUUUGGAAAUGUUCAAUCCCAACUAUUUGUGCGUCCAAAAACAUGGAUUCAAACUGAUGGGACCCAGAAUGAGCCCAACAUUGUUGAAGAACACAAGGCCAUCAAGUGCGUCAUCCAGCUUGAAGAACCACAUGAUGGAGGCCACAUUUUUCUUAGGAAGGCAUAAGACUUUUAAGUGAGAUUUAAUAAUGUGGGGGUCUUUUGUGCCACCUAUAACUUAGUUUAUAUUUUAUUUCUUUAUUUUUUACAAUAAUUUAUUAAGUAUUGCCUCUUUAGGAGUAGUCAUGUAAUAAGGAGUCACUAUGUGUGGGAGAUAGGAUAAGUUAUUUCUUUUCUUAGAAUAAAGCCUUGAGUGGUCAUGUAAUAAUACCUUGUUAAAAGGGAAAGAUGAUGAACAUGAAAGAUUCAAGAAAUCAAAUUCAAGAGCAUGGAAAUUAUCUCUUUCCAUGUAAAGCAAACCAUGUGGUAUUCUUGCCAUAUGGGGAAGAUUCAUUGAAUUUGGUUAUUCCUAAUUAUGGAAGGCAUUAAGUAACUAUGUGGUAAGAUAAUUCCUUGCAUAAAUCAUUUCCUUUCUAAGAAGAAGCAUGAUUCAAUUCAAUUAUAAAGGAUUAUGACAUGCCAAAUGAAGAGCAAAUAUGAAUACAAUUAAGGCAUGUAGUAAGAAAUUCAAAUACAUGAAAUUAUCACCUUCCAUGUAGGGAUUAGGCGUGAAAAUGGCAAGGAUUCAAAUUUCGAAUAUGUAAUUAUUAUUCCCAUAAUAAGCACAAGCUCUGUGGGGAUUCAAAUCAAGGGGAUACUACCAUCCCAAACCUCAAGUUAUCCAUAUGGGAUUCUAAUGCACCAUAUGAUUUAUUUCUAUAAUGGGAACAAGAUGUGUGGGACUUUAUAAACAAGAAGUUAUGAUGAUUAUUCUUUCCUUACCUAGAAAUUCAAUGAACCUAGACCAACCUCGGGCAUGAGCAUCAUCAUGGCCGAGCCAAAUCAAAGGGAGGGUCAUCAACACAUGGGAAACACAACUUUGUUAUAUGUUUAAUGUAAUGUUUUAUUUUUCAACUUUAUAUGUACACUGAAUCACACAUGAAUGACAACUUGAAUAAUAUUUUUGGAUCAAAUCCUUUCUUGUUAGUUGAGUCUUGAUCCUACACAAAGAACUUAUCAAUGGUCCUUCCUUGUGGGGUUCAUAGGCUUAUCACCAUUGGUGUGACCUCUUAUCUUUAAUUCUUAUCAAGUAUCCUUCCUUGUGGCGAUCCUUCUUGGAUUAUCAAGCUAUUUUGCUUGUGGCACCAUCAUCUUCAUCAUUUUCCAUUUUCUUUUAUCCAACACAAGCACAUAAUAAUUCAUAAACAAAAAAUAAACACCAAUUUGGCCUAAACACUAAUUGCGUACACCUUUCACCCAAAAUCAUACUCAAAAUAUGGACAUUCAUAUAAAAUUAUUACUCUACGAGUCAAAUUGAGCUUCAAGCAAGAACGAUCGGCAAAGAAAGCAACCCACCCCUAGAGGUUGCUACUAGGUGGUAAUCAAGGCUAGUCUUGCUUGAAAGUCUGAUACAAUGUCCAGCCCUGAUAGAACUCCAACUAUAUAUACAAGGAAGACCAAUAUUACCAUAACCUUACAAGCAAUGAACACUCAACUCCAAGUCCUCCGAAGUCAAAUGGAGCAAUUGCGGGUUCCAAAUGGGAGGCGACGUGGUAGUGACUCAAGUGAUUAUGAGUCAGAAAGGAAGAGCAGGAGGAGGAGUAAGGAAAUGAGAGAUGAGGAAAGAGGUCGAGGAUAGAGGAGGCAUAACAAUAUGCAUGAUGAUGAAUCAAGUGCAUGUGAUAGUGAAAGAAUGAUGAGGCCCCAAAGAGGAAGACAUGAAGAACAAACACAUAGAGAGAGGAGGCGUGGAGAUAUGAGCGAUGGAGUAAAGGUCAAAGUUCCAACCUUUUUAGGAUUGAACAACCCAGAAGCCUACUUGGAGUGGAAAGUCAAAAUGGAGCAGGUAUUUGACUACCACACAUAUAGUAAAGGGAAGAAAGUCAAGGUGGCAGCCUUGGAAUUCAAGGAGUAUGACAUGGUGUGAUGGGAUCAAUACUAGAAGAAUAGGCGGAGGUGUGGAGCUGAGCCAAUUGACACUUAGGAGGAAAUGAAGAUAGUGAGGAGGAGGAGAUUUGUACCUAGUUCCUACUAAAUGGACAUCCAUAACAAACUUCAGAGGCUAACCCAAGGCAACAAAUAUGUGGAUGAAUACCACAAGGAGAUGGAAUUGGCCUUACCGAGGUCAAAUUUCCAUGAGGAACGUGAAGCCACUAUGGCACAAUUCCUUCAUGGCCUAAAUCAAGAUAUCCAGGAUGUGGUGGAGCUACAACCCUAUGUGGAGCUGGAUGAUUUGGUGCAAAAGGCCAUAAAGGUGGAAAAACUCUAAGUAUUCCUCAAAGUUUUCAUCUACAACUUUGACGGACGAGCCAAAUAAGGAGGGAACACCUAACAACAGGGAGGUCGUGGGUGCUUCAAAGAAUCAAGGAAAACAAACUUUGGAACCAACCAAAAGUCGUGAUGUAAAGUAUUUCAAGUGCCUAGGCCAUGGACACAUUGCAUCAUAAUGUCCCACAAAAAGGUCUAUGGUGCUUAUGGAUCGGGUGGUGGAGUCUCAAUCUGAGGCCUCAAGUGGGGAGGAUAAUGAUGGAGAUGCAUUUAUGCCUGAUGGAAACCUACUUAUGGUGAGAAGGCUCUUGAGGAGCAAGUGAAGGAACAUUAAGAUGGUCAAAAGGAAAAUCUAUUUCACUUGAGGUGCUUGGUAGAGGGACAUGUGUAUUCCUUGAUCAUGGAUGGUGGAAGUUAUGACAAUGUAGUUAGCACAAGGUUCGUUACCAAAGCCUUGUGACUACGACAAACCCUACUCAUUAUCGGCUACAAUGGCUAAUUAAGGUUGAGAAAAUGAUAGUGGACCAACAGGUCGAGAUUUUAUUUUCCAUAGGGAACUAUGAAGAUGUGGUUCUUUGUGAUGUAGCAACCAUGGAGGCUAACCACAUAUUGUUGGGUAGGCCUUGGCAAUUUGAUUAGAGGAUCAUCCAUGGUUUCUCUAACAAGAUCACCUUCAUGCACAAAUGCAACAAAGUGGUCCUAGCUACCUUGUCUCUAAAACAAGUGAGUCAAGAUAAAAAAUAAUUGAGACAAAAAAAUAGAAAAAGAAAAAAAGAGGAAAGUGAAAAUGACAAAAAAAAAAGAAACAAAAAGAAUGAUGAGAAAAAAAAGAGGAUGUUGAAAAAGGAAAUAAUGUUUGUAUUGUAAUAAAAUGUGGGGUUGUAAAACCCAAGGCUUCUAACACUAAUUUGUCUAGUUUUAUGAAGGUCUCUUUGCAUGAACUGGGUAAGGUGUACAAAGAUGGUGAUGAUGAUGUGAAUUUGAGGUUGAAUUCACUUCAAGAAGGAGGAUAUGAUGGGACCCAGAAAGGACCCAACAUUGAUAAAGAACACAAAGUCAUCAAUUGCAUCAUCCAACUUGAAGAACCAACUUAUGGAGGCCACAUUUUCUAAAGAAGGCACAAGACUUUUAAGUUACAUUUAAUAAACUGGAGGUCUUUUAUCCCACCUAUAACUUAGUUUAUAUUUUAUUUCUUUAUUUUAGACAAUAAUUUAUUAAGUAUUACCUCUUUCGGAGUAUGCAUGUAAUAAGGAGUCACCAUGUGGGGAUAUAGGUUAAGUUAUUUUCUUUCUUAGAAUAAAUCCUUGAAUGUUGUGUAAUAAUUCUGUGUUAAGAGGGGAGGACGUGCAUCAACAUGGAAGAUUAAAUAAUUCAAAUUCAAGAGCAUGAAGAUCAUAUUUUUCCAUGUAAAGCAAACUGUGUGGUAUUCAUGCCAUAUGUGGAGGAUUCAUUGAAUUUGGUCAUUCCUAAUUAUGGAAUAGAUUAAGUAGUCGUGUGGUAAGAUAAUUCCUUGCUUAAAUCAUUUCUUUUCUAACAAGGAGCAUGAUUCAAUUCAAUUAAAAAGGAUUAUGAUUUUCCAAAUGAACAACAAAUCUGAAUACAAUUAAGGCAGACGGUAAGAAAUUCAAAUACGUGAAAUUACCACCUUCCGUGUAUGGAUUAGGCAUGCAAAUGGAAAGGAUUCAAAUUUCAAAUAUGAAAUUAUUAUUCCCAUAAUGAGCAUAAGCCAUAUGGGGAUUCAAAUUAAGGAGAUAAUACCAUCUCAAACCUCAAGCAAUUCGUAUGGGAUUUCAAUGCACCAUAUGACUUAUUUCCAUAAUGGGAACAAGCCAUGUGGAAAUUCAAAAACAAGAAGUUAUGAUGAAGCUUCUUUCAUUUCUUGGAAAUUCAAUGAACCUAGACCAACCUAGGGCGUGAACAUCAUCUUGACAGAGCCAAAUCAAAGGGAGGACCAUCAACACAUGGGAAACACAACUUUGUUACAUGUUUAAUGUUAUGUUUUAUUUUUUAACUUUAUAUGUAAACUGAAUCACACAUGAAUGACAACUUGAAUAAUAUUUUGGGAUCAAAUCCUUUCUUGUUAGUUCAGUCUUGCUCCUUGUUGAAAGGACAUUUUUUGUGUAUGAAGUUAUUAUUGAUUGGAGUGAUGAACAUUUUAUUGAGUGGUGACUUUAUUUAUUUACUCCAUUUUCGGAUUCCUUUUAUUAACUCCUUUUUUGGGUUCCUUUAACCGUACUAUAAGGGUUUGUCUCUUUUUAUGAAGUUAACCAUAUCAUUUCUUAUAAAAGGUUGGUAUCAAAGAAUAAUAAAAAGAUUAAAAGAAUAAAGUUAAUAGUUAAUCGUACCACUUUCUUGCGAAGGGUUGGUCUCAUAAUAAACUGUAUCACUUUCUUGCAAAGGGUUGGACUCAUAAUAAAUUGUAUCACUUCUUUCAAAGAGUUGGUAUAAAGAAUAAAAGAAUAAAUAAAUAAAUAAAUUGUCAGAUGCGGAAAAGUAAAUGACUGAAUGUAAAUAAAUAAAAUAAAGAGUUAGUAGUUAGUUGUGGAAUGUAAAUGACAUAAAGUAAAUGUUAGUAGCGAAAAAUAAAUGACAGGAAGAAAAUGUUAGUGGUUAAAUGUAUUAAUUCACCACUCUUUUUUUGUCAAGCAACAAUCCAUUGAUUGAAUUGCACUUUUUGUAUGUUGUUUCUAUUCACAAAGUUACAAAUAAUGAAUGGAUGUGCACUUUUGUGAAUAGAUUAUGUUUUCAACCAAUAAAAUUUAUUGAUAACACUUUACUAUAUUUUACACUUGUAUCUCUUUCAAAAUUCAAUUGUAGUAUAGUAUAGGGUUAUGUCGAACCAAAUGAAAUUUUUAUAAUAAAAUAUAAUAAUAUAGGCAUAUUAUAGCAAAAAUAAAGAUUAACAUCUUUUUAAUGGUUUUUGGUUAUGUUGUUGCAUAAAAUGACAAAAAAAAAGUAAACUAAUAUUCACAAAUUCUUGAGGAGAAGUUUUGGUUUGAAAGGUCGAAUUAAUCCUUAAUUAAAUAAUUUUGAAAACUUAAUGCAAUUUAUGUGUUAUACUAUGGUUAAUUGCAUACAUCAUGUCUAAAUCUUCCUCCCAGUGUCUUAGAAUAAUAAAUAUGAUUUUAAAACAUUAUAAAAUACACAUAAAGAUAAUUAACUAUCACUCGUUAGAGUUGGUUAUCAAAUUCUACUUCAGGCACCGUUAAUAUUAUUUAGCCUUGAAUACAAGUUGUUUAAAAUAUAUGCUUGAUAUGGCAAGUGAAUUAAGGUGUAGGUUAUAUAUUUUUAGUUCACUUGUCAAUACCUUAAGAAGAAGCAUAUUUUGGAUUUGAAUCAAGUUUUAGAUGAUAAAGCUAAAACCGCAUUAGGAACUUCUUAAAGAUGAAAUAGCAAAUAGUCAAAGGAUGCCAUCAAUGAUUAACCUACUUAGUUUUGAUGAAGACAAGGAUGUAAAUGACAGCUUAAAGAAUUUACAUCACCAACAAAUAACAUGCCAAAAACUCAAGGUCAGCGUCAUAGAGAUUAGGAUUGCUUUAUUUUGUUUAGAGUCCUAAGAUGCUUGCCUAAUAUUGAGUUUAGGUUAGGUAAACCCAAGCUAGAAGUCUCACAAAAAGUCUAAAAUGAAAAUCAUAUAGGUUGAGGCAUUCCAUCUUAGUAUAUAUAUAUAUAUAUAUAUAUAUAUAUAUGAUAAGUAAGAUUCAUGCAUUUGCAUUAGGCAUACAUGGUUUUUGUGCAUAAAAGAAUCAUCUAUUUUAAAAUCAUGUAUUGUAUGUUCUUGCAUAAUAAAGAAUGUUUACCAAACAACUAAGAAAAAUCACUUUCAUACAAAUUAAUUGAUUAACUUGGUUGAUAAUAAAUUAUAUCUUGUUGAAAUCUGUUAAUCGAUUAAGGUAUUGUAUAAUUAUUAAAUGGAGUUACAGUAGCUAACCUCCCAUGAUCUAUGGCUUAUUAACCAAUUAAGGAGUUUAAUAAUCGAUUAAGCCAUACCUUGAAAACUAUUUUCAUAAGUGCGUUAAUCGAUUAACGUAGUACAUAAUCGAUUAACAUUUGUUAAAGUUAGUUACACAUAAAAGCUGUGAUUUUAACAAAUGAGCAGAUUUUCAUAGAUUUCAGUUUUUACACAUUGAGAGAAAAAGAUAACCCAAGAUUCUUAAAGCUACAUUUUCAAAGCAUCUUGCUUAUCUUUGAAAGAUAUUUUGCAUAGUUUUCAUAUAGAGAAAAGAGAGAAUUUAUUUUCAUCGUGUUGUAAUUUUCAUUCAAUUGAAAAAUCCUGCAUAAACUUCACAUUUAGUUUAAGAUUGAUUGUGAGAUUUUUGUUUAGGGUCGUAGAGCCGAAAUUAGAGUUUAAAUCAGCGCAUUAAGUGAGCAACUAACUCGACUAUUGUUCAGUUACACAAGAUUUGUUCUUGUGGUGUGUUUAGUAUCAUCACAUUAGAGAACUUGUUAUCUUCAUGGAGCAGGAAGUCUUGGAUCGAGCGAUACUUCGGCUGGAUUCAGAUUCGUGAACGGUGUUAGUAUCCUAGUAGGCGUAUAGAGUGGUCAAACCGAGUGUGUAGGCUCAACAGGUUCACAAAAGAAGUCUCUUGCUAUGUGUAUUAGAGGAGUGCUUGUAAUCAAAAAUUUAUUUCCGAUAGUGAAGAAAAAUCUCUCGAGAUUAGAAGAGGAGGUCUGGAUGUAGUUUGCAAGUUGACCCACAAACGAACCAGGAUAAAAAUCCUUGAGCAAUUUUCUCUUUCCCUAUCUCUUUUACGAUUCUGCCUUUACAUGUUUUCAUGUUCCAAUUGCAUUCUGUGAUCUGUGAUAAUUGGCAACGAUAUUCAUAUAAUCAAGAAUCAAUUUAGGACAGUAAAGAUUAGCAAUGAUCGAUGUUUUUAUUGCAAGAAAAUUUUGUUUUUCAAAGAAUCAAGAAUCAUCAUAAUCGAUUAACGCUAACUCCAAUCGAUUAAGACAACGAUCAAUAAUUGAUUAACCAUGUUAUUAAUCAAUGAACCGCAGUAGUGUUCUAUUCUACGCAUAAAUCAGAAAAGCGGGAUUAGUGAUCCGCUACACCUAUUCAUUCCCCAUCUAGGUGUGUUUUAUCUUACUAGUAACCAACAAGUGGUAUCGUAGCUAGUACAAAGGUGCUAGGUUGACCGCUUUAUUCGUUGACCCUAGGAUUAUUACUAUGGGUUCCACUAACCCUUUCGACGGUGAUGGCGCAUCCAUCAACCGCCCUCUGAUUUUCAGUGGCAAGGGGUACACCUACUGGAAAGUGCGUAUGAGAAUCUUUAUUGAGGCAAGAAAGCUUACAUAUUUUAAAUCAAAGAAAGCUUACAUAGUUUGGGAUGUUUCCGAGGAAGAAACAACAUCUAGCACAUCCGAUGAGGUGGAGACCGCCAAGCUACGUUUGAUGGCAAAUACUUAAGAAAUUGGUAGCACAAGUGAUCAAGAUAAGACAAGUGAUGUACAAUAUUCUGAUACUUCUUCAUGUUCUGAUGAGUCUCCUACAUAAGAUAAGUUGUAUAGUGCUUUUGCUGAAUUGCAUGAGGAACUAAAGAAACUAGCUAAGGUAAAUAUAGAUUGAAAAAGAGUCAUCAUGUUGCAUGAAAAUAAAAUUGUUAAAAUGCAAGAAGAAUUGAAUGAACUAAAAUUGGAAAAUGAGAUUCUAGAUCUUAUUUACUCUAGUGCCUCAUGUACUUGCUCUACUAAGUUAAUUGAGACUCCUAUAUGUGAACAAUGUGAUGUUUUAAAUGCUGAAAUUUCUUAUUUGAAAUAUAAAUUAGCAAAGUUCACCUAUAGUAGCUAAAAAUUGGACAACUUACUUACUACAUCUAGAAACGUAGGUAAUCAUGGAGGUCUAGGCUGCAAACCUAAAAACAGAAGAAAACCAUAUAGAAAACAAGUAGCACACAUAUAUUCUAUAUUUAAUGAUAACAUGUCUACUUGCUUUUAUUGUGGUGCAUAUGGUCAUACAUCUAUACCUUGCUAUAUUAGAAAAUUUGGUGUGUCAAGUGACAAAUAUGUAUGGGUGCAAAAAGGACUAGAUACCAUGUUUACUAACAAGAAAGGACCCAAUAUAACUAGGGUACCUAAACAAGCCAAGUAAAUUGUUUUGUGGGUAUAACUUCGGACACAAGGACAACACUAGUAUUUGGAUAGUGGAUGUUCAAGACAUAUGACGGGUGAUAGAUCAAAGUUCCUGGAUCUUUCCCUCAAAGGUAAAGGCUAUGUCACUCACGGAGACAACAAUCGAGGAAUGAUACUAGGUGUCGGAAGGAUUGGCAAUGCUUCACAAGCGAUUAUUGAAAACAUGCUGUAUGUUGAAGUGCUAGAGCAUAAUCUUCUGAGCAUUAGUCAGAUGUGUGACAAAGGUAAUAAGGUAUCAUUCGACUCAAAUUGUUGCAUCAUUCGUGACAAUUUAGAUAAUAAUGUUAAGUUCAGAGGGCAGCGAAUAAAUAACAUAUAUAUGAUUGAUUUGGAUGAUGUCGCCUCUCUAUUUUCAAAAUGUUUUAUUUCUAAAGAGAGUGACAUCUGGUUGUGGCACAGACGAGUAGCACAUAUCCAUCUAAUGCAUCAAGCUAAGCUAUCAUCACAUGAUUUGAUUGUAGGACUACCAAAGCUUAAUUUUAAAUCAAAAGACUCUUGUGAGACUUGCCAAAAGUGUAAACAAGUAAAGAGUUCCUUUUCGUCUAAAAAUGUGAUAUCCACAUCAAGACCUUUGGAGUUACUCCAUAUGGACUUGUUUAGACCAUCACAAAUUAUGAACUUUGGUGGUAGCUACUAUGUGUUGGUAAUUGUUAAUGAUUUCUCUAUAUAUACAUGGACUUUGUUUCUUACUCUGAAAAGUGAUGUUUUUAAGUCUUUCAAAAAUCUGGCCAAACAACUCCAAAAUCAAUUACAUCACAAGAUUGUUUAUAUUCGCAGCGAUCAUGGUGUAGAAUUUGAAAACCACCUAUUUUACAAAUUUUGCGAGAAGCAUGGGAUCCUACAUCAGUAUUCAACUCCUCGAACCCCUCAACAAAAUGGAGUUGUUGAGAGGAAAAAUUGAGUAUUAGAGGAGCUAGCUAGGACAAUGCUAAAUGAAAGCAAGGUCCCUAAGUGUUUUUAGGCCGAUGCAGUGCAUAUUGUUUGCUAUGUAAUAAAUCGAGUACUUCUUAGGCCUACAUUCCUAAAAACACCAUAUGAAUUAUUGAAAUGGCGAAAACCUAAUAUUUCACACUUGCAUGCUUUUGGAUGUAAAUGCUUUACAGGUGAUAUCUCAACAGGAGUGGUAACUCAUAACUCUCUGCUAAACUUUUGUAAUUUUAUAGCAUUUGUAUCUCAAGUUGAGCCUAAGACCAUAGAUGAAGCCAUAGAGGAUGAACAUUGGGGAAUAGCUAUGCAAGAAGAACUAAACCAGUUUGAGCGUAAUAACAAAUGGGACUUGGUCCCUAAACCUAAAGAUCAUCCUAUAAUCGGCACUAAAUGGAUCUUUAGAAAUAAAUUGGACGAAACUAGUUUGAUUAUACGAAACAAGGCAUGUCUAGUGGCAAAGGGUAUAAUCAAGAGGAAGGCAUUGACUAUGAUGAAACCUAUGCCCCAAUUGCGAAGUUGGAGACUAUUCAAAUGUUAUUAGCCUUUGCAUCGAUAAUGAACUUUAAACUCUUUUAAAUGGAUGUGAAGAAUGUCUUCUUGAAUGGCUAUAUUCACGAGGAAGUAUAUGUAAAUCAAAUGCUCGGCUUUGAAAACCAUAAAUACCCUAAUCAUGUUUAUAAACUCAAAAAGGUGAUAUAUGGUUUAAAAAAAGCUCCUAGAGCUUGGCAUGAAUGAUUUAGUAGUUUUCUAUUAGGAAACGGAUUUGAAAGGGACAAGGUUGACACAUCACUCUUUAUAUUAAAAUCAGAAAAUAAUGUUUUGUUAGUACAGAUUUAUGUAGAUGAUAUAAUAUUUGGUUCUACUAACGAUUUACUUUGUAAAGAGUUUUCUGAUCUAAUAAAAGGCGAGUUUGAAAUGUCGAUGAUAGGAGAGCUGACAUUCAUUCUAGGAUUACAAGUAAAGCAAAUGAGCAGCGGGAUAUUCAUUCACCAGACGGAAUAUUGCAAGGAAUUACUACAAAGUUCGAGUUGGACAAGUGUAAAGAAGCGACAACACAUAUGGCAUCAUCCUGCUAUCUCGACAAGGAUGAUAAAGUUAAAGCAAUGGAGGAAGAAAAAUAUUGAGGGAUAAUUGGUUCAUUUCUAUAUCUAACUGUUAGUCGCCCCGAUAUAAUGUUUAGUGUAUGUAUGUGUGCGAGAUACCAAGCUUCACCUAAGGAAUCUCACUUUAGUUCUGUAAAACGUAUUAUGAAGUAUCUGAAAAGGAACAUUGUCUAUGGUUUUAUGGUAUCCUAGAGAUGCCUCGUUGUCCUUGAUAAGAUAUUUUAAUUCCGACUUCACGGGACGAAAGUUGGACAGGAAAAGUACUAUUGGAACUUGCCAUCUUUUGGGAAGCUCCUUAGUAUCAUGGCAUAGUAAGAAGCAAGUAUGCGUUGCGCUCAAAUAUUAUGGAUGAAGCAGCAACUAUUAGACUUUGGUUUAAAACUUGUGAAACUACCAAUAAAAUGUGAUAACACUAGUGUCAUAUCUGUCAAAGAACCUCAUUAUGCACUCUAGAACUAAGCAUAUCGAAAUUAGACACCACUUUUAAAGAUAUCAUGGUCAAAAAUGUUAUUGUAUACUUGAAUUUGUUGAAACUUCGAAGCAAUUGGCAGAUAUUUUCAUCAAGCCCCUUCCACGGGAUACAUUCUGUUUUACGUAGAGAACUUGGCAUACUUGAUGAAAAGUAUCUAAACUAAGUUGCUUUAGGGAAUUGUAUGCCUUUGGUUGAUCUUUAAUAUAUACUUAUAAGUGAUAUAUGUAAUAAGUGCAUGUUUCUUUUGCUCAAAUUAUCUUCAUGAAUGCUUUUUAUGCUUCUUUAGUAUGUCAUAUACCUAUUAGGUUAGUAUCUUACGAAUAACAUCUUUGCAUACUCUAGAAAUCUCUAAACUACACUAAAAUAUGAGUUAGUUCUGUCAAUAAUCGAUUGUUCUAUGUCUUAAUCGAUUAAUUCGAGUUCUAGUAACCAGAGAAUAAAUAUUCAUCUUGCUUUUAAUCGAUUAACGGGUGUCUUAAUUGAUUACCUGAGCUCAAUAUUUUACAAAUUUGAAAAUUUUAAUUUGUUUAAUCGAUUAAUUUGUGCCUUAAUCGAUUGUCUGGGCUCAAAAUUCUAAAAGUUUGAAAAUUUAAAAUUGGUUAAUCGAUUAACCACUGCAUAUAAUCUAUUAAUAGUAGUAGUAUAUCAGUUUCAAUUGUCAUUUUGGGUCAUUUCAAAUUUAGAACCCUAAAUCCUCUUUGCUUUCCCCCUUCUAAAUCUUUUCUAAAAUUGAGUAUUCCUAACCUAUUCAAUAGCAAAUAUGAACACCUAAACAUAUUGCAAUCAUCCUACAAUCCCCAAUUUCUACUAAAUCUGAAAUCCUCAUUCUCUUAGAAACCCUAAAUCCCAAAACCCAGAAAAUCGAUUAUCCAAUCGAUUAAUCAAUUCUGUACCUGAAAUCAUGAGUGAACCAUGUUCAAUGAAAGUGAAGCACACUACCAAACGUUCCAGAGGCAUGGAAAAAGGUUCCUCGUCUGCUCAAGGUGGAAGAAAGAAUCGCGGUGAUCCUUACUACUCUCUUAUUCUCCAAGAAGCUCGUAUAGCUAAGUUUCAAGGAAGAAAACAAACAUACAUCCGAUAUGUGGAUGCGGUAUGGCUAGCCGAACAAGGAUUUCAGUUCCCACAUGGUUUGGAAACCCAAGGAGCGAACAAGUUUUUUGGAUUUAAAAGGUAAAAUUUAUCAUUCGGGAAUUUUAUAGUAAUUUCAGGUAUAAGGAUGAGGUUCAUGCAUCGAAGGUUAUGGGAAAAAUGAUAGUUUUGGAUGAGGAACUAUUUUUGGAUGUUGGAGGUUUAUCAAGUGAUGGACCCAUGUUAAGAUAUUGUAACAAUGAGUUAUGGGACUCAUUUGAUGCUAUUGAGAUGUAUAAGUCAUGUUUAAGAGGACCUCAUCUGUUUGUGUAAGGAGAAUUGACCAAAGUUGGGUCAUUAUCUGUUGAAAAUCAGCUCUUGCAUUAUUUAAUUGCAUAUAUUUUAGUUCAAAGAGACACCAACCAUGCUCAACCUAUAAUCAAUAAUCUCAAGCUAAUGUUUGCCAUAAGGGAAGGCAUUGAUGUAUAUUGGCCUUCUAAAAUAUUGAAAGUGAUGAAUGGUAUAGCUUCUUCUUCUUCAAGGUUGCUUGCGUAUGGGAUUUUCAUCUCCCGUGUCAUUGACUACUAUGAAAUCGACACAUCAUAUGUGGAUACAAUGACUACAAAUUCUCGAGAGCACCUUGUCGGUGACAACCUUAUUCACAAGAUAGGCAUAUACAAGUUUGGAAAUUUAUGGAAAUAUCAAGAGGAUCAUAAUGCAAACGUGAAUGAAGACUUACCGGAUGAAGCUAUUGUUGAAAAUCUUCGUGAGCAAAAUCCUGAACAACCACAAAUCGAGGCAAAUGUUGAGCCUCAAGAACCAUCUUUUGGGCUUUCACACUUGGAUGAUAUGGAAUAGUGCCUAAAUGCGCGAAUUGACAGAUAUUUCCAGUCUUUGAGAGACUCCAUGGCAGUUGGAUUCCAAUAGUGGCAACAGAAGUUAGCCGAAGAUCUUGAACGCAUCAUCUUCAUUGUGUGCGCCACACAUGGCUCAUCACUACCACCACCACCUUAAGAGUAGCCUAGAUAGGAUUUUCUAGAGUUUAGGGUGUGUGUAUGCUUUUGAGAUUGUAUUUUGUUUUUUGUUGUAUUUUUUAUUGAACAUCUUAUGUACUUGAUGCACUUAUUUUGUAACCUCUUAUAAUCUUGUCAUUAACUUCGAGUAUGUUUGAAUUAUUGCGUGAAACUUUGACUAUUACUAGCUUUUGUGUUAUAUUAAUUGAAUGGUUAAUAUAUGCCUUAUAUGACUUAUCUUAUAUACCAUUAAUCAUUCUAUGUUAUACCUGCUAAAAUCACACAAAUGGAUAUAUCUCGCAAUUCAUUUUUGCCAUAAUCUGAUUUUAUAAUGAAUAAUCGAUUAACUCCAUGCAUAUAAUCGAUUAACUAAUAAAAAUUGUGCACUUGUUUAAUUCUUAUGUGACUGCUUAAUCGAUUAUCAUUGAUUACUUAACCGAUUCAGACUAGUAAAUUUUGUGAAAAUCUUUCCUUUCUUUUGGCCAUUACCAUCGUAUAAUAUCAUAGCUUUUUUAUCAUGCCAAAAAGGGGAGAAAGUGUUGUUUGAGCUGUUUUGCAGGUUGCAUUGAGCUUCCGCAUGAAAUCUUGAAUGCUACCAUUGUAUCUACUCUUACAUGGUUUGAGGGGGAGAACAAAGUGAGGGGGAGUAGCGCAUUCUGACACAACCAUUGCAAAUAUUCUGUCCAGGAUCAAGCCAUCAAACAGAAGAUCAGUUUCAGAGUUCGUCAUCAUCAAAAAAAGGGAGAUUCAAAUAGAAAAUAGUUAAAGGAUGCCAUCAAUGAUUAAUGUACUUGGUUUUGAUAAAGACAAGGAGUUAAAUGAAAGCUUAAAGACUUGGACAUCACCAAAAAAUAAUAUGCCAAAAACUCAAGGCCAACAUCAUAGAGAUUAGGAUUGCUUUAUUUUGUUUAGAGUCCAAAGAUGCUUGCCUAGUAUUGAGUUUAGGUUAGGUAAACCCAAGAUAGAAGUCUCAUAAAAAGUCUAAAAUGAAAACCAUAUAGGUUGAGGCAUUCCAUCUUAGUAUAUAUAUGAUAAGAAAGAUUCAUGCAUUUGCAUUAGGCAUACAUGGUUUUUGUGCAUAAAAGAUCAUUUGUUUUAAAAUCAUGUAUUGUAUAUUCUUGCAUCAUAAAUAAUUAUUACCAAAAAAUUAAGAAAAACCAUUUUCAUACAAAUUAAUCGAUUAACUCGGUUGAUAAUUGAUUAUAUCUUGUUGAAAUUCGUUAAUCGAUUAAGGUAUUGUAUAAUUGAUUAAAAUGAGUUAAGUAGCUAACCUCCUAGUAUCUAUGGUUUAUUAAUCGAUUAAGGAGUUUAAUAAUCGAUUAAGCCAUAACUCAAAAACUAUUUUCAUAAGCAUGUUAGUCGAUUAACGUAGUAUAUAAUCGAUUAACAUUUGUUAAAGUCAGUUACAAGUAAAUGUUGUGAUUUUAACAAAUGAGCAUAUUUUCAUAGGUUUCAAUUUUUACACAUUGAGAGAAAAAGAUAACCCAAGAUUCUCAUAGCUGCAUUUUCAAAGCAUCUUGCUUAUCUUUGAAAGAUGUUUUGCAUAGUUUUCAUAGAGAGAAAAGAGAGAAUUUAUUUUCAUCGUGUUGUAAUUGUCAUUCAAUUGAAAAAUCCUGCAUAAACUUCACAUUUAGUUUAAGAUUGAUUGUGAGAUUUUUGUUUAGGGUCGUAGAGCCAAAAUUAGAGUUUAAAUCUGUGCAUUAAGUGAGCAACUAACUCGACUAUUGUUCAGUUACACAAGGUUUGUUCUUGUGGUGUGUUUAGUAUCAUCACAUUAGAGAACUGGUUAUCUUCACGGAGCAGGAAGUCUUGGAUUGAGCGAUACUUCAGUUGGGGCCAGAUUCACGAACAGUGUUAGUAUUCUAGUAGGUGUAUAGAGUGCUCAAACCGAGCAUGUAGGCUCAACGUAUUCACAAAAGAAGUCUCUUGCUAGGUGUAUUGGAAGAGUGCUUGUAAUGAAACAUUUAUUUCCGAUAGUGAAGAAAAAUCUCCCGAGAUCAGAAGUGGAGGCCUGGAUGUAGUUUGCAAGUGGGCCCAUAAACGAACUAGGAUAAAAAUCCUUGAGCACCUUUCUUUUUCCCUAUCUUUUUUACGAUUCUAUCUUUACAAGUUUUUCUGUUUCAAUUGUAUUCUAUGAUAUUUGUUAAUUGGCAACAAUAUUCAUAUAAUCAAGAAUCCAUUUAAGAUAGUAAAGAUCAGCAAUUGUCACUGUUAUCAUUGCAAGAAAAAUCUAUUUUUCAAAGAAUCAAGAAUCAGCAUAAUUGAUUAACGAUAACUAUAAUUGAUUAACUACAUUAGUGUUCUGUUCUACGCAUAAAUCAGAAAAGUAGGAUUAGUGAUCUGCUACACUUAUUCACCCCCUAGGUGUGUUUUACCUUACUAGUACCCAACAAAAGAAUAUCAAAUAACUGAAGGUAAUAACUUAAAUAAAUUGAAAUCAAAAGAUGAUACAAAUGAAGUAAUGAAAUAUCAUUACACCAUAAUCCAAAUCAACGUAUAGGAGCAUGAGUCAUCUAUUCAAGGAUGAGAUACUUUUGGAAUCAAAUGAGAUUACAAAAUCAACUUUUGUAUCCCAUUUGUCAACUCCUUUAUCCUCUUGAAUUAUAAGAGAAAUUUACAAGAAUCUACUUACCUAAAGAGCUUGCAACUGUGGGCCCAAGGGUUACAAAUUGAAGAGAAUUUUAGAGAGGGAUUUGUGAAGAGAAGAAAGUGAAGAAGUGAAUGUGAAUGAAUGUAUGAAAUGUUUGGGAAGGACUUCCUAUUUAUAGGCAUUUCUGGCUGCCGCCUAGCCCUCAAAGUCCCAUGUUAGGCGCCUAACCAAACCCUUAGCAUGGGUUUGGUUCCUUGACCAAGUAGCUUAGUAAGCUACUUCUUGUUGACUCAUCAAGGCUACGUUAGCUACAUGGGCCAGAUAUUGCAAGCUACACCUGAAAAGCUUGUGGAGGCUAUGUGAAGUGAGGUCAUGCAUGAGGUAAGCCUUGCUUGGUGGCUAAGUCAACUUGCCAACUUGAUGGGUGCACACUGCUAGGCUCCUAUGUGACACCGCUAGGCUAACUGCUUGAGCAGGUUAGCUUGGCCAAGUAGGUGCUUGGUGCUAGGUUAUCUUAUCUGGACAGGUUUUUGGUUCCAUGUUAGGCGAUUCUAGUACCAUGCUAAGUUGCUUAUUGAGCACUUGGCUUAUGCCAUGCUUGUGCAUGAACAAGCUAAGUUGGUUCCAGGUCAUGUUGAGCGUGCCUUUGGUCCAUGUCAGGUUGUUUGGUGAGCAACUUCUUGCUUUUGAUCCAUGCUUAGGUUAAGCACCUAGCUUGCCAUGCUAAGCCUAAGCAUUCCAUGUGUGCAUCUUUUUUGGCUUAUGUGGAUACGUCUUGGCUUGACUUUUCUUUUGAUCUUUUCUUCUCUUGAUUUCUCCUAAAAAUUUUACACAAAGAAAUGGAAAAUAGGUGUACAAAAUAUGUAAUUUAAUUAUGACAAUUUAUCUAAAAAGUGUUGAAUUAAUUUGGUUUUAUAAAGUUUGCAUGGGAUAAGUGUCAUGAAAAGUGUAUGAAAACUAGGUCGUUUUAGCACGAAUCACUCCCACGCUUAGAACUUAACAAGGGUCCUUCCUUGUGGCGUUCAUAGGCUUAUCACUAUUGGUAUGACGUCUUACCUUUAGUUCUUGUCAAGUAUCCUUCCUUAUGGUGAAUCUCCUUGACUUAUCAAGCUACUUUGCUUGUGGCACCACCAUUUUCAUCCUUUUCCAUUUUCUUUUAUCCAACACAAACACAUAAUAAAUUCUAAACAAAAAAUAAACACCAAUUCGGCCUAGAAACUAAUUCCAUACACCCCAUAAUCAUACACAAAAUAUGGACAUUCAUAUAAAAGUAUUACUCUAUGAGCCAAAUUGAGUUUCAGGCAAGAACGAUCGACAAAGGAAGCAACUCAUCUCCUACAGGUUGCUAUCACAAACCCUGUCCUUUGGGGAUAUUACAAGCGGGUGCCUGCAGAUCCAAAUACCCAUUGCCAUCCCUAACUGAUCCAUUCGCUUUGGCAUGGUCAUUCAUAAUUUUUUGAAAAAUAUACAAAUUAUUGCUAAAUAUGAGUACAACUUGUAUAGGUAACAAAUUUAUAAUAUAGGAUAGGUUUUCAAUAUAGAAUUUUCCGCAUUACAAAUCAUAUUAAAAAAUUAGGUUAACUUGAUAACUUAAUAAUAAUUUAAUGAGGCUAAUAGUAAAUGUACAUUAUUAUUUUUCUAUAAAGGGUAUUUUUGAUUCUAUGUAUAAGGAACUAAUUUUUUUUUUUUUUUGAAAUGUGUAAUUAAUCAUUCCAAUAAUAUCACACUCAAGAAUCAAACUUUUAACUUUUGACAUAUAUGAAAUAUGGUAGAUCAUUUUACUACUGGACUAAUACAUUAUUAGUAUAUGUUAUAAAACUAGGCUAAUGAUUAUCAUAGGCCCUUCGAGAUUUAUAUAAAUUUCUAACAUAGUUAUCUCAUAGUGAAUUUACACUAUUAUUAAAGGAGUCUAAUAUAACAAUUAAGAAGAAAAAAAACUCUUUCCACUAUAACUCUUGGACACGUGUCAUGUCCUUAAGCAAAGUUUUCUUAUCCAAAAACACUCACAUAAAUUAUAAUACAUUGUCACUCUACAUAUCUCUCACAUUUCGUCACUCCUUCUCUCUGAAAUUAAAAUACCAAGAUAGAAGACACUCACAUAAACUAUAAUACAUUGUCACUCUACAUAUUUCUCACGUUUCGUGAGUCCUUCUCUCUCAAAUUAAAAUACCAAGAUAGAAGACUCUAAAAUUCACUCUUCAUGACCCACGUUUUAUUUAUAACUCCACUAUUAUUGACAUGGUUAUACCAUUUGUGGGUAAUGUGUCUAAUCAUAUUUUCAUGUGGAAUUUCAUGCUAGGUUCUAUUAAUUUCGUGGAUACAUAGAUAAUUGUUUCUAAUGAUUUGAGUAACUAUUAUUCUUUGUGAUCAUGUUUAUGAUAGAGUUAGAUUUAUUUUGUCUGUUGUUUUUCAACAUACUUACAUACUACUAUUUAGUCUAACUAAUGUUUAUGUUUUCAUAGGUAUGAUAUAGUAAUAUAUGUUUAGUAUGUGUGUUGUUCACUUUUCAUGGCUCACGUUUUUUUUUAUAACUUCACCAUUAUUGACAUGGUUAUACCAUUUGUGGGUAAUGUGUCUAAUCAUAUUUUCAUGUGGAAGUUCAUGUUAGGUUCUAUUAAUUUCGUGGAUGCAUAGAGAAUUGUUUAUAAUGAUUUGAGUAACUAUUAUUCUCUGUGUUCAUAUUUAUGAUAGAGUUAGAUUUAUUUUUUCUGUUGUUUUACAACAUACUUACAUACAACUGUUUAGUCUAACUAAUAUUUAUGUUUUCCUAGGUAUGAUAUAGUAGUAUAUGUUUAGUAUAUGUGUUUUAAUUCAAUAUAUUUCACUAAAAUUUAGAAUAUCUGAUAUAUUUUUUAUUUAUGCAAAAUUAUAACAAGAGAAGUUGUGUAGCCAUAAAGUAUUAAAAUUAGUAUCAUAAAACUUGAUCCUUCAAAAUCAUUUAUGGUGUAAGAUACUCAUACCAGAAUAGGGUUCAAAGAUAUAUGAUAAGGAAAAAAAAAUCUUUCCACUAUAACUCUUGGACACAUAUCAUGUCCUCAAGCAAAGUUUUCCCGCCCAAAAACACUCACAUAAACUAUAAUACAUUAUCACUCUACAUAUCUCUCACGUUUUGUCAAUCCUUAUCUCUCGAAUUAAAAUACCAAGAUAGAAGACUCCAAAAUUCAUUCUUCAUGGCUCACGUUUUCUUUAUAACUCCACCGUUAUUGACAUGUUUAUACCAUUUGUGGGUAAUGUGUCUAAUUAUAUUUUCAUGUGGAAGUUCAUGUCAUGUUCUAUUAAUUUCAUGGAUGCAUGGAGAAUUGUUUAUAAUGAUUUGAGUAACUAUUAUUCUUUGUGUUCAUGUUUAUGAUAUAGUUAGAUUUAUUUUUUCUGUUAGUUUACAACAUACUUACAUACUAUUGUUUAGUCUAACUAAUAUUUAUGUUUUCCUAGGUAUGAUAUUGUAGUAUAUGUUUAGUAUGUGUGUUUUAAUUCAAUAUAUUUCACUAAAAUUUAGAAUAUUUAAUAUACUUUUUAUUUAUGCAAAAUUGUAACAAGAGAAGUUGUGAAGCCAUAAAGUAUUAAAAUUAGUAUCGUAAAACUUGGUCCUUCAAAAUCAUUAAUGGUGUAAGAUACUCAUACCAGAAUAGGGUUUAAAGAUAUGAUAAGGAAAUAAAUUAGUAUUAAAUUAAAAAACAUAUAAAGAAAUUAAAUGAAAAGUCGGUAACAAUCCUUCAUAAUAACAAUUAUUUGAUAUUUACAUCAAUUAUUUGAUUUGCUUUUAUUAAAUGAGAUUUGAUAAUUUUUAUACUAAUUUCAUUUAGUGACACAUUACAUUUUAUAAUGAUUUGAGUUAGUGUUGUUAAAAUUAUUUCAUAUCGGUCAGUUUAACGGGUAAACUCGUGAACCGGUCCCAAUAUCGGUACGAUACAAUAAUUAUACUAGUCAUGUAAUCAUACCGGUCAAAACCGGCUAAAACUGUCAAAACUGAUCAUACCGGCCAGUUUUCAAUUGAAUUGUAUCGGUCAUACUGGUCAGUUUUUAUUAAAAAUUAUUUUUUUAAUGAAAUAAAAAAAUUAGUUUUUAUUGAUUUUUCAACAUUAAUGUGAAUAUAUUAUAUAUGUAUAUCAAAUUUUCCCAGUAUGUGGUUUAAUUAGUGAACUACCGGCUAAACUGUUAUACCAUUAUACGAGUACUCUAAAUGGUUUGAUAAUCGGUACGGUAUUAAUAACACUGGUUUGAGUAACUAUUGUUCUUUGUGUUCAUGUUUAGGAUAGAAUUAGAUUUAUUUUUAUCUACUGGUUUACAACAUAAUAUUGUUUAGUAUAACUAAUAUUUAAGUUUUCUAACAUAAGAUAUAGUAGUGUAUGUUUAGUAUAUGUGCUUUAAUUAAAUAUUAUUUCAUUAAAAUUUAGAGUAUAUCUAAUAUAUUUUUUGUCUAUGUAAAUCUGUAACAAUAGAAGUUGUGAAACCAUAAAGUACUAAAAUUAGUAUUGUCAAAUUUCGUCUUUCAAUAUUAUUUGUGGUGUAAGAUACUCAUACCCGAUUAAUGUUCAAAGAUAUUAUAAGAAAAUAAAUUGAUAUUAAUUUUUAAAAAUGUAUAAGGAAAUUAAAUGAAUAGUCAUUUAAAAUCAUUUAUGGUGUAAGAUAUUCAUACCAAAUUAAUAUUCAAAGAUAUGACAAUGAAAUAAAUUGGUAUUAAUUUUAAAAACGUAUAAGGAAAUUAAAUGAAUAGUCUGUAAUAGUAUUUGAUAAUUACAAUAAUUAUUUGAUGAUUACAACAAUUAUUUGAUUCCCUUUUAUUAAAUGAUAUUUGAUGAAUUUUAAACUAAUUUGAAGUAAUGACACAUUACAUUAAAUGAGAUUUGAUUCUCUUUAAUUACUCUCUGGUUUUGUUUCCAUACAUCUUCGUUUGUCCCUCCAUUUUCUACUAUUAUUAUUUUAGUUAUAUGCAAAUGAGAAUGGAGAUAAAUGGUUACUUAAUAUUGAAAUUUCAAAUCAUUUAUUACUAAAAUACAGUUCAUCUUUGGUAUAACAUAAUCACAUUGAACCCAAAAAAACAUAAUUACAACUUUCCUAUUUUAAUGUAAUUUAUUAGUAAAAUUUCAUUCAUAUCUAUUAAAAUAUUACUUUCGAAGUUGUCAUACUAAUGAUCAAACCUGUAUUUAUUUUGAAAAAAUUUAAGUAAUUAAUUACAAUGUCUUAUUUUAUAUACUUUUAAAAAAAUAGGAUAUAAUAAAUUAAUUAUAUUAACAACUAAUAAGAAUUAAUAUCCUAGAAAAAAAGAAAUUAAAAACUGUAACGGCCCGAAAAUUACUCCAAAAAUGUUGCUCAAAAAUGGGUAUUUUUUUUAUAAUGAUGUCAUAUAAAAUUUAUUUCAUUAUAUUCGUUUCAUUUUCGGGACAUCACUUUAAGUAACAUACAAUGCGGGAAAUUAAAAACAUCAUUACCUAAAGGUACUAAAAAAUACAACUCAAUAUAAUUUCGAAUCAUACUUCAUUAGAAUAUCAAGAAAUGUUAGUACAAAGUACAAGGCGGAAUCCUAAUCGUCGCCCAAAUAAAACUCCUCACAAAAUAAAUACCCUACACAAGUACACUAAUCAAAAAGCACAAGGGCCUAGGUAGGUAUAACAGUUUCCCUCAAUCCUCCAUGCCCCAUCCUGGGACAUCGAAAAGCGAUACCUCAGAAUCCUGGCAGAAUGAUCCAUCUGAACAAAAUGCGAAUAGAAGACAACAUAAAGAAAAUGAAGUAAAACAUCUAAUGAAUAUUACUCAUUGACGGCAUGGAAUUACGCGGAAUAUCACAUCCAGACAGACACGCAUAAUAAACACAAUAUAUACAUCACAUAUAAAAAUGCACAGUGAUUAAUGAUGUUAUAAUCUCAUAUUAUGAGGAUCAAAGUCCACAAUCACAAUGUAUGAAUGUUAUGCUUGUUUCAUCCAUCCUUUCACCAAUAUCCUCCCAAUAUACUAUUCGGAAAUAACCAUGAGUACAGGUCCCACAACAAGCCGAUUUGAACGCACCAAAAUUAUUCCUCUCAAGGAUAUAUGAUCGAUCUGUUCUGAAGAACUGUCCAUUUCAGGACGGUGUCGUAUCAAACACUUUCUGGGCAUCCAUCUCAUUGAUCAUGUUUGUAAAGAGGGGUUGUCAGAUAUCGUCUAGUUUGUGCUGUGAGAAUUGUCCGAUCCAACAGAAUACCUCACCCAGGAAUACAAAGGACUCGUCUCACCUAGACUCACCCUCAAGACUUUGCUGACGAAUCACCGCCAUCGUCGUCUCUCUCAACAACCUGGGGCUCGUUCGUCUCCCGUAAAUUUCCUCUCCACUACUUCAUUAUCCAUAAUGAGUAUGCACAUUAACCGAGGUUAGCCAAUUAAAUCUUUUAAUCAUUCUUUUAUAUGAUCAGCCCAACCUAAGACAUCUCUCAAAGGAAUGCUUCAUGUGGGACCCAAUCUUACGUCAUCACGUAAAAGAGGAAUAACACCCUUACCACUACGAACCAUCACUGAAUAUCCUGGACGACCACAUGGCCAAGCCUCUUACGGUUAUACGACCUUGCUGCAUGGUAUCAUGUAAUCCUUUUUUGGCAUUGCCCUAAUCACGACAUCACAGUCGGAAACCUUGCCCUAAAUAGGCGCAAGAACAA
rnacentral:lncRNA from 1 species